rnacentral:lncRNA from 1 species
AAAAUUUAGAGCAUAACAAAAAGCUAUUUAAACGUGUUAAUGAAAUAGCAGUAAAGAAAAGAUGCACCCCAUCUCACCUUGCAUUAGCAUGGGUUCAUUACCAAGGAAAUGACGUGUGUCCGAUUCCUGGAACCACCAAGAUUGAAAACCUCAAUCAAAAUAUUAAAGCUCUGUCACUGAAACUUACUCCAGAAGAAAUUGCUGAGCUUGAAUCCAUUGCUUCAGCUGAUGCUGUAAGGAGUCAUCGGUAUGGGGGUGUCACCCGUACCUACGAGGAUUCUGAUACUCCACCUUUGUCUUCGUGGAAACCUUCAUAAAGGGUUUUGGUAUUCUGCCUUCUUAGUACCGAUUUUGCAAUUGCAUGUAGUUCCUAGGUUUUGUUGUGGGUAAAAUCAUUGUGUUGUGAGUAAAAAUAAAGUCAUCAUGUCUUCUGAUACGAGACCCUAUCAGCACCUUUCUGCACUUUCUACAAGCAUUUAGUGAAUAUUGUAUUGAGUUUCUAUGUAAUGUUGUAAGUAAAACUAAAUCAUUGUAUCUAUUGGCUCCAUCUCAUUUGGGGGUCCAAAAGCCUAAAGUUUAACAGGUUUAGACAAUUAAGUAAUUAAAAGAGACUUAAAGGGGAGAAUGAAAUUUGCCAUGAAAUUUGCCUAUAAAAGCAAGUGAAAGCCGUUGCCUUGGAUAAUUUAGAGCGUGAACAAGUGGUGAGAGAGAGAGAGAGAGAGAGAGAGAGAGAGAGAGAAAAGACAGUAGAUGCUUUCAUUUGAUAAUAGUGAUUUUAAUCUUUAAUUAGACGAUUGGAAGGUAAAAUUAACUCCAAUUUCUCUCAAAUUUUGAGGGUAAGUUCUUGGCAUCGCCCUCUAGAAUCCUACUGGUCUUGAUUUUGAUUUUAUUCUCUCUUUGGCUAUUAUUUGAAAUACAUACUUGUUGGAGAGAUAAUUAUUAGGUUAUUACUGUAAGCUAAGAUUAUUGAGAUUCUUGAUGUUGGCAGCCUCUAGUAUUAUCUAGAGAAGAAUUUGUGCUAUAAUCCAUUAAUAUAGGGGAAGAUUAUAUCAGACUAUGGUCUAGUGGUUUUCCCACUUUAGGUUUUUCAUGUAAAAAUUUGUAUCUUUUGUGGUUGAAUUUUACUUUGGAUUUAUUGAUUUAUUUUUCUACCUAUUUAUUUGUGGUACACAUCCUAUUUUAAUCACACAAAGAGGGAAAGAGUUUUGUUUCUACUUAAUUUGCAGCUGCUUGUGGCAGUCUAUUUCCCAACUGAGUGGUAUCAGAGCGUCAAGUUUUGUAUUUUUAAUUGUUUGUGUGGUUAAAUGGAGAAGUCCUUGGCAUGCAUGAUUAAACUAAAAUCAUGGAAUUAUGGUAUUUGAAAGUCUAGAAUGGAGGAUUUGUUAUACAUGAAAGACUUAUAUGAACCCAUUAAAAGCGAAGAAGUUAGACCCGCCGAUUUAGAUGAUAAGAAAUGGGUUCAAUAAAACCAGAAGGUUGUGGGUAUUAUUAAGCCACUGAUUGAUCAAAGUGUGUACCACCAUAUAGCAAAAGAAUCUAAGCUUGGUUUUUUUUUUUUGGAGAAAAUUAGAGACAAUUUAUGAGCAGCCGACAAUACAGAAUAAAGUCAAUUUGAUGAAAAGGCUUGUUAACUUGAAAUAAAAGGAGGGGCGCAGUAUAACUGAACACACUAGUGAGUUUCAGUGCUUGCUUGAUUAGUUAACUGCUAUAAAAAGUAUUUUAGAUGAUGCGUUACAAGUAUUAUUGUUGCUUAGUUCUUUGCCUAACGAGAGACAUUAGUGGUGUCAGUGAAUAAUUCAGCGCCGAAUGAGAAAUUAACUUUGUAUAUGGUUACAGAAUGAAGAAUCUAGAAGAAAGAAUGUUGAAGCAGUUUCCUCUGAGUCAGAAGCACUUGUUUCAGAAAAGUAAGAAAAACGGGGAAGAAGCCAAAGUAUAAAUUUUUGCCAGCAAAACAAUGAUCAUCUAAGUCCCAGAAGAGAAACCUCAAGUGCUUUCAUUGUCAGAAAAUGGGUCACGUUAAAAGGGAGUGUAGAAUAUGGAAAAGAGAAUAGGUGAAAGAAAAUGGUGAUGCUUAGAAAAAUGACAAAGAGAACACUGCAGCCAUACUUGAUGGUGAUUUGGGUAUUGUUUAUAUGAGAGUUCAAUAAAUCUCGCUUGCCAUACCAGUGAUUGGGUGAUUGAUUCAGGUGCUUCAUUUCAUAUUACUGCACGUCGUGAUAGCUUCACAUCCAAUGUUAAUAGUGAUUAUGGCCAUGUUCAGAUGGGAAAUAAGGGGGCAUAGGUGAUAUUUGCUUGGAAACCAACAUCGGUUGUAAAUUGUUGCUUAAUUAUGUCAGACAUGUGCCUGAUAUUAGGCAAGCUUGGUGAUGAUGGCUAUACUAACCCAUUGGUGAAAGGAAAAUAGAAGCUUAUCAAAGGCUCCCUAGUGUUAGCUAAGAGGAAGAAAGUAAACACCCUCUAUAUGUUAGAAGCCAAGAUUAAGAAAAAAGAUGUGAAUGUGGCUGUAAAAAAUUAUGCCAUUGAGACAUAGCAUAAAAGGCUUGGUUAUAUUGGUGAGAAAGGGUUGGAAACCCUUGUCAGAAAAGGAUUUCUACCCAGCUUCAUAGGUGUGUCUCUCAAGACUUGUAUUCAUUGCUUAGCUGGAAAGACACACAAAGUAGUUUUUAAAAAAUUUUCUCCAUCUAGAUAGUCAGAAAUACUUGAUUUGAUUCACACAGAUGUUUGCAUGAUGCAAAGUAGAUUAAUAGAAGAUACACUUUAUUUUGUGACUUUUAUUGAUAAUUGUUCUAGAAAAGUGUAAGCUUUUACUUUGAAAUUCAGAGACCAGGUGCUUGACAAUUUAAAUUCUUCCAUGCUUAUGUUGAGAGAGAGAUAAGAAAAAAAUUAAAAUGCAUCAGGGCAGAUAAUGGUGGUGAGUACAAAGGACCAUUUGAGCAGUAUUGCAGAUCCCAUGGAAUAAGACUUGAGAAGACUGUACCAAAAACCGCACAGCAGAAUAGUAUUGCAGAAAGGAUGAACAAAGCAAUUGAAGAAAGGGUCAAGUGUAUGCUCUGUGAUGCUAAGCUUCCUAAAUCUUUCUAGGCAGAGGUUAUGCGUACUAUAGUUGACUUGAUUAACAUUUCUCCUUCAGCUCCAUUAGAUAGCAAUAUACCUGAGAGAGUUUGGACUGGAAAAGAUGUCUCUCAUAAACACUUAAGAGUGUUUGGUUAUAGAGCAUAUGUUCAUAUCCCAAAAGAUGAGAGAUCGAAGCUUGAUGAUAAAGCCAAAGAAUGCAUUUUCUUAGGCUAUGGGCAUGAAGAAUUUGGGUACAUAUUAUGGGAUCUAGUGGCAAGAAAAUUGAUCAGGAGUAGAGAUGUUAUAUUCCUUGAAGAUCAUAUAUUUGGUAAUGCAGAGAAGAGUAAUGAGCCUCAGUUAUCUCCAGAUAUUCCUAUAAUUCCAACUUCAGUUUCUCCAGCUGUAGUUCAUAAUGAUCAUGGGGGAGCUGGAGAGACUAAUAAUGAUAGUCCAACAGAACUAGUUGACCAGGGACCUCUAGAAUCACCUGCACCACUAAUUGAGCCAGAAUUAAGAAGAUCUACCAGAGAACGGCGACCUUCCACUAGAUAUCUUCCACAUAAGUAUGUGAUGCUUACAGAUGAAGGGGAGCCAGAACGUUUUGAAGAAGCCAUAUCUCACCAACAUAAAAGCGAGUGGGUUAAAGUCAUGCAAGAGGAGAUGAAAUGCUUGAAUGAAAACUAUACUUAUGACUUAGUAAAGCUUCCUAAAGGAAAGAUGGCACUAAAGAACAAAUGGUUUAAUAGGUUGAAGAAUGAAAAUAACUCACAAUAGUGAUACAAGGCUAGAUUGGUUGUGAAAUGUUUCGAUCAAAAGAAAUGUGUUGACUUUAAAGAAAUAUUUUCUCUUAUUGUGAAGAUGUCGUCUAUCCGAGUUGUUCUAGGAUUAACAGCUAACUUGAACUUAGACACUGAACAACUUAAUAUAAAGACAACUUUCUUACACGGUGACUUCAAGGAGGAAAUAUACAUGGAGCAACCUGAAGGGUCCAAUGUCAAAGGCAAAGAAGAACUUGUGUGCAAGUUAAAGAAAGUUUGUAUGGGCUGAAACAAGCACCAAGACAAUAGUACAAGAAGUUUGAUUCUUUUACGGAGAAUCAUGGUUUCAGCAAGACUAUGUGCGACCAUUGUGUUUUUAUAAAGAAGUUUGGAGAUAAUGAUUUCAUUAUUCUUUUGCUUUAUGUAGAUGACAUGUUGAUUGUUGGCCCGGAUGCUCGUAAGAUUGACAAUCUAAAGAGAGAACUUAGCAAGUCUUUUGCAAUUAAGGACUUGGGACCGGCGAAACAAAUUCUUGGCAUGAAGAUUUCCCGCGAUAGAAAAGUUUGGAAGUUAUGGUUAUCUCAAGAAGCAUAUGUUGAAAGGGUUCUUGAAAGACUUAACAUGAGCAAGGCAAAAUCUGUUUGUUCUCCACUUGCAGGCCAUUUCAAGCUUAAUUCUGAGCAUUGUCCCACAAGUGAGAAAGAGAAGAAAGAGAUGAAAGAAGUUCUUUAUGCUUCAGCAGUUGGUAGUCUUAUGUACGCCAUGGUUUGUACAAGACCAGAUAUUGCUCAUGCAGUUGGAGUAGUUAGUCGAUUUCUCUCCAAUCUGGGCAAAGAGCACUGGACAACAGUGAAGUAGAUUCUCAGAUAUCUCAAAACCACUUCCAAGGCAUGUUUAUGUUUUGGUGGUGACAAACCUAUAUUACAAGUGUACACAGAUGCAGAUAUGACAGGAGAUGUUGAUUCGAGAAAAUCUCUAUCAAGAUAUUUGCUCACCAUUGUAGGGGGAGCUAUCUCAUGGCAAUCCAAACUUCAGCAGUGUGUUGCCUUGUCUACCAUAGAAGAAGAGUAUAUUGCAAUCACUAAAGGUUACAAAUAAACCUUGUGGAUGAAGAAUUUUCUACAAGAGUUGGGUGUGAAACAAAAUAUCUUUGUUGUGUAUUGCGACAAUUAGAGUGCCAUUCACUUGGCAAAGAAUUCGACAUACCAUUUGAAAUCUAAGCAUAUUGAUGUGAGGUAUCAUUGGAUACGAGACGUGCUUGAGAAGAAACAGUUGCAGGUUGAGAAGAUACACACAACAGAGAGUGGGUCAUAUAUGAUGACAAAACCAUUACCUAAGGAGAAGCUGAAAAGCCGUAUGCAGAGAGCGGGAUUGGUAGUGCCCCCCACAUGAUUCGGAGAGGGAGAUUUGUUGGGCCCAUCUCAUUUGGAGGCCAAAAGGCUAAAGUUUAAUAAGUUUGGAAAAUUAAGUAAUGAAAAGAGGCUUAAAAUGAAAUUUGCCUAUAAAAUGAAGUGAAAGACGCUGCCUUAGAUAAUUUUGAGAGUGAAAAAGCGGUGAAAGAGAGAGAGAAAAGACAAUAGAUGCUUUUAUUUAGGAAUAGUAAUUUUAAUCUUUCAUUAGACGAUCGGAAGGCGAUAUUAACUCUUAUUUCUCUUAAAUUUUUAGCGGAAGUUCUUGGCAUCGGCGCAUCGGCCUUUACAAUCCUACUAGCGUUGAUUUUUAUUUUAUCCUCUCUUUGACUAUUAUUUGAGAUACUCACUUGUUGGAGAGAUAGUUAUUAGGUUGUUACUGUAAGCCAUAUUGAGAUUCUUGAUGUUGGUAGCCCAUAGUAUUAUCUAGAGAAGAAUUUGUAUUGUAAUCUCAUUAAUAUAAUGGAAGAUUAUAGCGGACUACGGUCCCAUGAUUUUUCUCGCUUUAAGUUUUUCACGUAAAAAUAUGUCUCUUGUAGUUGGUUUUUGCUUUGGAUUUAUUAGUUUAUUUUUCUGUCUAUUUAUUUGUAGUGCACAUCCUAUUUUAAUCACACAAAGAAGGAAAGAGUUUUUUUUUUCCGCUUAAUUUACAGCUGUUUGUGGUGGUCCUUUCCCAACAAUGUCUUCUGCAGUAAGCACAAAAACAAUGUAAUGUGUUUAUGCAAAUAUAUGAGAAACAAUAAAUAAAUCAAAAUGGAGUAAUAUUUAUCUGAAAUUUCUAGAAGUUUAGAUGAUCUAAAUUAGGGGCGAAGCCAAAAAAAAAUUCAUGGGUAGGCUAAAUUUUUUCCAAAUCCAAAUAUUAUCUCGGCUAAAAAUAUAAAUCUGAAAGAAAUUUUUUUUAAUACAUAAGAAAAUAUAUCAUAUCUAAGAAGCAAUUUAGUCACAAUUAAACACUAUUAAGUUUUGCCUUACCAUACUUUCGAGAAUUAAACCCAUCUAUUAUCGAAUUUAAAUUGAUGGUGCUUACAAGUUCUCUUUUAACAUAGAUAACUAUACAAUCUGAUAAAAAUUCCUUCUCCUUCUUAUUUUAAAUUGGUGUUUAUGCUCGUUUGGUCAUUGCAGCCAAAACAAGGUAUAAAUAUAAAAGAAGUUAAAAGACGUAAUCACAAAUUCACUAAUAAAAGCUAUAGAACCGUCAAUCUAUCAUGAAAUACAGGUUAUGCAACCUAAGAAAUGGGUGAAUUGGGCUUCUAAAAAUUUAAUCAAUUAAGAAUUAAUGCAAUUUAAACAAAGUAACCAAAUUCGAAAUAAACAAUUAAUGUGCAAUGAAAAAUAAAGAGGUAGGGUAAGAGAGACCAAACACGUGAUUUUUAUGUGGUUCGGUCAUUCGUGCCUACGUCCACGCCUUCAAGCUCACCGGACUUAAGGAUUUCACUAAGUGAUUCUCCAAGACUUCAACAACUCUUACAAUUGACUUCCAAGGAGUCAAUAGAUCUUUACAACAAGAGAUUAUCUUCAAUCUCUUAACCCAAGUGUAUCCCAACACUUACAACCUCUUAACUUGAUUUUACAAAAAUGAUUACAAAUAAAUUUUCCUCACAAUUUGUUUGAUUACAAAUGAAAAUUCAACAUGUGUGAAUAAAUAAAAUGAAUACACAAAUUUUGUUCUCUAAUUGCAGAGGAUUGCUCAAUGAUAACAAUGGUUGUCUCUCUUCAUUUUAAUUUAAUUGAAGUCAUUUUAUAGUUGGAGCAGAAAAUUAGCUGUUAUUGACUUUUUAGUGAUAAUCGGCUUGUCGUUUUAUGUUAACUUUGUCGCUUGAUGUUACUGCUACAGUCAAGGAUUUGAAUGUUUGCACAUCUAGUUUGUCACUUUUCAUUUUUCAGUUAGUCAAUUUUACUCCAGAGAGCUUUUGCUUGAUAACCAGUUUGUUGCUUUGAUAAAUCCAGUUAGCCGUUUGCUACAGUGAAACAUCUAUUUUCUAAAAUUAUAAUGUUACCCUAAAACUUUAUAAAAUUAUAUUACGUCCCAAAUCUUUAUAAAACUUUGUAAAUAGAUCAAUUUCCAGAAUUUUAAAAUAAUACUUAUUGAUUUCAAAGUUCUCAAAACUUUCUAAUUUAAACCAUAAACUUGAAAACAACAAAUUUCAUAAAAUAAUUUUCUUGUUUCAAAAGCAUAAUAUGUAAUUAUUUGUUUAUAUAAAACAUGUGGUUUGUUAUCAUCAAAAUAACAUUUUAUAGCUAUAUAGCCUAACAUGUCACUAUGACACACAUUGACACUAUCCAGAAGCCAAAAAAUAUAUUUAAUUAACAAAUUAACAUUAUGUAUAAUAUCUCUCUAUCAAUACUGAAUUGAAUCUAUGAUCCAUCUAUAUCAAUAAUCAAUUUCAAAUAUAUCUAAUCUAUCAAAAAUUAAUUUAAAAUUUUGAUUGCUAGAAUUUAAUGGCUAAAUUAUCUUCAUUUGACCUAACAAUAAUUUAAUUUUACACAACAAAAUUGGAACAAAAGUUAAGGAACAUAAUCUUUAGUCCUUACUACCUAACAAUUAAUAAGUGUAUUGUAAAUGAUUGAAUAAACAAUAAAUUUAUUAUCUAUUCUUGCCAAGAAGAAGAAAAAGAAUUGAAGAUGCCAAGAAAGAAAGAACGUUCUGGAAUCUUGAAUGAAAUAAAUGCUCUCUUUUUCUAUUUUUUUUUAAAGACUUUUUCUAUUUAUUUAUUUGAAUGACAAAGUUGUAAAUUAAUAUAGCAGUACUAUUGUAAAUAAAAUAGUGGCAAUUUUGUAAACUUUGUAUUAUGGCAUUUUUGUAAAUUUUCUAAAAAUUUUCCAGCCCACUUGGAGCCUCGCCAUUGAUGUGAAGAGCAAUGUUAGGUAUCCCAACAUAUAAGUCCCAAUUUGAGUCCCUACUAACGUGAAAUUCAUCUAUUGAACGGUGAUUAAGUAAUUUUACUAGAUAUGAGAUCCAUCAUUCAAUUGAUGAGUGACACAUAUCAUUAUGAGUCAAGUUGAUACUCAAAUGUUGGGAUCCCAAACAUCAUUGCUUAUCUAAAUUUAUUGUAGCAUUAUAUGUUUCUUGUUGUUACACGACAUCCCUCCUCAACAGAAAAUUAUUCAAUAAUUUCAUAUCAAUCGAAUACUUUUGCUGUGUUACAAAGUGGCCUCUAGCAGGUUACCAAAUUGAUUCACAAUUUGUCAGAUCAUUUUACUGGAAAUUAAACUAUUUCAACCAACUAAUUAUGCUUAGUGAUGGUAAAAACUCAGGUCGGUCCCAGAUACAGCAAUACUCAAAUUUGGCCCAAGCAUUUUUUCCUAACACUCAGGUUGGGCUUAAAAACUCGGCACCAAAUGGAUUAUUUUUUAUGGGCUUAAAAAUUUUAAGAUUUUAUAUUUAAUAAUAUUAUACAUGUAUAUUUGCGAUCACCUCAUAUUGAUAAAAAGUCUGGAGAAUAAUUUGAAAUGGAGAUCACAGAAACAGAAAGGCAUGAAUUGUGCAAGAAGUUCUUUGGAGUUUCAAACUUUUAACCCAAUUCAUUAUAUUGAAUUUACUUACUUUUAACCUAAUUCAUGAUAAGCAGUCGCAAAUUCUAUUCGCGAAUUCUUAUGCUACCCUUUUGACAUCCAUACAUGUAUUAGUUCAACAAUUUCUUACAUCAUAUAAACCCGGACUUCUUUUUUACAUUAUAAACAUUUUGUAUCUUUUAUUCAAAAACAUCAUGAUUGUAGAAAUUGAACACUAAAAUAAUUCAGAAAAUACUACAGGUUAAUUUUUAGUAUUAAUGGGUUAGUUUCUGUUGAGUAUAUUAUAUUAUACAAAGAAUAGUCUAUUGACACUAUUGGACCAAAAAUAGAAGAGGCUCAAUCAAGACCCAAAUAAAUUUAAUCUCAAUAAGGCCUAUGUAAUAAAUUUACUCUCAAUUAAACCCACAAAGUGCUGGACAAACUACCUAGGAUAAUCCUUCUAAGUAAUAAGACUUCAAAGCCUAAAAGAUCUCAAAGUCCAAGGCUAAAAGGUUCUAAAGUCCUAGGAUUAUAUCCUAAAACAAACCACCUAGGAUAAUCCUCCUAGAUGAUGAAGCUUCAAAACCCAAAAGGUACCGAUGUCGUAGGCUCAUAUUCUAAGACAAACUACUUAUGAUAAAUCUCCUAAGUUCUAAGGUUCCCAUCAUCUUAGAGUCUUAGUAAAAACAAUCUAAGGUUAAAAUGUUUCUUUCUGUAAUCUAUAGAAAAGUUUGCAUAUCCAUGUGUCAAUUAAUAUAGGCACAAACAAACAAGUGUCGCCAGAUGUGAUACGAACAAUGACACUUGUCAUCAAAAUAAAUAGGACUCAAGUCAAAUCGGUUUGGAGCAUAACAAAAAGUUAUUUGAGCAUGUUAAUGAAAUAGCAAUGAGAAAAGGAUUCACCCAGCACAGCUUGCGUUAGCCCGGCUUCACCACCAAGGUGAUGAUGUGUGUCCCAUAUCUAGAACCACCAAGUUCGAACAGCUCAAUGAAAAUAUUGAAGCUCUCACAGUGAAAUUAGCUCCAGAAGAAAUGGCUGAACAUGAUUCCAUUGCUUUGGCGGAUGUUGUAAAGGGUGAUCGACAUCCGGAUACAGUAACUACCUACAAAGACUCUGAUACUCCACCUCUGUCUUAAUGGAGACCUUCUUAAAGGAAGUGGAUAGAAUCCAAGCGCUUAAAUAUAAUUAAACCUACUUACAAAAUACCCGAGACAUUAAAUAAAACAAGAUGGCUGCAAUGUUCUAAAAUUUCUAGAUGCGUUGAAAUUGUCGACCCGCUUGCUUGUGAUGCAGCUAUCUGGAAUACAACCAGAUAAAUUAAUAGCAAGGAUCCUAAAAAAUAUAUUUAUUCAAAAAUUAUUAAUUAUAAUUAAAUUAAUAAAUUAUUAAUUUAUGAAUAUAUUUCUUAUUUUAAAAAAUAUGAUCACGUUCAUAAAAUUUCUAUUUUCCAGAGAAACCGAAAAUAGUAAUUAACGAGUUGUAUUGCCCUAACGGAAUGAAUGGGUGUUAAGCACCUCUUACAGCAGAAUUUUAUGUGGCUAUCAAAUUAUUAAAAGUAUCACCAAAAAUGAUAAAGAAUGAAAGGUUGAAGUGGCAUCUUUCCCCUACAAACUGUCUCGAUUAAUUAAAAGCUAUUUUAAAUAUUUAAAAUCAAAAUAUUGUCCUAAUCAACUUUUCAUUUUAUGCACCGUUGACAGUACAUAUUCAUGCCAUCACUCAUACUGUGAUUAACAAGGAAAUUCUACAAAGGGCAGGGUAAAGAAACAAGCAAGCGAAGAAACAAGGAGAACAUUAAUGAACAUAAAACAUUACUAUGAAACAUUUGAAGCAUGUGAGCUUUGAUGAAACGUUUAGAUGUUUUCAUAAAUAUAAGUUAAAUUAUGAUAUUUGAUUACAUCCCAAAUAUAAGUUAAAUUAUGAUAUUUGAUCACAUCCCAUUUUCAACGGCAAUCGUAAUAUGCAAGAUACAAUAGAUAUCAUACAGUUUCCAACUGAUCCAUAUCAUCGUAUUAUGUGCUUACUAAUCAUGAAGCAGAGUAACUGCAGCUCAGUGCUUGGUUUUAGGCCUCUUCACUAUCAUCACCGUGCAAUGAGCAUGAUGAGCACAAUAAUCACUUACACUGCCCAAAACCGCCCUGCAAAAGAAUCGAUCUCAGUUAUAAAUCAUCAGAAUCCCCAACAGGAAACAAAUGAAACCUACUAACCCUCUCAUUCAACAAAAUUUGUAAAUCCAUAGUACGUAUGACAUUCCCAGCGAAAGAAUACUGAAAUAGAAACCGAUCAAUAUUUUUUUUUUUUUUUCGAAAGGUAGAGGAGAAGGCAAAUCCCCAAUUAAAUUUUUAGUAUCAAUUUGCAUUUGGGUGGCCAGUCAAAGAAAAGCGUUUUACUACAUCUCAAUGACAUUUUUUCCACUCUAUUUUCAUCUGGUUAUAGCUACUCCAUAAUAAAGAAUAAAAUAUUGAUUCAUAUAAGCUUUUACAAAUAGUACUACAACAGAUUUGAGUCCUCAUUACAACUGAAAAAUAUGAAUAAUAACCAAAACAGUUCACCAUACCAAGUUCCACUCGAGAAAAUAUGAGAUACCAAAGGAAACAACUUAUGGUAGAUUUAUACCUUUUGAUCGCUCCAUAGCCAUGACUACCAACAACCAAUAUGGAGGCAUGAUGCUUCUCUACAGCCUCACAGAGGAUAUUUCGAGCAUCUCCUUCCACCACCUCAACAACAAAGUCAUGCACCUAAACAAAACAGAACUACUAAUUUACAGAAAUGAUACCAGAAGAAAAACAAUUAAGUAUACCCAUUAUAAUCUGGUAUACGGAAACUGGGGAAAGAUAAAAGGAUAAGCAUGAAUACUUAUCCAGAUCUACCAAUUUAGAAAGGUUAAUUUUGGAUUACCGAUCGUAAAAUGACAGUCCUCGAAGUACCUCUAAACCAUUCUAAACCUUAAUUUACCUCUGUUUGGGUUUAAAAAAUAAAUAAAAAUCAGGGGGCAUUGAUGAAAAUUUUUUCGUCUUCUUAACAGAAAUGAGGGAAAGUUUAUGUUUAGAGGAGUAUUUUGAAGAUUAUCAUUUCACGAGUGGGGCUAUCUAAAGAUAGCUUUUUCCACCAAUGUUGUUAGUGGGAGUGUUCCGAACUAGUCUUGGUAGAUUUUUGAACUGUACUACAAACGUGUAUUUGUAUAUAGAAUCUCAGACGAUCCCAAGAUUGUAAUUUAUUUAUAGAUUGUAAUAUCAUUAAAAAGAAAUAACAAACUAAUCAUUACCGAUUUACUGCUACAGAUUUCUUUAGCCUUCUCCACAACCCUAGCAGCAAUCUUCUUCAAAUCUGAGUCCACAUAAGGCAAAACCUCGGCGGCUCCUGCGAUAAAUUAGAAUUAAAAACCAGGUACUUGAUCAUCAAGAAAGAAAGAAAAAACAAACAAACUAAAAUCGAAAAUUAAAAUCGAACAAAGUACGACAAAAUCUAUUACUUAAUUUCUAAGACUUGCAAAGCAAAGACAAAUACCAAAGGACUAAUUGAUAAUUAGUUAAAUUUAUAAUUACUUUACCAGGUCCAGCGAGGCCAACAACAGAAGAAGGGGAAGGUUUGGCGUGAACGAUGACGAGUUUGAAAGGAGGAUUUACAGUCGAAUUUGCGAAGAAAUGAUCGAGCGUCCAUUGAAGCGCGUACAUGCUGUGCUCGCUAUCGUCGAUCCCUACCACCAUCGUUUGUGUCUCAGCCGUCGCCAUUGAGACGAUGACGACUCAACCCUUUUUUUUUUCUUUUUUUUUCCUUUUUAGCUGUGUGUUAGUUAGAAAGUUGCAGAGUUUGUUCGAUUUCUAACCUAUAUAAGCGAAUAAAUCGAAGAGACGGCAAAAUGAUUAUCUAGAUAAGACGACAACGUAGCAAGUGAAGCAAGUUGCGGGCGAUUGGCGGAAAGUGCUUUAAGAGUCUGGAGUUUAUUUAUUUUUUUUUUUUUUUUUGAGAAGGUAAAGGUAGGGGUGGGUAAAAUCGAGUUCGGGUCGGGUUCGAGUCAAUUCGAUUGGGUUUUAGGUUGUUCAAGUUAGACAAGAAUUAAUCCGAAUAUAACAUGAAUUAAUGACCCGAUCCAAACAUAGUUCGGGUCGAUUCGGGUCGGGUCAUUAAUUCGGGUUAUGUUCGGGUUGGAUCGGGUUGGAUUUAAAACAGCUAGGAUUGAGUUCGUGUCAAUUCAGGUCAGUUCAAGUCCAAUCGAGUCAGUUCGGGUCGGUUGAAAUCGGGUCAAUUCGGAUCAAAUUUGGUUAAUACAAUUUUGAGCUCUUUUUUUCCUAUUAUUGUAGUUUUUAUGAAAGUUUUAAGACAUUUUUCUUAAUUGUAGUCAUUUUUACUAAUUUUCAACUGAAAAAAGAAAAGAAAAUGUUAUUAAAUCAAAUAAAUAAAGUUAAAAUGCUAUAAUAGGAUUAUUUGCCUAUUGGCUUGGAGGGUAGAAUUAGGACUAUUAUUUGCUCAAUCAACAAAAUCCAAAGUUCCAAACUUAAUAAAAGUUAAAAUUAAUACAAACUUACAAAGUCCAAAGCACAAUUUCAAAAUAUUAGUCUUUAAAAGUUUGAAACACAAACUCACAAAGUCACAAAAUUAAAUUGUUCAGAAACAUAAAUCACAAAGUUCAAAGUUCAAACAUUAAAACUAAAUAAGCUUUCUUGGUUCCUCCACCUUGGUUCCUCCAUGUCCGCCUUGGCCGUACAGCAGAACAUUAAAACUAAAUAAGCCACCUUGGUUCCUCCAUGGCUCCAUGCAAGUACUUUGACAAGUUCUAAAUUCAAAUUUUUGAACGCUAAGUUCAAGUGCCGAUUGCCUAGAGAAAGAUUGAGGAAAUGUACAAUAAAUAUUUUCCUUAAGCCACGUUCCAAAUGAACAAACUCAAUUCAUAUAAAAAAUUGAGCAAAUAAACCAAAUUCAUAAGGUUACUCAUCAAACACAAAUACAAAUAAAUAAAUCCAAUUCAUAUCUUUAAUUAAGCUAAAUGAGUGUUACAAUCUUUCUAAUUUCUAUUAUAUCAUUAUAAAUUUAUAAUUACAAAUAAAUAUAUAUGUUUACCAAAUUUUUCAAUACACACUUGAUUAUAUAUUUCUAUUAUAUCAUGCUUAUUUUAUGGCAUUCAUCACCAAAUCAAGUUAAUAAUAAUACUAGACAAUAAUAACAUUCUAUCAACUUCAACUUGUCUAACUAAAACAAUUACAAAUUACACUUAAAAUUUAAAAAUAUAACAACUAUAAUUAUAGCUUAAAUUACAACCAAAUACUAAUACUAUAAUAUCAAAUUAUGAAUAAUAAUAUAUAUUAAAAGUUACCUUUCAAACAUCCAUAACACCAAUGUCGACGCCCACCGCUUCCACUGUUGAAGCUUGCAAUCUUAUAAGUUUUAUAAAAUCCAAAAAAAAAAAUUAAUAUGUAGAUGUUCUAUAUAAAGUUAUAAUGCAUUUUAAAUAUAUUAUGUAUUUAAUGUAUGAUAAAAAAAAUUAAAAACAUUACCUUCUUGUAAUUCCAUAUGAAACAUUUGCUCCUUGAUAUCUUCUUGGAGGUUGUAGACGGGAUUGGCAAAAGUUUAGACUGCAGCCAAUUUUCAGUGCAUAUCAAUGCCUCAACCAUAGCCGGAGUUAAAGAACUCCUAUACUCAUCAAUAAUACGACGCCCGGUGCUAAAGGCAGACUCAGAUGCCACUAUGGAAACAGGAACAACAAGGACAUCUCUUGCAAUUUUCUCAAGAAUUGGAUACCUCGAUCCAUUCACCCUCCACCAAAGCAAAACAUUAAGUUAAAGAUUGCUGAGAUCUUCAAUUGGGUCCUUCAAGUACCUUUCCACCUCAGAUACUACUCUUCUACUCUCAUUCUGAACAGAAACCUUCUUGGCAUAUCCAAGGAAAGGGCGAGAUACUUGAAAAGCAUCAUCAUAUUCACCACCAGCAACAUCCACCAAAUUAGCCUCAGUUGUAAAACGUUGAGAAGAACUUGUACCUCCAUAGCUGCCACUAAGACCACUCUCACCAUACAUCGAUAGUGUGGAACUAGCGGAGAAUGCACUAUAUGCAUCAUAAAACUCAUUCAACAAGUCCUUCACUGCUUUGGUCAUUUAUUCAACCAUCAAACUAUCAUUGCCAAAAAUGAUCUCAAAAAUAUGUUUAGCAAAAUUCAUUUUCGCUCGUGGAUUAAGAAUAGAGGCAAUAAUCAACAUUUUGUUUAUCUUUCCUGUGGACUCCCAAUACUUGUCAAAUUUUUCCCUCAUACUAUAAGGCAUAGAGGAUACCCAAGGAUCUGUACUUUCUUGCAGUGCAGUCAAUGAACUCUCAAUUAAGCCAAUAGUAUUAUAACAAAGAUUAGAACUCACACUCAAAGAGGCAGAAAACAAUAAUGUGGCAUCAUAAAAUACCUUCAAAAACUUCACAAUCCGUUCAGCACUCUCCCAAUCAUCCGGUCCAGGUGGGCCCACCCUUGUAACAUUAUUUUCUUUCUCAGCAAAGUAUGCCUCAUAAGGUUUAUCCACUUCUGACAUUCUAUCAAUUGCCGCUUGAAAUUUCAGUGCAAUCAUCAACAUCAAGUAAGUGGAAUUCCACCUGGUAGGACAAUCCAAAACAACAAUUCCUUUUGGACAAUUCACCUGCUCAACACAUUAUUUAAAUGUCCGCAGCCUCAUGCUGGAGGAUCUCACGUACUUCACUACAUUUCGAAUAGCGGUAACACUAGCAUGCAACUCUCCCAAUCCUAAGACAACAAUCAAAUUCAAAAUAUGUGCACAACAACGCACAUGCAUAUAUUGUCCCGCCAACACAAGUGCAUCAUCAUUCCUCCAACUAAGCAACUGCAUAGUGACAUAACUAACAACAAUAUCAUUUGCAGUGGCAUUAUCAACAGUUAUUGCAAACAACCUCUCUAUCCCCCAAUCUUGUAGGCAAGCCACAAUCUUUUUACUAAUCGACUUCCCUCUAUGAUCUUCGAUUGCGCUAAAACGAAUAAUCCUCCUAUUCAAACACCAAUCACUAUCAAUAAAAUGAGCUAUAAUCACCAUGUAGCUCAUGUUUUGAACAGAAGUCCAUAAAUCAGUUGUAAGAGACACCCGCUGCUUGUUGUUGCAAAUUAAACUCUUCAACAUUGCCUUUUCCUCCAAAAAUAACUCCAUAACAUCUCUACCAAUUGUUCUUCGAGAUGGCAUAACAAACUAAGGGAUAGCUACACUGCAGAAAUGCCUAAAUCAUUUGUUGUCUACAAAACUGAGCAGCAACUCACCCAUAAUAAUAAUUUUAGUUACUGCCCUUCGACACGCGUCUUGACUCCAUCCUUUAUCCAAAACCAAAUUACUUGCAUUUUCUUCGCCGCCCUUGGAUGUCAAAUUUUGUUGACUUCCACUUUGUUGUGCCCGAAAUGUCUUGUAUGAUUCACAUGUCUUUAUAUGCCUUGUCAUAUUUGUAAUCCCAUCAAGCCUUGAAUGACAUUGAUAUUGCUUACCACAAUAGUUGCACAUACAUUUGUUUGGAUUAUAUUCGAGUAAAGUGAAAUAAUUCCAUAUUGCCGAUCUUUUCUUCAUUGGCGGUCUUUUCCGUUUCGCCUUUUCCUUUCCUCUAUGGGUUCCUUCCAUUUGUACACUUUGGUCUUCAUCGUCACUCAUCGAAUUCGAUCUUGAGUGUCCAAGCAUCUGAAUAUUCAAAAUAAUAAUUAAUAAUAAUUAAUUCAAAAAUCAAAACACAUAAAUAUUGUUUCAAUUAUUAACAAUUAUCAAUUAAUAUUAUUUCAAUUAUUAACAAUUAUCAAUUAAUAUUAUUUCAAUUAUUAACAAUUAUCAAUUAAUAUUAUUUCAAUUAUUAACAAUUAUCAAUUAAUAUUAUUUCAAUUAUUAACAAUUAUCAAUUAAUAUUAUUUCACUUAUUAAUAAUUAACAAAAUUUUUAUUAUUCGCUGGCUAACACCAUUUUCGUAUGUCCUUUAUGCUUGAUUGUUAUAGUCUAUUCGCUAAAGAGAGCAAACGAUAACAAAUUAAUAAUCAAUGAAAUAAAAACAAAACCCACCAAACCAAUCAUCAAUUCCUUUUUAUAUAUGACAAAAAAAUAAUUUCUGAUGAGCUCAAUAAUUAACAAAAUUUCUUUGAUUUUAUUACUAAUAUUUAUAAAUACAUAAUUAGUUAAUUACAACAAUUAAAUAAUAACCAUUAACCAAUUACUGAAUUAUAUAAUAAACUAUUUACCAUAUAUAAUUAAUUAAUUAUAUAGUGUAUAUAUAGUUAUAACUUAUAUACCGUGAACUGAAGUGAAAACUGAAAAGACGUGGAAGGUGGAAACCGGAAGCACUCGGGUGGAGAGGAUUCGGCCUUCAAGCAGCAGAUCGGUGGCCACGGCUCACGGCUGGACGGACGAGAUUUCACUUGGCAGCAGAUCGCGGCUUCACUUGGGAGUUGGCAGCAGCAAAUUGCGGAGAUGCGGAUGGCUCACGGCUCACAGCUCACGGCUCACGGCUGGACGGGUUUGACUGGCUCACGGCUGGUCGCGACUUCACUUGGCAGCAACAGAUCAUGAUUUCAGUCGCGGAGAUGCGGACGGCUCACGGCUCACGGCUCACGGCUCACGGCUGGUCGCGACUUCAGUUGGCAGCAACAGAUCAUGAUUUCAGUAGUUGGCAGCAACAGAUCGCGUCUUGUGGUCGCUGGUUGCAGACUUGCGGGUUGCGGCUGCCUUGUUCUGUUGUUCAAUUGUUUGUGUUUGUUUAGUUGUUUGAACUUGUGAGUUGUGGCUGACAUCGUGUGUGUGUGUGUGUGUGUUAGGUUUGCGAGUGAAUUGUUGAGACUUGAGUGACUGUGUGCAGCGUGUGUGUGUGCUGUGCAGCUCGUGUGUGUUCACUGAACGUCUUGUGCACCUUGUGACUUCUUUUCUGUUCUGUGUGUGUGCUGACUGUUGUGCAAGUGUGCAACUUAUGACUUGUGUUGUGUGUGUGCAGCACAGCAGCAGCGUAUGUGUGUGUGGCUGUGUGUUGUACAGCUUGUGACUUGUGUGUGUGUGUUGUGCAGCAGCCGAGCAGCGUAUGUGUGUGUGCAGUUAAAAGACUUCCGAAAAAGCCUAAGAGGCGCAAUUUUGCAACUUUGAUUGGCUUUGGAGAAUUAAUCAAUUCAUCCAACAAUUGAGUUUAAUUCUGAAAAGUUAAUUUUAAUAUUUAUUUUUUAUUAUAAAUUAAUUUUAAAAUAUUAAAAAUUAAUUUUAAUAUCUGAUAAAUUAUUUUAAAAAUCAUUUUUAGAAAAAUCACUUUAUUUUAUAGUGGAUUUUCAGAUGUAUGAAAUGAAUAAUUUUUUUAAAUUUAAUUUUAUAUCUAAUCAUUCCAUAUAUUAUAAAAAUAUAAAAUUAAUCUUAUUAAUUAAAAAUAAAAUUAUUAACCUUAAAUAUAUUAUUAUUGUUGUUACUAUUUAUAUUGCAAUAACAAAAUAAAAAAUAAAAUUAAUAAUAAAAAAUAUUUAUUUUAAUUAUCAAUUAUUUUCUAUACAUAAAAAAUAUUUUAUAAACAUGUUGAUAAAUGUCUAAAUAAAUUUUACUUAACAUUAUAUCGAACUCAAUCAUUUGUAUUCUUACAGUAGUUUAAUAAGUAAAAUUUAUUAAACACAUACGAUUAUUUUUAAAACUCACAAUAUUUUUAAAAAUAGAAUUUAUUAAGCAUUUAAUUAUUUUUUUCGUAACUGUUUAUUUAUAUACCAUAGAUAAUAGUAAUUAUUUAAAAGCAUAUUAUUACCAAAUUGGCCCUAAAAUUCAAAUGUUCUUUGGAUGUUUUUGUAAUUUUGUUAUCAACUUAUCAAUAGGAAACUUUUUUUUGUAAUUUUACAACCCAGCCCAUACUAACAUGGGCCAUAUGGGGCAGGCCAAGUUCGAGAUAACAAACCUAGUAACCUACAGCAAAUAAUGUCCAUCACCACUUUGAUCAGGUUAAAAAAAAAAGUUCCCAUCAGAAUUGCAUUUUUCAGUUUUUUUUUUCAAAAGGAUCAGUUUUCCCCAGUGUUAGUUUGCCUGAUGCCCAAUUGAAAUCAAAUCGACUUUGUCAAAGUAAUUGAAAUCAAAACGACUUUUUUUUCGUAUUUUAUAUACUUACUUCUUUUAUAAGUAUAUGUGUCUUCAUCUGAUUAGGCUCCAUUUCGAGUGUGGUUACAAUGCCAGGAGGCAAUCUUUAGGCAUGAUGACCUAAAACAACUGAUUUCUUUAACUGAUUACUAUAUUUAACUAAUUAGUUAAAUUUUAAAAAUUAAAAUAGGAUAACAUACUAGUUAAAUUUUUUUGAAAAGAUAAUAUUAAUAGAAAGGAAAAAAAGAUAAAUAAAUAAAAAAUGAAAGAAAAAUAAUAUCUUAUAAAAAAUCAAGAAAAAAAAGUUUAUAUAAUAAAAGAAAAUAAUUUGUUUGUUAUUUUAUAUGUGUUAUUUCAUAUUUGACAUUAAAAAUUUCAAGUGUAUUGUUAUUUGUCUCAAGUUUAUUAUUUUAAAUACCCCUAAAAUUUUAUUUUCUUCCCCAUUUCAUGUUUGACAUUCGUAUUUCAUAUAUAUCAUUAAUAAUUACUUUUUUAUCGUUAUAUGUUUUAUAUAAAACAAUACUCAUAUUUAAUGUUUAACAUUACAUAUUUAACUUGUAAUGUUUCAUAGUACAUAUUAUUAUUUUAUGUAUAAAUUUUAUGUUUUAUGUUUAUAUCACAUGUUGCAUCUUUGAAAUUUGGUGUUUCAUGUUAGAAAUGGCACAAAUUUUUUUUAUUUUCCUACUUGUUUCAUGUUUGACAUCCGUGUUUAUGUAUAACAUUGUUUGUCACAUAUGUCAAGCACCAUGUUACAUGUUUGCUUUAUACUCAUGUUUAAUAUCUAAAGUUGCAUAUUUAACUUUCAAUUUUUCAUAUCUCAUAUUAUUAUUUCACAUAUAAAUUUCAUAUUUCAUGUUUUCAUCACAUGUUGUAUCUUUAAAGUUUGGUGUUUAAUGUUGGAAAUGACGCCAAAAAUUUUUAUUUUCCCACUCGUUUCAUGUUUGAUGUUCAUGUUUCAUAUAUAACAUCAUUUGUCACAUGUAACAAGUAUCAUGUUGCAUGUUUACACUGUACCCAUGUUUAAUGUCUAAUGUUGCAUACUUAACUUUCAUUUUUGCAUAUAUCAUGUUGUUGUUGUUGUUUUAUUACAUGUAAAUUCCGUGUUUACAUUAUAUGUUGCAUAAGUUUAGUGUUUGAUGUCAUAAACAAAGGCAAAAAAAUUUGCAUUCCUAUUCAUUUCAUAUUUGACAUUCAUGUUUCAUGUACAACAUCGUCGAUCACAUGUAUCAACUAUCAUAUUACAUGUUUACAUUGUACCCAUGUUUAAUGUCUAAUGUUGCAUACUUAGCUUUUGUUUUUGCAUAUUUCGUGUUAUUUUUUCACAUGUAAAUUUCAUAUUUUAUGUUUACACCACAUGUUAUAUAAGUUUAGUAUUUCAUGUCAUAAAUACAGCCAAAUAAUUUUACACUCCUGUUUGUUUUAUAUUUGAUAUUCAUAUUUCAAGUAUAACAUCGUUGUCACAUGUAUCAACUACCAUAUUUCAUGUUACAUCGUACUCAUGUUUAAUGUCUACCAUUACAUAUUUAACUACUAUUUGCAUAUUUCAUGUCAUUUUUUUACAUGUCAUGUGUUACAAAUUUUAUGCUGCCUAAAACAAAUCAUCCUACAUCCUUUUUUCUUCACAUUUAAAUUUAAAAACCCGGCAAAUCGUCCCCCCACCCCUAAACCAAUGGCUAUUUUAGUUGAAAAAUACAAAACAUAGAAACUAUAAACUUUGACAAUAAAAUUCUUGAAAAUGAACUAAUAUACUAAAGGCUUAUGCAUAACUUAUAUCUAUUCAUCCAAUUCCAAUUACCAAACAUCACAACCUAAAUUUUAAUUGUUGCCUUAUAGCAAAAAUACUUAAAGACUGAAGAGAAAGAUGCCACCAUGAGGAAACAAUUUCAUAGAUAUUUCCAAUUAAUUGUAAGGUGGAGCUGUACUUUUGGUGAUUCCUACCUGGUAGCUUAAUUGGCUAAAACUCUUAGGUGAAUUAUUAAGUCUUCAUCUGUUUCUAGUUGAUUUAGGAAAAAAUCUUGCAUUAAGGGACUCUUAAUUCUCUUGAUUUAGAACCAUACUCUCAUUAGAAUAAGAAGUUUAUAAAUAAUUAUGUAACCAUUUAGAUUUUACCCAGUGCAUAAUCUUUCUCUUUCUUUAUCUUACUGUUGAGGGGAUUUAGCAUAAGAUUUCUAGGUAUCCAACCCAAAAGACUAGCCUUUUAGGUGGAGUGAUCUAUCUCCUUAUAAACCCAAGUAUCUCCUCUUUUCUAGCCAAUGUGAAACACAACUCAACAAUCCCCCCCUCGGACGAAACCACCGCCGGACUCCGGUCCUCUUGUCCGACACACCUGAGUUGUUCCACCACACAAACAAGUGGUAUCAGAGCUAUACCCUAGUAGUCGGAAUGUGGUGGUGAAACAACUCAGUUGUGUUGGACGAAAGGAUCGGGAUCCGACGGUGGUUUCGUCCGGGGGGGAUUGUUGAGUUGUGUCCCAUAUUAGCUAGUAAAUGGGAGAUGAUUGGGUAUAUAAAGUGGUAGGUCACUCCACCUAAAAGACUAGUCUUUUGGGUUGGAUACCUAAAAAGCUUAUACUAGGUCUCCCAACACUUACUAUAACAAUUUUUCUUCUUCAUGUUAUUUCUUGAUCUUUUCUUCUUCCAAUUUCAAAUUCAUAAAAUUUCAAUUGCAAUGUAUAUAUCUCAUCAAUUUCAAACUUAAAUAAUCAAUUAAAUAUACCGAUCAAGUAAUGCUCCACAAAAACAUGUUGCUUCUCCCCCUUCAACAUAAAAAAGGCAUAGUAUUUUGGCUUCCUCUUUUAACAGCAAAAAUGUUUAAGAUGCUUAUUACUCAAAAUAAAAACAAUAACAAAGCGGAGUUGCGAUGGCAUUUGCCUCUAUCAAUAACCAAGAAAGCAUAUAAUAUUCCAAGUAAGGGCAUGCAAAAAAUCAUAAGAGUAUAAGAUUGAACAUCAAUAUAUUUGCAAAUAGUCAAAAGGUAAGACGUUAAUUCAUCAACAAAGAUGAAUAACAUAGGGAUGGCAAUGGGGUGGGGUGGGGGUGGGGAGGCCUACCCCAUUCCCCACCCCGUUAGAAAUUUUUGCCUCCAUUCCCCACCCCAUUCCCCAAUAAAUUUAGUGGGGUGGGGAUGGAGAAUCCCCACGUGGGGAAUGAUUUCCCCAUCCCCACCCCAUUCCCCAUUUAUCUAUUUUAUAAUAUGUAUAAAUAUAUUAUUUUAGUAAGUUAAAAAUUAAAUAAAAUCAUCAUCAUAUUAUAAAGUAUUUAAAUUUUUUUUAAAAAAUAUCUAAAAGUUUGAAACAAUAUCUUAAAAUGAUAUUAAAAGUGAAAAAUAUUUAAAGAGUGUAGCACCUUAAAAGAUACGGGAUUGGGGUGGGGUGGGGAGUACAAAACCAAACCCCACCCCAUUAAGAAUUUGGGGAUUAUUUUCCCCCACUCCCCACCCCAUUCCCCAAAAAUUAUUCAAAAUUUUUCCCAUUUGGGGUGGGGCUCCAAACCCGUGGAGGAUUUUGCCAUCCCUUCAAUAACAUAUGCAGAGAAUGCAAGAGAAAAUGUUGGUACGGAAAAACAAAUAAGGAAACAAGAAAGGAUCUAUAAUGGUGGCUAUGGUGGUAGUGGUGGAGGAGGAAUGCCGAGAGAUUCAAAAAUCUAGUGCUGCCCGUCGAGAAGUCAUGGUGCUGGAGCUAAAAGGCUUCAAAUUGCGAGUGAAGGCGAUUUUGUUGCUCGGAGAUAGUACAAACCUUACGUAUAAAACCUUAUUAUUAUUUCAUACUCCAAGUAAUAAUUUAUCAUUAUUUUUUCAUUAUUUGUAAUUUUUUAAUUUUUAAGCGAAAAAAACUAUGGUGACAAAUUUAAAUUACCAAAAAUAACAACUUUGAGUCCAAUAGGUAAUUGGUAAGUUUUUUAUUUUAAAAAUUCAUUAAUACAUAGUGUUGCUUAAAUUAUAUUGCAUUACAUUACACUCGAUUUAAAAGAAUUUGUUAGUGAAAUCAAGAGCACUCAAUUAUAAAAAGGGAAAAAGUCACCUACAUCCCCAAGGCUCGCUUAAACGGUCACACAUACUCUCUUAAUUUCAAAAAUAAUUGUUAUACCCUUUGAUUAUAACAACCCAAAUAAAUAUAGGAAAAAGUAGGUUUUUAAAUUUUUAUUAAACCUUUUGAAGAUCGCUCUCAUAUAAUAUAUAAGAAUUCGUAUUCUAGAAAUCGUACCUUGAAAAUCCGAGUUGGCUUUUUCCGCUGAAGUGAUUUAGGCUCCUAGAUCACGAUCUGCCACCACCACUCCUGUUAGAUCACGAUCCGUCGCCACCACGCUUGCUAGAUCACGAACUGUCACCAAUGAUCUUCCAGGUUAUGACUCAGGUUCGAUCUGCACUUGACGUGUGGGCGCCUUUAUCACUACCAAAGCAACUAGCACGAGAAAAUUUUUCUCUCAAUAAUGGAGAGAAAAAUCUUAUUCUCUGAUCUGUAUAAAGUCUGCUGUACGGCCAAGGCGGAUGUACGGUACAGCAGAUUUUAUCUUAUUUUAUCAAUUAAAUUAUAUUAUAUUAUAUUAUUUUUUUUUUAUUUAUAUUUGUUACAAAAGUUUAUUUAAGGUCAAUUAUUGGGUUAUUGUAAUUAAGGGUAUAAUAGCCAAAAGGGGUUCGGUGUAACAAUUUAUAAAACUAAAAGAGGCUAUGUGACAAUUUAAGCAAAUGUUGGAGGUGUAUGUGGCAUUUCCCCUUAUAAAAAUAGAAAAAGUAAAAGCAAAUUAAUAUAAACAAAAUCUCCCCAAAAUAUGAACAUUAUCUAAUCCCAUUAUAAGCUAAGAAUAAUUUCAUUAAAAGCUUGUAAAUGAAACCUAUAAACAAAGGCAUCUCAAGACUCUGUAAUUAAAAAAAAUAUGCAUAAAGAAGAGUUAGGGUAUGCAUGUCAUACAUGAAUUAAUUUUCAUCAUCGUUUUCCAUUAAUGUCUUGAGCAAUGGAUGCUUUCCCUCAUCAUUAUCAUUAAGAAAAAGGUCUCGACCUGAUCUCCUAAAUAUCAAGUGAAUGACAAAAUUUACAGUACCGAUAUUCAACCCACAAUAAGCACCACAAUAAGUACCGAACGGUGCAUUUUGUGUUCAAUAUAAAAGGCUAUUGUUUGAACAAACAAAUACACUACACGCGCAUUAGAUCUCACACACGCAUUCUCCAUCACUCUCACUCUCAUUCACAUCAAAUCCACUCCUCAUUCAAGUUAGAAAUCUGAACAGCUAAUUCUCCCAAGGCAUUUUCUGUUAUACUCGUGGACUCUUCCUCAUUGUGUGAAAUCUGUCGGCUCUCUGUCACGGUGUAUCAUUCUCUUGGUUGUGUGAGGAAUUGAGUUGCAUCUUGGUGACUGACUUCACUCAUCCUCGAUUGCGGCAAUCAAUUUCUGUAGGUAGUUUGCUUCAUUAACUAGAAUUUUUUUGUACUAAUUAUUAAUUUGUGACAUCUUAGCUGCUAUUAUGUUAAUUUAUAUGAUCUGGAGCAUGUUCGACAGCCAUAGAAUUUUAUGUUAAUUGUCUAGUAAUUACGGAUGAUUAUGCAACAAAACAUGAUCUGGAGCAUGAUCGGCAGCCAUAGAAUUUUAUAAGUUUGAUUUGCAAGUCUAGCCUCAGGUAGGAUGCAACAAACAUUCAUGUGUAUUACAAAGUUAAUAGUAAGCACGAAAUAAAUAAAUAUAUUAUGUAGAUUCAGCUAGUAUAUAUUAAAUUUGUGUUCACAAUUUAUAUCAUUAGUUAGUUUAGUUUUGUAAGGUUGUGCUGAAUUAUUUUCAUUUUGUUACUUCCAUUUUGUCAAUGUGAAUUAUUUCAAUUUUGUAGAAAUAAAGAAUAUGGAAAAAGACAUCGAAGUUGAAGAGUUGGAGAAAAUUGAGGAGAACGAUGAGCCAAUAAUUGGGAUGUCAUUCGAUAGUGAUACCGAUCUGUUUAUUUAUUUCAAGGAGUACGGUAAAAGAAAAGGGUUUCUGGUUUUGAGGAGAACUAGUAGAAAGGAUAGUAAUGGGAUUCUUAGAAAUGUGACUUUUGCUUGUAGGAGAAAUGGUGAGACAAGAAGCAAAUCUGUGAAUAUUUUAAAGCCCCAACCUAAUGCAAAACAAGUUGCAAUGCAAGAUUGGGAGCUGGGUUAGGGGAUGAUGGAAAGUAGACAAUUCGAAGCUUAAAUCUUGAACACAACUUCAAUUCUUGAUUAAGUUUUUAAUGAUUUUUUUUUGCUGCUGUACGGCCAAGGCGGAUGUACGGUACAGCAGAUUUGUGUUUAUGUAAUAUAUUAGGAAUUAUUAAUUAUGUUUUAAAUAUAUUAAUUUUGUGUAUUUUUAUAUGUUUAUUAGGUAAAAUAUUAAUUUCCCGUAAUUCGAGGCUCCAAACAGAUAAACGGGGGUCAAAUUUGGAUUCUGGAGGUCCGAAAACCUUAAGAUCAGUCAAGAUCGGCUUAAAAUUGGGCUUGUGUAAAAAGAGUUGACUUUUUCUAUUGACCGACCACUGUUUGGAUGAUGAAAUGAGCUUACAAUAGAUAUGACUGUAUGGGAUAGCUGACAAUUUUGACUAAAUCUCAACCAUUCAUGAUUCAAUGGCCAUGAUUGCGCCACAUGGCAAUGGUUGGUGAAGCAAGUUGUAGGAUCCGAAUCUUUGUAAUCGGGUCGACCCGAUCCACCCAUUAACCCGCCAAAUCUCAACCGUUCUUUGACCAAAUCGGACAAGUCAAAUGAUGCCACGUGUGAUGUUGACUUUUGAAGUUUUACCAAUCGUCGGAUCUUGAUCUAAUGGUUGUGAGGAGCACAUGCAUGAAGUUUAUGAUGGACCACAAAACACUGGAUUAUGAAUUUAUUUUUUUAUAAAUAGAGGCUCAUUUUUAUGUUUUUAAUCAUCUCUCUACAUCUCUCUUCUUCUCAAAUUCUCAUCAUCUCCCUAUAAUCUUGAUUUUCAGGUGUGUUUUUAAUAUUUUGUAUAAUUUUUUUUAAUUAAUAAAUUUAGUUUUAUUUUCAAUUUAAGUUGUUUUUAUUACUUUUAAUUAUUUUUAAUUUAAUUUUAAUAAUUCUUUUUUUCAAUUAUGCUUAACUAAAUAAUAUUAGUUAGGGUAAGGUGAAACUCUUAGGAAAUAAAUAUGAUUUAAUCAAAUUCUAUUUUUAAUUUUAUAAAUUAAAUUAUUUUCUAUUUAAUUUUAUACAUAUUUUAUAUUUUGAAAUUUUGAUUUAUUGUAGACAAACAAAUGAAUUUGGCACAAUAAAUUCUUAACAUCUUAAUAUAAGGUAUGGUAAAAUGGUAUUUUGACUAAUUGUAGACAAAUUAAAUUUUGUCACAAUAAAUACUUAAUCCAUCAUAAAAUUAAAGGGAAAAUAAUAAUAAUAUAUAUAAUUAAUCUUUUGGGCAAUAAAUCUAAAAAAAUAGAAGUUUUAUUUACUACUAAGAGUAUAUCCACAACCCUAACUAGUUCAAUUUCAUAGUUUCAUUUAAAUUAAGUUCUUUAUAUUCAAGUUUAAAUUUCAAUUUUUAGUUAAAAUAAAAUAAAUUAAUUAAAUAUUUUCUCUAUGGAUCGACCUCGGACUCAUCGAGUUAUAAUACAACAAGACACUCUUAUACUUGGGAGUACUUAGGAGUUAAAAAUUACUUUUAAGUUGUGUCAACAACCAUGCACUGUUAACUCCAACCAAAUCCAAGUGUUUUUGGUGCAAUCGUAGCCUCAAUAUAUAUGCAAAAAAGAAGCUUGAUGUAAAUGAUCAAGCAGGAAUCAAAUUGUGCAAAAAUUAUCAAUCACUUGUUAUUGAGGCUGGCGGUCAUGAAAACGUGUCAUUCAUAGAAAGAGAUUGUAGAAAUCAUGUUCAGAAAGAAAGAAGAUUACGGCUUGGAGAUGGAGAUGAUACUGCUCUUCAAAACUAUUUUAUGAAAGUGCAAGCAAAAGAUAAUAGGUUUUACUUUAGUAUGCAAGUGGAUGAUGAGGGACGAUUAAAAAAUGUUUUUUGGGCCGAGACAAGGAAUAGGAAAGCGUACAAAGAGUUUGGAGACGUUGUUACAUUUGACACCACGUAUCUUACAAAUAAGUAUGACAUGUUGUUCGCUCCAUUUGUAGGAAUUAAUCAUCAUGGGCAUUCUAUUUUGUUUAGGUGUAGAUUGAUUUCACACGAAGAUAUUGAGACAUUCACAUGGUUAUUUCGAACAUGGUUAUUCUGCAUGUCUAAUUCAGCUCCCAUUAGAAUCAUUACAGAUCAAGACAGGGCAAUAAAAGUUGCAAUUCAGAAUGUCUUCCCUAAUACUCGACAUCGGUGGUGUUUAUGGCACAUAAUGAAGAAAAUUCCAGAGAAGCUAGGGGGUUAUAAAGAAUAUCGUGACAUUAGUAAUGUGUUGCAUUGUGCUGUUUAUGAUUCCCAGAGUGCUGCGCAAUUUGAGGAAACUUGGCACCACAUGAUUGUAGAAUAUGAUUUGGGGGAUAAUGAAUGGUUACGAGGCUUAUAUGAUGAGACACAUCAUUGGGUACCUUGUUAUCUAAACAAUACUUUUUGGGCAGGAAUGUCAUCUACUCAACGCAGUGAGAGCAUGAAUGUAUUUUUUGAUGGUUAUGUUAACUCAAAGACUACUUUGAAGCAGUUUGUAGAGCAAUACAGUUGUGCGUUGAAGAAUAAAGUUCAGAAGGAAGUUGAAGAAGAUGUCAGGUGUCUUUCCCAACAAAUGCCAUGUGUAACAUCUUAUGCAAUGGAGAGGCAAGUCUGAGAUGUGUACACUAUUUCAAAAUUUCAAGAAUUUCAGCAAGAAUUGAUUGGGAAAAUGUAUUGCGAAUUUGUCAAUUCUAUGGAUUGUAAAUAUAUAGUUAGAGAGGAUGUCAAAGUUGGAGAGGGUAAAAAGAGAACCUUUUUUUAAGUACAUUUUGAAAAAGAAAUGGUGAAAUACAUUGCAGCUACUCAAGGUUCCAGUUUAGAGGUAUUCUUUGCAGGCAUGCCGUUACAAUCAUGAUCCGCAAUGACGUGGAAGUACUUCCAAAAAAGUAUAUUCUACGAAGAUGGAGAAAAGAUGUGUGGAGAUGCCAUAGUAGAGUGAAAACGAGUUAUGAGCUGCAUAGUUGCACAGAUGAACAAAAACGAUAUGAGAAAAUGUGUGCUACUUUCGCGGAGGUUGCAAAUAUGGCUGCACAUAAUAUUGAAAGCUCUAAUCUUGUUUUCAAUUGGAUUAAAAAUGUAUAGGAGGAUUUAUCGAAGGCAGUUCCAUGCGGAGGUAACGAAGUAACUGUUGUUACAGGCCAAGGAAGUUGUAGUGUGGAAGUAGAAACAGUUAGAGAUCCAGUAGCUCGGCGUCGUAACGGUCAGCCACCUUGUCAAAGAAAAAAGUCUAAUAAAUUUUUGAAAUCUAAAAUGAAUUCCUCACGUUCCAAUGCAAAGGUACUUUUAAAAUGUAUUUUCAAUUUAAUUAAAGUUAAAUAAUUUAUGAGAUAAAUGAUGCUCAAAUGUACGUUUUGUUGACUUUGCAAGAUAACGAUCAAGUGCCGACUGUGAUCCCAACACACAAGAACAAUGUUGUUACGGUAGGUUUUAUGGAAUUCAUAGGCAUGCCAUUGAUUUUUAUUACUUAAUCAUAGACAUUUUUCUAAUAUAUUGUUGAUCCUCUGUAAGCAUUUCAAAAUCCUGAAGGAAGUUGUGUUGAUAUGAAUAUGUACCCACAUUGAGUUAUGGACUAUUGUAAUGUAAGUUUUUCACACUAUAUGUUAUGAUUUUUUUUUAAUUUUCGCUUCAUUUAACGUAUGUUUGUUUUAAGGUCUUAUGAGCUUACAUCAUAUAGUUGGGGAUAAUGUUUAUCCAACACCUACACAAAAUUCUUAUACGGUAAGUGGUGAUAAAUUUAGUAUUUACUCAUCUUAUCUACUUUAUUUUCUUUUAUUAUAACAAAAUAUUUAAUUUUUCUUUUAAUAGGAACCACAAUUCCAGUCACAUGGCCAUUUUCACCAACUACUCUUUCAGCAAGAUAGUGAAUAUGAAGUUGAUAAGGAGUUUCGAAGUGAUUUCGUAGAAUAGCAUUGUUUUUGUUUUAUUAUCAUUAAUAAUAAAGAGGGCAAGCCCUUGGCUAUGAUAUGUGAGCUUGUGGAUUUCAUACAUUAAUUUAUUUUUGUAAUGGUAUAUUUUUCCUUUAAUGGCAUAUCGGUGGUUUUUAACUAUGUGGUAUUGGAAUAUUGGUGUACACUAGUAGGUUCUAAGCAUGAUCCUUUAUUAGAUUUAUAUGCUGCAAAUGUGUUAUUUUUUAGUCGUGUGCUACUAGAAUGGUGGAGGGGUCUGCUGUAGAUGUGUUAUUCUUUAAUUGUGUGCUACUGGAAUGGUGGAGGGAUAUGCUGCAUAUAUGUUAUUCUUUAAUUGUGUGCUACUAGAAUGGUGGAGGGAUAUGCUGCAUAUGUAUUAUUUUUUAGUUGUGUGCUACUGGAAUUGAGGGAUAUGCUGCAGAUGUGUUAUUCUUUAAUUGUGUGCUACUGCAAUGGUGGAGGGAUAUGCUGUAGAUGUGUUAUUCUUUAAUUGUCUCUUAAAGAAUAAAUGUGUUUUUAAUGUGCAGCAAUUAUCAGUAACUUCAAAUAUAAUAUAUAAGUCAACUGACAAAACAAGAGAAGCAAAUAUAUUAAUAAGAGAAGCUAAUAACAUUAUUGUUGCGAACAAUAUUUUACAUCCACUGAAGCAUUCAUGAUACAGUUCACAAAAAAGGAAAGAUAACAAUACAUUAGUUAAUUACACAGCUUAAAUAUAAUACAUAUUAAAAGAGUUAUCAUUAUUUGUGGGACGUAUGUUACAAGAACAUUUGGUUGUCGUCUUCGUUGAAGUUCUUUCUCAAGCAAUUGAAAUUUAAGAGAUAAGCAUUUGAUUUGAUGCCCUAACUUGCGGACUUCUGUUAACAACAUGUCAAUUUUAUUCUGGUUUAUAUUCCGAUCUUCCAUCCCUCUAAAGUCAUUACAUUCACUGCUCUUCUAAUCAUCAUCCCAUUCAAAGGCCCCACAUCCUUUGCACUUCCAAAACUUACGAUUCAGAUUUUCUUUUGUACGUGAAGUUCACAAGACCUUAUUACAAAACUUACGAUUCAGAUUUUCUUUUGUACGUGAAGUUCACAAGACCUUGCAGCAUUUAUCACAAGCUUUACAAGCUUUCAGUUGUGUUUGAAUUUCGCUUGUGCUUGAAGACAUAAUGAUUGAACAAAUUCUGUUCAAUAUACACAACAGCCUAUAAUGAUUGUCAAGGUCACAACACAUAAUGCAUAUAAACAACAUAGACAACAUGAUGCUUCUCCAAUAUAAAUAGCACAUAUUGCAUAAAAACGACACAAAAUGAUGAUUCUCAAAUCAAAGCUCAAGCCUAGCAAACAAAGGUAAUACCAGUAUAUAAGUUUCCUUUUAGGAUUAUCAUCAGAAUAAGCCCUUGCACAUUAUAAAACACACUACAAAUAUAAAUUUCUCAAAUAACGGAAGCUUAUAGCAGCAGCUGCUAUAUCAUUUUGACAAAAUACAGCAACAAUUUCAUAUGGACUGGUAUUUUAAAAAUAAGGCCAUCUCCUAAGACUAUCAAAAUGCCAUCUCCAGCACAAGGCCAUCUCCUAUGACUAUCAAAAAUGCAAUUACAAAUCAAACAUAUUUAAACUAAUUUUCUCAUCAAUCCAAGUGCAAUUAAAAUUGUCUCGUUGCAAAAAUUCAUAAUCAACUCACAAAAAUUUGGCAUUAGCUCUAUAAUUCGACUACGGCAUUAAUCCAAGGCCCACGGCACAAGCCUUCAACUGAAAAAAAGGUGGGCACAGCACGGCCCACCAAAUUGGUGGGCCGUAUCGGGCCGACCCACAAGCCCUUGUGAGCCGACACCGGCACGGCCCAUUGGCCAUAGUUAGUCUCUAGUGACUGCCAAGGAUUAUGUGGAUUUAUGUAAGGAACCAGAUAUGGAUGAGGUUAGGCGAGUGAUUUUCUCUAUUGAUCUUACUAGUGUCCUGAGUCUGAAUGGGUUAUACAGUAGAUUUUACUAGUCAUGUUAGGUCAUUAUUUACAGUGAUUUAUUAGAGGUUGUCCUUGAUUAUUUUAGAGUUUUUGCUAUGCAUAGGGGUUUUAAGAGUGCGUGCUGGUUCUUCUUCUUAAAAAGCCCUCAUCAGCUUCUUGGGUAGAUUUUCGACUAAUCAGUCUAUGUAAUGUGAGCAAUAAGGUUCUGAUCAAGUUGCUUGUGUUGAGAUUUUGUUGCCUCGUCUUAUCUCUCUUUCUUGGAGUGGUUUUGUCUCUGACAGGGUGAUCCACGAUAAUGUUCUUUUAGUUCAGGAGCUGGUUCAUGAUCUCAACUUUCGUACUCAAGGGAACAAUGUAGUGCUAAAGCUUGAUAUGGCCAAGGCUUAUGACCGGAUGUCUUGGUCUUUUAUUGCUCAGAUGCUGCGAUGUUUUGGGUUUUCAGAGUGGUGGGUCUCUUUGAUUCGAUGAGCUAUCUUUGGCUCUUGGUUCUCAUUGUGGUGAAUGGUGUCAACCAUGGAUUUUUCUAGUCUCAGAGAGGUCUUAAGCAAGGCGAUCCUCUUUCUCCUUAUUUGUUUAUCAUUGCUGAUGAGUUUUUGUCUCAGGGCUUAGACCAUUUGUACUCUCAAUAUCCCUUUGUGCAGUAUUGUUUUGUUGCACGUAUCAUUGUCUGUCAUUUGAGCUUUGCGGAUGAUGUUGUUAUUUUUGUAAAUGGGAGUUAGUUGAGCCUUCAGCAGAUUAUAGAUUUUUGACAUCAUUAUGAGGCAAUUUCGAGGCAGUUGAUUGGUCAGGCCAAGAGCAGUUUCUAUAUUGAGGGCUAGACUUUUGCGUUGCACCAGCUAUUGUCCAUUUUAUCACUGGUUUCCAAUGACGUCAGCUUUCGUUCAUUUAUCUUAGGUGCUUGGUCUUUAUGGGGCGUCUCAAAAUUUCUUAUUUUAAUGAUAUGGUACGAAAGUCCAGGGAUCGGAUCUCGGGUUAGACUAAUUGAUUGCUAUCUUUUUAUGGGAAGCCAGUGCUCAUUCAACAUGUAUUGUCAUCUAUGUCGUUUCAUUUGUUUCAUGCUCUUCUCCGUCUUGUGGCUAUGGUUCAGCACUUAAAGAGACUAUUUACUCAAUUCUUAUGAGGUGAUUCCGAGAACGAGGCAACAGAUUUACUGGUGUAGAUGGCCAGCAGUGUGUUAUCCGAUUGAGAAAGGUGGCCUCAAUAUCUUGUCUUUUGAUGAUAUGGCUAAGGCUUUUGUGCUCACGCUUUGGUAGUGUUUUCAAGAGCAGAACUCAUUAUGGGCUUCUUAUAUGAAGUCUAAGUAUUACAGAGCUACAUAUCUUAUUCAGCUUCAGUUUAGUUAUCCAGUCUCUCUUCUCUGGAGAUGCCUUUACUCCAUUCAGUGUGUUGUUGGGCCUCAUGUGCAUUGGUUGGUUGGUCAUGGGGAGUGUAGUUUUUGGUAUGAUUGUUGGUUAAGCUCUUGUCCUUUGGUCAUUUAUAAUCUUACAACGGCUUUUAGGGUGUUAAUUUCCUUUUAUUGGCGAGGUACAGUCUGGAAUAAGGGUAAGCUCCAAGAUGUGUUGCCUUUUUCUAUUAUUGAGUAAAUUUUAUUGGUUCCUAUUUCUAGUAGGGAGCCAGAUUUGAUUCAAUGGGAUCUUGCCUCUAAUGGCAUUUUUCAUUUGUAGAUAGUUUAGGAGCUUGUCUGUUGUUCUAGGCCGAGGGAUGAGGUUUUUCGAGUAUCUGGCAACGACAUAUCCCGUCUUAAUUUUUUUUUUUUAGCGAUUGUUGCAUGAUUUUUUGGCUACUAAUGAUGCAUUGUGCUUGAGGAGUUUUUGCAUGGUCUCUUAGUGUGUUUGUGGUCGAGUUAUUGAGACUUUUCGACACUUAUUUAUUAAUUGCCCAUUUCACUGAGUUUGGGCUCAUUUUCUUCAUAUUUUGGGUAUGAGAGAUGUUGCUUUUUUUAACCCCCUCCCCCAUGCUUUGCUUCUUCAUUGGCGGUGGUAUGUCCCUUCUCGAAGUCACCUUCAGACACUACUACAAAAAAGGACAUAGAUGACAUUUAAAUUAUCUUUAUGAUGGCGAAAUAAAAUUAGUGAUAUUUGCAACAGUCAUCUAAAAUGAGGUACAAAAGAUGACACGUAAAGAAAGUCAUCUAAUAAGUAUUAUAGAUGACUCAUUUUUUUAAAAACCAAUCAUCUGAUGUUGUAAAAGAACUAUAUUUUCUUCAAGUAUAAAUGACUACCUUUAAGUAAUGGACGUCAACAAUAGUCGUCACUCUAAUAUGAAUAGAUUACUAAUGAUAUGAAAUGGCUGUCAUUAUUAUUAUUAUUAUUAUUAUUAUUAUUAUUAUUAUUAUUAUUAUUAUUAUUAUUAUUAUUAUUAUUAUUAUUAUUAUUAUUAUUAUUAUUAUUAUUAUUAUUAUUAUUAUUAUUAUUAUUAUUAUUUAAUAAAUUUUUUGAAAACCUGUAGUGUAAAAAUAAAAAUUCACCAAGCAAUUGCAUUAAUCAUAUAUAAAUCUAGUACGUUACAAACAAUACUAAUAAAAUAUUACAAUUUCAAAAUUAAAGGAACUAGAUAUCAAUAACUCUUUUUUCUAAAAGAAAAAUAUUACAUUCUUCAAAGGAAUGACAAAAUGCGGCCAUCUUGUUGGCUACUCCAGUAAUCAUGCCAAAGCCAGAGAGAGUUUGAGAGUGAACCCUUUUGACGAACCUUGCUUGAUUAAAAUAUCGAAAUAAUUGAAAUAAUUUCAUAAUUCUUUUUAAUGUCUUAUUCGAAACAAAGACAAUAACAAAGAUAUGGAUAAAAAUAAUAUUAUUCAUUUACUAACCUCUCAAAGUCAUUGUGCUAUAAAAUUUAGCGAAAACAUUCUGCCAUAUGUACUCUGCCCACUCCAUUCUUACUUCAUCAAUAUCCUUUUAGGUGCAGUUGUCUCGUCCAACAAACUAUAUAUCAUUCACAAAAUAGUCAAUAUUAAUAGAUGCAUUAACGUUAUGAAAUCUAUAAACUUUAAAAGGAUAAGGAAAUGACUACCACGUUUUUUUAUUGAAUCAUCUUGGCUUUCAAUAAUUUCCUUCAUAAACCUAAUGACAUAAUUCAACAUCUGUAGUUUGUUGAGGACACUACACAAGAAUUUUAAACUAAUUAAUGUCAUGUGCAUAUGUAAAGAAAUUUAAACUGAACAUAUAUAUGUACAGUUUCAUAUACCUUAACCUUCUUCCAAACAAAGGAUUUUCGAUCCGCAUUUCCCAUUUUUGCCACAAAAAUCUUGAAAGCACUUAAGAUAUAAUUAGAUAUACGAAUUUACUCAUGUUUUACUACAUGCAUUAUAAUUGAUAAUAACUUACAGUGAUACAAAAUUCUUCAAAUCAAGGUGAGGUUCAUGACCAAGUGAAUCAAUAUACUAUGAAUAUGUGUGUAUCCACAACAAUCAACAUCCAAUGUUCGCUAUAUAUAAUGAUAAAUAUCAGUCUUGCAUAUUUUUGUAAAAGAAAAAGAAAAUAAACUCCAAAUGCUAUAUACGACCAAUAAAAUAACAAACCCGGCAUUGUAAGAAAAUAUCAUAAGCUAUUCUGGAUCAAGUAUUUCCAUUCUUGAUACAUUGCAUGAGCUCUAGUCUCACCAUUAUCUCUAGUUUCAUGAAAAAAAUUUCAAGGAUUACCAAAUUUAUAAAUGUGGUCCAAGUAAGGGUCCUGCAAGACCUCAGAAAGAUGCCUAGGGAAAACAAGUGAUAAUUACUACACAACAUACAUAAAAAUUAUAACUAAUUAUGCUUGCUAAGAAAAUAAAUAGUUUAAUUACUUCAUGUAACAAGUUAUUGUUGCGACCCCAAUUUUUUCCAUGCUAUAGAAUUGUACGAUGUCGUCAAUUGAUAAAUAUAAUUCGGCUUGUUCAUUACCAAAGAUCCUAGGAUAAAUUUCAAUCAAUAAUGCUUUAGUCAACCCUUGCGAGUGUACUUGCAAAGGGCAUCUAUUCUUGUUGGCACUUUGUAUUCUUGCACAUUCUUAAUGGAUUACUUUAUAUAACUAGAAUAACAAAAAAUAGUAUUAUUAUUAUUAAUUUAUGAAAUAUCAAAGACAAACAAUAAUUAUAGAUAUGUACCUCAACAUCAUUCAAGAUGACAAAUUGUUUAGGCUAAGCAACAUAGGAUCCAAUUUGAUUUCCUAUGUCCUAAUUUGAGAAAAAGUGAAAUUAUUACUUAGCUAAAUAAUAUCAACAAAACAUCAAUUUAUUAAGCACAUAACACAACAGAUCAAAUAAUCUUGAUGGACAUGAAAUGUCAGAGACCAAGCACAAAGGCACAACAAAUGGAUUGCUCUGGUGGUGAGCAUUUAUAUUAAUUUAGGGCUGAGCAUAUGAUAAAAUGGUUUCGUAUUUAUACCUUCCUUAAAAUAUGUAAUUAUAGACAUUACAAACUCCUUCAUAAAAUCUAAUCCCUAGAGAUAACUUUACUGUUAAUCCAUAUUGUUAAUAUUUGCUACUCAAACAUGAAUAAAUUAGGUAAAGAAAAAAAAUUGCACAUGUAGACCAUCCACAAACAAACAAUCUAUUGUUUUCUUUCACAAGCAUGAUUAAACAAAAGAAAAGAAAGUACCUUUGUGUGGAGACCAAAACUUUUAAAAUCCAAGAUUAAAGCUGGUCGAAUACUUCAAUAUUUUGCUUGAUAGUUUUGUGGUCCAAGCUUUAUAAUCUUCUCCUCAAAAAUGUGUGGUACAAAGCUUUAAGAUUUCUUCUCUGUCUUCACUUCAACUAUGUGUGAAUAGUUAGGGUUUGCUAUUUUGGGGCUGUAUAAAUAAUGGGUGAAAUUAGGGGUUUACAACUUGGAAGUAAAAGAUAAGAAGAUGUUGUGGGGGAAAGGCAAUUUUAGAGAUGAAGAUUGUGAAAUUUCAUAGAAAUGGAGGCAAAGAGAGAGAGAGAGUUAGUGUUUUAUUGAAGACGAAGAAAAUAAAAGGGAAAGUUGAGUUUUUAUACUUGAAAAAUAAAUGACAAAUUUUAAAAAGUAAGAGUCACCUUUUAUUUAAUUAGAGAUGACUUAUUAUUUAGUUUGUGAGUCAUUUUUAUAUCAUAAGUAAAAAUUAUUUUAUAAUAGAUGACUUUCAAAAAUAAAUAUAAGUCAUCUAAAAUAAUAGAUGACAGCUAAUAGUAUGCUCGUCAUGUAUUACAUGUCAUCUUUGUCCUGUUUUGUAGUAGUGAGAUCCUCCUACCUUACUUUAUUUUGUGGCAAGUUUGGAAGGCUCGUAAUGCUUUUAGGUUUGAUUUGUAAUCUUUUUCUGUUGAUGCAGUUAUCUAUUAGGUGGCAACGGAUCUCAAGCUUGCUAGUUCCAUUUUUGGCUUUAAGCCUUCCAGCUGAGGGGAUUUUUAGGUUCUCGGAUUACAAAGGCUUUACGAGUUAUAGGUCUACCCAGGAGGUCGAUUCGAUUAGUUUCUAAGAUGAAGCCACCUCCUGAGGUUGCGAAGUUGAUUGUGGAUAGUUGCUCUAGGGGCAAUCCUAGGAUGACUACUUCGGGUGGUAUUCUCUGAAAUCAUCGAGGUACAGUUUUGGCUACUUUUGGAUCUUUUCUUGGUUGUCAGCCUGUAAUGCUUAUGAAGGGUUAGGGUUUGCUACUGAGCUUGGUAACUCUAUGCUAAGGUGGAGUUGAACUUGGCAACGGUCAUUUCUUAGACUCAUUUCGGGGGUCCUAUUCGCUGGGAUUAUGGUAUUUCAUUGUGUCGGGUGUGAACUUUGACGUCUUCCUCUCCUAUUUUGGUUAGGCAUUUACUUCGUGAGACUACUUUUAAUGUUGAUUUUCUAGCCCAUUGGGCAUUCACUCAUCGGGUUAGUAGGCGUUUCUUGUGUUCCCAAGAUUUUCCUACAAGCUUAUCUAGCAUUCUAAAUUUGGAUGUGUAGGCUAUUCCCCACAUCAGAUGCCAACAUUGAUGGCUUUCCUUAUUUUUUUUCAUCCUUCUCUUUUUAUUCUUGUGUAUUCUUGUGUAUUUUCAUUUACUUUAGGAGAUUUUGGUUUGUAUCUCCUUCCUUACGUAUUUGUUCCAUUACUAAUUUUUGUUACAGGUAAGAGCCCACCUAAUCCCCCACCUCUUGAUGGUUUUUAUCCAAAAAAAAAAAAAAAAGUAAUAACAUCCAAAAUUACAGUACGCAUAAUCUCAGGAUGCCUUGUCAUCUUCCAUGCUUCGAACCAUGUAAUAAGGAAAUUGUAGGGUAGUGGAAGUCUGGGUUUUUGAAAAAUAAAAAACAAAUAAUGCAACAUAAUUUUAGUAAAAGCAUUAUAUAGGUUGACAAUAGAGAUGACUGAUCAAUGACAGAGAACACAAGAAUGAAAUUUUUAAGUUAAAAAUAGACUCGAAAGCUUAAACUAAUAGCUAAAGAGUCAGCAACUAUGUUCAAGCUCUAACAAAGCCCCUUAACUUGAUCAAACAAAACCAUAACCACAACCACAAUCACGACUUAAGUCGCCAAUUUAUUAAAAAUCUUAAGCUAAUAGGAAAAGGACAUAAUUUAUUAUAUUUAAUCUCUAAUUAAAUAAUGCAAAAUUUUUAUCACCACCAAAUUAAAACAUGAAUGCAUCAAAACUACUGGAAAAUGUUUCAAUCUACAGAACCAGUAAUAUCAUAACUUAGCCUAAACACAGUGCCAAGUAGUCUGACUUCAGCGUAGGCUCUUAAACCAUUGUAGAAAGCAAAAUUACACCAAAACUCAUAUUCAAGCCGAAAUCAUAAGCCAUAUGUGUGUUGUGACCAUUGAUACAAUGGAAUUAUAGUUGAAUGUGUGUAAAUCCUCACCGAAUCAAAGAUUGUCCUUAGUAAAUACAAACAAACUACUUCCGUAUACCAAUUUAGAAUGUUUUGCUUUGGAUGCGCGUGUUUUGUUGCCCAAAGCCUGUGUCAUAAAACAGUAGCGAGUCUGAAAGGGCGAUAAACAGCAUAGGUAAUUUUGUCAUUUUGUGCUGCUUGCUGGCUUACAAUGCACAAGGCUUUGGUUUGAAAAGCUAUGUAUGCUAUUUGCAAAGGCGAAUUGUGGUGAAUAAAUAACUACCCUAAACAUGAAGCUCAACGAUUUUCCAAACAUGCAACAUAAUAUUUAUAAUUUCUGUGAAAAAUGUAGUUACAUACAUAUUUUAAUGAGUUAUCAAGUCUUUAUAUGUGAUGUCUUGAAAAGUAUCUUCAAAACCUCAAUAAUAAGCCAUCAAGAAGAAUCUUUGGGAGUAGAAGAAUUUCCAUAGAUGUAGGAACCAAAACCCCAGAACGUAACAAUCAGUGAUAGGAUCUUGAAUCCGCUCAUUGGAUCAUGUAACAACAUAACAGCGGCAAUGCUUGUGAUGGGUACUCUUAUUGCAUUGAGGAUGCCUGCCAGCACAGUGGAAGCCAAAAAAAGCACGGCAGUGCCUCCUAACACCCCCAGCUGGAAAGUAAUUGCGCCCCAUAUGAGAACCAGGUAAUACGAAGCUACACCACCUUUGAAAGUUUUGGCCUCGGAUUUCAUACCUUGAAAAUCCUUACUCACGACCACUCCUAUAGUUGUAAAUGCAAAGGCAAACAAAGAAACCAUGACUUGUUGCUCCAAUACAACAUGGAAGGACCUUCUGCCUACUAAUUUCACGAAAACUAGCUCAGAAAGGGCAAAGAUGAGACCAUGGAGUGCAGAUCCUAGGAUAUCCCAAACAAAACCCAUGAUGUAUUGUCUGUCAGUAAUGUUGCCGUAUCUAUCAGAAUCUAAAUCCAGUGCAAUUACAGUCAUAGCAGCUGUUUUUAUCACGACAACAUUUAUCAUUGCAGCAUUCAGUUUAUUCUUCACUAGAAAAUAACCAAAUAGGGUGGAAAAAACUAGCGAUGAUGAUGCCAAAAGAGCAGCAGUUGAUGCCGGAAGAUAGGCAUUAGCGUAUGCAUACAUGAGAUUAUCUGCAGCACUUAGAAAACACAGGACAAUAAAAGCUAGAGUGAGUUUUAAGUCGAGAGGAGUGGGAAAGGUUUUAAAUACGAAAUUUGUAGGCCACAAGAUCAAAGCAGUCAAAGGCCACCCAGCAACUGCAACAACUUUUCCAAAACGACGUCGUUUUAGGGCUUGGUUAAGGGAAAAAAAAAAAAAAAAGAAUUGAAACAGCGUCGUUUAUUACUUUCGGGAUUUGACUCAGGGUAACUAGCAUUUUUCAAACAAGAAACCAUGUGAUAGUAAUAAAUAGAAAACGACUUUAACAUGUUUUGACUAUUCUACAGAAAAACUUAUAGAAUAAAUUAUAAAAUUGAUUCUUCAUACUUGCGGACACAUGAUAAAUCCAUUUUUAUCAUCUUCAUCUAUAUUUUCUUUCCCAUUUAUCAGCGAAGAUUAUUCUUCAUCUUUCUAACAUUUAUCUCUACUUUCUUCUUCUUCUGUAGCUAGCUACUUUAUUCUUCAUCUUUCACCCUCAUAUCUUAUUUUCUUCUUUCAGGAUCAAAUUUUCAAGUAUUUUUUUAAAUUUUCACUCUAAUUUCUUUUUUCUCGUACAUAGCCCUGCUUAAAUUUUUGGGUUGAUCUAACAUUUUUUUUUCAUUACCUAUCUUUAUUUUUUCAGUUCUUGCACUACUAUUUAUAGAUUAUAUAAAUAUAUACUAAUUUUAGCAUAUUUUAUUCUCUUAAACUCUCUCGCAAGUGGGCAAGUCAGAUCUCUAUCUCCCGUCCUGCAUGUUCUUAGUUUUUCUUUUCCCCCCGUCCUUAAAAGCACGUGGGUGAGAGUUGUGGGGUUCUGGCAUUUGAGAGUAUCCCUGGCCAUAUUGUGUUGCUGCACUUAUUCUUUAAAUAAUAGAAAAUAAAUAAAUUAUUUAUUUGCUUGUUAUGGAGAAGACAUAACAAAACAGUAAUUGGAGAAGACGGGGUGUAAUUAUGGUAAUAUUAUCUAUUUUGAAAUUUUAUCGCUAACUUAUUUAUGGUAGGUCUAUAUUUAUUUAAAAAUUUAAUUGUAGCUAUGAAGAUUAUACGAAUUAAUUUUAUAUUAUUUUCAUUAUUUCAACUUUUUAAUUAUAAUUAUGACUUGAAUGUUUAUUAAAAAUUGUUUCUAAAGAUAAUAUCACCAAACACAUAUUCAAUUUCAAAAUACAAUAAUUUUAAAACAUCAUUUUCAUUCUCAUUUUUGUAUUACUUUUUAAAUAUAAGUAUGACAAUAAAUAUUUAAUAAAAAUUAUUUUUGAAAAUGGUAUUACCGAAUAUAUAUUUAUUGUUUUUAUAUUUUUCAAUUGUGUCUACUGAAUACAUAUUAGUUUUUUUAGUUUUAAAAUACAUGAUUCAAAAAAUAAUAUCAUACGCAUGCUUAAAUUCAAAAUAGAAUAACUGCAAAACAUUAUUUUUAUUUUUAUUUUCUGUUUUCAUAAAAUAUUAAUUCAAAAACAAUACCAAACAAGCACUUAGAGAUUUGAGGGAGAUAAAAUUACUAAGCAACCGACAUUUCAAUUUGCCCAUUUUUUCUAUUUUUAUUUAAUAUUAUAUCUCAACCGUUGGAUUCAUUUUAGUUGAAUCCAACGGUUUGUUUUAAACUUACGGCAUUGUAGUAGGUUAGUAGCAGCCUUUCCUUUUUUUUAAUGUAUUAUAAAUUUUUUUCUUUUUAAAUCUCACCCAUCGUCCUCUAACUAUUUAUUUAACUACUCUGGUGUGUGAUUUUUUAGAGUUACGGUGGUAACUGCUGACAUAUCCCAUUACGUUAGCAUCACGUGUUUUGUGAGGCCCAGAGAUAGGGAUGGCAAAGUCCGGGUCCGGUCCGGGUUUGGGGCUGCCCGGGACCGACCCGCAUGUUACACAUAGCUGCCCGGAUUCGGACCGUGCCCGGAUUUUUUUUAUACGGGCCGGGUAUAUGCCCGGCACUACCCGGGCACGGGUUUUUUUCCGGGUUUUCACUACCCGCAUUUUCAAAGCUAGCUAAACAAAAAAAAAAUUGAUAAAAAAGACUAAAUAAGUAAACUGGGCAGUGGAAUGGGGAUAAUAUAAAACUUAACACGGUUGAAAGCUUGCGCAAUCGGGUCUGAAAAUUCAUAACUUAUCCACGAAUUAGCACUUAGCACUAGCAGAAACUCACAGUAAGCACUGGAAGUUUGGAAAUAAAAAUGCAGCCAUGCUUCAAAACAAUUGUUUAAAGCAAUAUUAAAAAAAAAAAAUUUAAAGCUGCAAAGAUGGAACUAGACGUUGGGAAAAGCAUUAAAGGUUCCAACCCACGAUUUAACUUUAACAAGAUGAAAUGCAAUAAAUCUUUGAAUCUUUUUGAGGAAAGAAUAUACACAUUAUGAAGAGCUCUGUGACGCGAGUCACGGGACGGCUGUGCUUUGCGUCUUUGCGAGGAGAAAUAGAGUUGACCGAGGAAGGUAAGAGGUUCGUGGAGGGAGAGGCGCAUCGGUGCUGGUGGUUGCUGGUGGAGAGACGGAGAGAGGUGCCGCCGAUUUGGAGAUUUCAAGGUGUGUGCUGUGUUGUUCACUUGCAAUCGCGAUUUAGGGUUUGGUUUUGGGGGUAAUUGGGCAAAGUAAAUUUUAUUUUCGGUUUUAUAUUUUCCUCUUUUUUUUUUUACUUAAUAAAAAACCGGGCAUGGGUCCGGGUUUCGAAUUCUUGGUGCUGUGACAGGACCCGUGCCCGGAAGCAGCCGGGCAUUGAAAAUCAAUGCCCGGAUCUUUUUUUCAUUCAUCGGUCCGGAUUUUACCCGGACCGCACACGCCGGGUCCGGACCGGGUCCGGUCCGGGCGGGCUUUUCUGCCAUCUCUACCGGAAAACACCUAAUUGCCCAGCUAUUACCGGUUACAAUUUUUUUUCCCAAAAAAAAAUAUAAAUAUAAAUUGUUGGCUUGGCAACAAACCCAACCAAUAGAAAACGAGAGUAGACGAGAAAUGGCGGGGACAAUGAAGAGAAUCAAGCUGGGUUCACAAGGUCUAGAAGUUUCAGCACAAGGCUUAGGAUGCAUGGGCAUGUCCUGAAGCCCGAAUCUGAUAUGAUAGCCUUGAUCCACCAUGCCAUUGAUAGUGGCAUCACUGUACUUGACACUUCCGAUGUUUACGGACCACACACAAAUGAAAUCCUUCUGGGCAAGGUAAUGUAAUUUAGCUUCUAUUUCCUCCCUUUAAUUUCAAAAGGGCAUGUUUGGAAUUGGCAAAUAAUAAUAUAUUAGCUUUGAUUAAUUUGGUUUUGGGAUUAGGCUCUGAAAGCAAGGUACAGAGGAAGAGUUGAAUUGGCUACUGAAUUUGGUAUCAGAUAUGAGGAUGGCCAGUACUCAUACUGUGGGGAUCCUGCUUAUGUAAGAGCUGCAUGUGACUGUAUUGAUCUUUAUUACCAACAUCGCAUUGACACUAAAGUUCCCAUUGAAGUCACAGUUUGUCGCUUUUAAUUUUUAUAUAUUUGUCUCAAUCAUGCAUGUUAAACUAUAUUAGUUUGUUAGCCUCUGGGUAGCUCGGCUGCCAAUGAAUAUGAAACACAGAAUAUUUAAAAAUACAGGCAUGGGUCACUUCGGUGGGUGAGGUUUCUGUUAUUAUGUACUAAUUCUUUUACUUGUGUUGUUUCGUAAGAUUGGGGAACUCAAGAAACUAGUUGAAGAGGGUAAAAUAAAGUAUAUAGGUCUAUCGGAGGCUUCUGCUUCAACAAUUAGACAAGCUCGCCGUCCAUCCAAUAACAGCUGUGCAGUUGGAAUGGUCCUUGUGGUCACGAGAUGUGGAGGAAGAGAUUGUCCCUACUUGCAGGUAAGACAUUAUUUGGGCCAAAUGAAUUGUUUUGACCUAGUUGAAAGGAAAAGAAAUUAUGAGUAGAUGAUUUAACAUUUGCAUGCUAACGCAAUUUUGGUGGUUGCUCUGCUCAGGGAACUUGGCAUUGGAAUUGUUGCGUACAGUCCUCUAGGAUGUGGCUUUCUUUCAUCCGGACCAAAGUUGGUUGAAAGCAUUGCACCGGAUGAUUCUAGACAUGUUCGUAAGCCUACCAUGCAUUUAUUAUUCGAUGUCUGCAAGCAUGUUUAAAACCUUCUCUCAAGAUACUCUACAGUGACUUGCAUACUAUUUUAUCUUAUAAACCUCUGAUAUUUAUCUAGAGCCAUAGUUAUAGUUAUUCUAACCUAACCCGGUAGGACUUGUUUAAGAAUUCUCUUUCUUAGAUACUCUACUAGUUCAUUUCGAUCGACUAAUUACACUGAAGUUGCCUGUGUAUGGAUUGCAUGGAGAGGAUUGAGGAAAAAUGAAAAUUCAAUUACUAAGGACUGAAUACACUGUAAUCCUUUUUGAAGUGACUUGUCUACCAAAACUUAUUCAUCAUUAGCUAAAUGUUUGGUGUUUACUAAUCAUGUAUUUUUACUUUCAUCAUAUUUGCAUUACUUGUCUUCUUUAUUACACAUUCAUUCUCAUUUAGCAAUACAAUAAUAAUUCUUGUUUAGUUUUACUCUAUAGCUCUGAAAUUCUUCAUAGAUUUCAAUUGUAUAUUUGUCUCAAUCAUGCAUGUUAAACUAUAUUAGUUUGUUAGCCUCUGGGUAGCUCGGCUGCCAAUGAAUAUGAAACACAGAAUAUUUAAAAAUACAGGCAUGGGUCACUUCGGUGGGUGAGGUUUCUGUUAUUAUGUACUAAUUCUUUUACUUGUGUUGUUUCGUAAGAUUGGGGAACUCAAGAAACUAGUUGAAGAGGGUAAAAUAAAGUAUAUAGGUCUAUCGGAGGCUUCUGCUUCAACAAUUAGACAAGCUCGCCGUCCAUCCAAUAACAGCUGUGCAGUUGGAAUGGUCCUUGUGGUCACGAGAUGUGGAGGAAGAGAUUGUUCCUACUUGCAGGUAAGGCAUUAUUUGGACCAAAUGAAUUGUUUUGACCUAGUUGAAAGGAAAAGAAAUUAUGAGUAGAUGAUUUAACAUUUGCAUGCUAACGCAAUUUUGGUGGUUGCUCUGCUCAGGGAACUUGGCAUUGGAAUUGUUGCGUACAGUCCUCUAGGAUGUGGCUUUCUUUCAUCCGGACCAAAGUUGGUUGAAAGCAUUGCACCGGAUGAUUCUAGACAUGUUCGUAAGCCUACCAUGCAUUUAUUAUUCGAUGUCUGCAAGCAUGUUUAAAACCUUCUCUCAAGAUACUCUACAGUGACUUGCAUACUAUUUUAUCUUAUAAACCUCUGAUAUUUAUCUAGAGCCAUAGUUAUAGUUAUUCUAACCUAACCCAGGAGGACUUGUUUAAGAAUUCUCUUUCUUAGAUACUCUACUAGUUCAUUUCGAUCGACUAAUUACACUGAAGUUGCCUGUGUAUGGAUUGCAUGGAGAGGAUUGAGGAAAAAUGAAAAUUCAAUUACUAAGGACUGAAUACACUGUAAUCCUUUUUGAAGUGACUUGUCUACCAAAACUUAUUCAUCAUUAGCUAAAUGUUUGGUGUUUACUAAUCAUGUAUUUUUACUUUCAUCAUAUUUGCAUUACUUGUCUUCUUUAUUACACAUUCAUUCUCAUUUAGCAAUACAAUAAUAAUUCUUGUUUAGUUUUACUCUAUAGCUCUGAAAUUCUUCAUAGAUUUCAAUUGUUUCCCUCAGAUUAUGUUCAUUAACCUCCUCAAAUAUGAGCAAAAGCUUUCUUUGCAUUGAAAAUAUGAGGAAUUAUCUAUGCAAUGACUUCAUUGAUGGACAGAAAAUUUUAACAUGACUGAUUCAAUUUAUAUACAUGAUAAUACCCCUUAAGUUGUAUAGAGGUGAAAAAAAAAUGAGGGAAAAAAAUUGUUCCAUUACCUCAAAACUAUUACUGGAUGCUCAAGAAGUUUAGCUGUAACGACUCUUCCAAACUUCUACAUCCUUGUGGCAGUUUCCAUUUUUGUUAUAUUGCUUUGCCUAUGCACGUCAAUGUGAAAUCAAUUGACAAGUCCAAGGAGAGUUUAUUUCUUGUGAGACCUUUGUCUAACAUGCCAAAAUGUUUUACUAUAAACAUCCUCCACCUUGGAGAAGUCCCCGCCUAGUCCUUUUUCUUUGUUUUCUGGUCUAUUGAAUUUUACAUAAACCUCCUCUAAAAUCAUGCUUUAUCCAAAAUGAUGUUCUUUUUUUUAAUGAUUCAAUUGCAGUUCAGUUUUGGUACUGAGCUGUUUUCUAAAUCUUGCAGCAUCUACCGAGGUUCCAACCUGAAAAUUUAGAGCAUAACAAAAAGCUAUUUGAACGUGCAGCUUGCAUUAGCAUGGGUUCAUCACCAAGGAAAUGACGUGUGUCCGAUUCCUGGAACCACUAAGAUUGAAAACCUGAAUCAAAAUAUUAAAGCUCUGUCAGUGAAACUUUCUCCAGAAGAAAUGGCUGAGCUUGAAUCCAUUGCUUCAGCAGAUGCUGUAAGGGUUCAUCGGUAUGGGGGUGUCACUCCUACCUACGAAGACUCUGAAACUCCACCUCUGUCUUCGUGGAAACCUUCAUAAAGGGCAUUGGUAUUCUGCUUCUUAGUACCGAUUUUGCAAUUGCAUGUAGUUCCUAGGUUCUGUUGUGGGUAAAAUCAUUGUGUUCUCAUACGAGACCCUAUCAGUACCUUUCUGCACUUUCCACAAGCAUUUAGUGAAUAUUGUAUUGAGUUCCUAUGCAGUGUUGUAAGUAAAACUAAAUCAUUGUAUCUUCUGCAGUGAGCACAAAAACAAUGUAAUGUGUUUAUGCAAAUAUAUGAGAAACAAUAACAAAUCAAAAUGGAGUAAUAUUUAUCUGAAAUUUCUGGAAGUUUAGAUUAUCUGAAUCAGGGGCGAAGCCAGAAAAAAUAUCUUGGGUAGGCUAAAUUUUUGCCAAAUCCAAAUAUUAUCUUGGUUAAAAAUAUAAAUUUGAAAGAAAAUUUUGUUAAUACAUAAGAAAAUGUGAAAGAAAAUUUUGUUAUACAUAAGAAAAUAUAUCAUAUCUAAGAAGUAAUUUAGUCACAAUUAAACACUAUUAAGUUUGUGCCUUACUAUACUUUCGAGAAUUAAAUCCAUCUAUUAUCGAAUUUAAAUUGACGGUGUUUACAAAUUCUCUUUUAACGUAGAUAACUCUACAAUUUGAUAAAAAUUCCUUUUCUUCCUUAUUUUGAAGUCGGGUCUAUGCUCGUUUGGGUGUUUCAGUCAAAACAGGGUAUAAAUAUAAAAGAAGUUAGAAGAAAUAAUCAAAAAUUUACUAAUAAAAGCCAUAGAACCGUCAAUCUGUCACUACGACACAUUAACACUAUCCAGAAGCCAAACAAUAAGUUUAAUUAACAAAUUAACUUUAUGUAUAAUGUACUGAAUUGAAUCUAUGAUCCAUCUCUAUCAAUAAUCAAUUUCAAAUAUCUCUAAUCUAUCAAUAAUUAAUUUAAAUUUUUGAAUGCUAGAAUUUAAUGGCUAAAUUAUCUUCAUUUGACCCAACAAUAAUUUAAUUUUACACAAUGAAAUUGGAACAAGAAUUAAAUAAUAUAAUCUUUAGUCUUUACUACCUAACAAUUAAUAAGUGUACUGUAAAUGAUUGAAUAAACAAUAAAUUUAUUAUCUAUUCUUGUCAAGAAGAAGACGAAGAAUUGAAGAAGCACGUUCUGGAAUCUUGAAUGAAGUAAAUGCUCCCUUUUUUCUAUAUAUUUAUUUGAAUGAUAAAGUGGUAAAUUAAUAGAGUGGUACAACUGUAAAUAAAAUAGUGGCAAUUUUAUAAACUUUGCAUUAUGAUAUUUUUGUAAACUUUCUAAAAAUUUCCCAGCCCACUUGGAGCCUCGCCACUGAUGUGAAGAGCAAUGCUAGAUGUCCCAACAUAAGUUUUAAUUUGAGUUCCUACUGACGUGAAAUUCAUCUAUUGAAUGGUAGUUAAAUAAUUUUACUAGAUAUUACAUCCAUUAUUCAAUUGAUGAGUGACACAUAUCAUUGAGAGUCAAGUUGAGACUCAAAUGUUAGGAUCCUAAAUAUUAUUGUUGAUCUAAAUUAUUGUAGCAUUAUAUGUUUCUUGUUGUUGCACGUGACAUCCUUCCUCUAACAGAAAAUUAUUCAAUGAUUUCAGAUCAAUCGAAUACUUUUGCUGUGUUACAAAGUGGCCUCUACGAGAUUACCAAAUUGAUUCACAAUUUUUCACAUCAUUUUACCGGAAAUUAAAUUAUUUCAACCAAUUGAUUAUGCUUAGUCAUGGUAAAAACUCAAGUCGGUCCCGGAUAUGGCAAUACUCAAAUUUGGCCCAAGCAUGUUUUUCUGAACACUGAGGUUGGGCUUAAAAACUCGGCCCCAAAUGGAUUUUCUUUAAUGGGCUUAAAAAAUCCAGAUUUAUAUUUUAUAAUAUUAUAUAUGUAUAUUUGCAAUCACCUCAUAGGACUUGACUAGCUUACAGAAUCUGUAAGCUACAGACUGCAGCAUCAGCCGUUGGAUGUGGACUGAGAAACUAAACAAUAGAAAAUCAGAUGGUGGGAUGUCGGGAGAUGUUUGUUACAGAAUCUGUACCAUAGACAGGUCCUAAUAAAAAGCCCAGAGAACAAUUUGAAAUGGAAAUCAAAUCAAGAAACAAUUUCUGGUCAUAAAAGCAUAACGGCAUGAAUUGCGCAAGAAGUUCUCUCGGUUAAAACCUAUCCCUCAUGCGCUUUUUAUCCUUUUGAGGUUAAUGCAAAGACCCAAAUGGCCCAGGUUGGGAUGGCUUUCGACCUAACCGGGUUGCAUUAUAGGGACCUAUUUUAGUUUAUAAUUUUUAAAUUUUAUUUAAUGAAUUUGGGUUUUCAAAUAUGAACUUUAAAUAUUUAAAAUUUUAAAUAUGUAUAAUCUAUGGGUCAAAUAAAUAUAAUUAUUUAAAAUAAUGUAUUUUAUAAUAUUUUUUCAUAAAAUUCAGGUUUUGGGACGGAUCUGAAUUUAUCAAGUGAAACUUAAACUUGGCCCGGCCUCAUCUUUGGACUAGAUAUUAUUGGCCCGCAUUGCCUAGUCCAAUCCGUACAAAUAUUUUUGACAGUUCCUAUUACCUUUCAGGCAUUUCACACAUUUCAUUGGGUAUUUUUUAUGGUUAAUUUGAUCACCUUCUUUGCAGUAAAUGAUAAAUAGAUACAUUUAAGAAUUAAUUCAUCUAAAAAUCAGGGAAAAAAAAGCAUAUAUACCCCCUUGGGAACAUAAAUGUUGCUAUAGACCUCCUUGGUUUAAUAAAUAAUCACACAAAUUUUUUUUUUUUAUGAUUAUACAAAUCGAUUUUAACAAUCCAAAUUUUUUUUCAGGCAUUUCACACAUUUCAUUGGGUAUUUUUUAUGGUUAAUUUGAUCACCUUCUUUGCAGUAAAUGAUAAAUAGAUACAUUUAAGAAUUAAUUCAUCUAAAAAUCAGGGAAAAAAAAGCAUAUAUACCCCCUUGGGAACAUAAAUGUUGCUAUAGACCUCCUUGGUUUAAUAAAUAAUCACACAAAUGUUUUUUUAUGAUUAUACACAUCGAUUUUAACAAUCCAAAAAUUGAUUUUAAAUAAACUUCUAUGAUAGAUAGAUACAAAAUAUAAUAUUAAAAUAAUAUAAUAUAUAAAUUUUAUAUAUUUUAUAAAUUAUUUUGAAUAAAAAAAUUAAUUUAAUAUUAUUAAUCUAUCAUAUAGGUUUUAAUUUAAUAAAAUCUAUUUUGCAGAUCAAUAAUAUUAAAAUACUUGUAUUUAACAUUAAAAAUAAUUUACAAAAUUCUGUAUUAUAUAUCUUAUUUAUUUCUUUUUAUGUUAGGUCUAUAUUAGCUUAAUUUUUUUAAGUUUGGGUAGGAUUUUUUUUAAGCCAAUAAAGAAUUAAUCUAUGAAAUACCAGAAUCUACGGUGAGUCGUGAAAAAUAUAAAUUUAAAGAUUUUACUCAAUUUUUUAUUGCUACAAUUUCACUCUGGAGUAAAAUGACAGAUAAAUCAAUAAUAUAUAACAUAUUUAAUAAUACAAUUCAACAGUUUCUUCUAUCAUAUAAACACCCUUUUUCUAUAAAAAGGGUUUACAUCUAGGGGUGAUAAUAUAGAUCAGGAUUUAUUGAUUCCAUUUGAUUCUAUUUGAAUUAAAAGCAUUUAGGUUUGAAAAAUUAAUUCGUCUAAUAAAUGGACCAUUUUGAUUGAAUUUGUUAAGUGAACAAAUUGAAUGUCGCACUGAUUUGUUUAUUUUUUGAAGAUCCAUUUAUUGAAUGAUACAAUAAAUAUAAUUAUGCAAAAAAAAAAGUCUCACUAGUUCAAAAUAUUUAUUUUGAGGAUUUUAAUUGUAAUGUUAAUGGAUUUGUAAUUUUAAACGAACCAGUGGAUUAAUUUAAAAUAUGAAUGUGGAUUUAAGCUCACUGGUUCGGUUGAAAUUUUGGAGUUAGGAUGGUUCAUUUAUUCUAUUGUUAAUGAAUUUGUAAUUUAAACAUCGAAGUUAGAAACUUUGGAGUUUCAAACUUCUAACCCAAUUCAUUAUAUUGAAUUUACCGACUUUUAACCUAAUUCAUGAAUUCAUUUUGCUACCCUAUUUACAUCUAUACAUGUAUUAGUUCAACAAUUUCUUACAUCAUAUAACCCUGACUUCUUUUUUACAUUAUAAACAUUUUGUAUAUUUCAUUCAAAAACAUCAUGAUUGUCGAUAUUGAACACUAAAAUAAUUCAGAAAACAUUACAAUGUUAAUUUUUAGUAUUAAGUGGAUUAGUUUCAGUAGAGUAUAUUAUAUUAUACAAAGAGUAGCCUUUUGACACCUUUUAAAGGUUGAGGCUAUUUAACCCUCUAGGUUACUCAUUAAACUCACAUUUUAAUAAACUUAAUUGUUACUAAAAUAUCAAUAACAUAAAUUACAAUUAUAGACAUAUGAUUAUUUGAAAACAAUUAUACUGGUGUUUUAUUCCAUCUUCAAACACAAUAUGAAUUUAAUCAGUUUUAUAAUACUCAUGUUUUCUUGAAUCUUUAGUCAUUUAUUGAAUUUUUACUCGUCUACACUUUGCAUUCCCUCAAAUUUGUUUGAUAUUUGGAUUAUUUGGCCAAAAGUUUGUUGUUCAUAAAUAACUCCUCCUAAAUCCAACUGAUAAUUUCUUCUCAAUAAUGGAUUCUCUCUUACACAUGCGAGUAUGGGCAAACCUGGUCUCUAAUUAGUAUUUUAAGAAAUAAAAAAUAUCACCAUUCACUACCCAAUAAAUAUACAGCACCGAUAUUCUCACACCAAUAAGCACCAUAGUUAGCACAAAUGCAAACGCAAACUACACACACACUCAUCUCAUUGGACCGCAGCACUCUCUCUCACCGUGGGUCUCUCCACAUUUAGCUUGGCUGUCAAUUGUUUCUCUCCCAACCCCGUGAAUUGCAUUCUGACGGCACUUCUGGAAUUUGAGACCUAGCUGCAGCUUCACUCUCUCGGUAUGAAUUUAUGUUAAUUUUACUGAUGAUUAUACAAGAAAAUAUAGGCAUAUGAGUAGAGCCCGCCAUGAAUUAUUUUGAUUGUUUGAGAAAAUUUUGCUGAUCAUGAAUUAUUACAGUGAGUUAGCUUAGUUUUGUGAAUUAUUUUGUUCUUAAGAAUUAUUUUUAUAUUGUUGUCAUGAAUUAUGCGAUGAGACUGUAUGCGAUGGAUCUUCAUUAUUUGAUUGAAAUUUCAGGCAGCCAUGUUAUAUCUAAGUGAAGGAAAAGUAUAUGUCAGCAUUGCACUCCUUGUGCAUCAGUACCUUCAAAAUCAUAAAUAUUUUAAUAGCCUUAUUGAAACAUGAGAACUGAUCAUUACCAAAUAACAUAUGCUCUCUCAAUUUUGUAUCAAGCUAAAAAGAAUCCCUAUCCAGAGAUGCAUCAAAUGAAAUUACUUGCAAAUAAAUCAUCUCAAGGCCCUUAAAAUCUGAUAUGCCUCUAUAAAUGGCUAAUGAUUUUACAAAGCACACAAAUCUUAGAUCAACAAAUGAUAUCUAACCAAUAACGGGCAUCAAUAAUUGAUUUCCAGUUAUGCGGAGAAGUAGUAGAAAGGAUAGUGAUGGGAUACUUAGAAAUGUGUCUUUUGCUUGUGGCCGAAGCGGGGAGACAAGAAGCAAAUCUACUAAUAUCUUAAAGCCGCAACCUAAUAUAAAGACAGGCUGCAGUGCUAGAUUAGGAGCUGGUUUUGUUUUGUUAAUGUGAAUUAUUUUCAUAUUGUUGUCGUGAAUUAUUUUGUUUUUGAUAAUAUAAAUUUCCAUUUUGAUUAUAUGAAUUAUUUUCAUUUCAUAUAAAUAAAGAUUAUGGAAAAGGCCAUCGAAGACAUUGAGGAGUUGGAGAAAAUUGAGGAGGAGGACGAGCCAAUGAUUGGGAUGUCUUUUAAUACCGAUACUGAAAUGUUUAUGUACUUCAAAGAGUAUGGUAAAAAAAAAAGAUUUCCAGUUAUGCGGAGAAGUAGUAGAAAGGAUAGUGAUGGGAUACUUAGAAAUGUGUCUUUUGCUUGUGGCCGAAGCGGGGAGACAAGAAGCAAAUCUACUAAUAUCUUAAAGCCGCAACCUAAUAUAAAGACAGGCUACAGUGCUAGAUUAGGAGCUGGUUUAGGGGAUGAUGGAAAGUGGACGAUUCGAAGCUUAAAUCUUAAACACAACCAUCCAUUGUUGUCUCCAACGAAGUCAAGGCUUUUUCGAUGCAAUCGUAGCCUCAGUGCACAUGCAAAAAAGAAACUUGAUAUAAAUGAUCGAGUGGGAAUCAAAUUGUCCAAAAAUUAUCAAUCACUUGUUAUUGAGGCCGGUGGACAUGAAAACGUGACAUUCAUAGAGAGAGAUUGUAGAAAUCAUAUUCAGAAAGAAAGAAGAUUACGGCUUGGAGAUGGGGAUGCUGCUGCUCUUCAAAAUUAUUUUAUGAAAGUGCAAGCGGAAGAUAAUAGAUUUUUCUUUAGUAUGCAAGUGGAUGAUGAGGGCCGACUAAAAAAUAUUUUUUGAGCUGAGCCAAAAAAUAGGGACGCCUACAAAGAGUUUGGAGACGUUGUUACAUUUGACACCACAUAUCUUACAAAUAAGUAUGACAUGCCAUUCGCUCCGUUUGUAGGAGUUAAUCAUCAUGGUCAUUCUAUUUUGUUUGGGUGUGGAUUGAUUUCAAACGAAGACAUUGAGACAUUCACAUGGUUAUUUCAAACAUGGUUAUCCUGCAUGUCUAAUUCAGCUCCUAUUGGAAUUAUUACAGACCAAGACAAGGCAAUGAAAGCUGCAAUUGAGAACGUUUUCCCCAAUACUCGACAUCGGUGGUGUUUAUGGCAUAUACUUAAGAAGAUUCCAGAGAAGCUGGGGGGCUAUAAAGAAUAUCGCGACAUUAGUAAUGUGUUGCAUUGUGCUGUUUAUGACUCUCAGAGUUCUGCAAAAUUUGAGGAAACUUGGCACCAUAUGAUUGUAGAAUUUGAAUUGGGGGGAAAUGAAUGGUUACGGGGUUUAUACAAUGAGCGGUAUCGUUGGGUGCCUUGUUAUCUAAAAAACAGUUUUUGGGCAAGAAUGUCAACCACUCAGCGCAGUGAGAGUAUGAAUGCAUUUUUUUAUGGUUAUGUUAACUCGAAAACUACUUUGAAGCAGUUUGUGGAGCAAUAUAGCAAUGCAUUAAAGAAUAAAGCUCAAAAAGAAGUUGAAGAAGAUACUCGGUGUUCUUCCCAUCAAUUGCCAUGUGUAACAUCUUAUGCGAUGGAGAAGCAAAUCCGAGAUGUGUACACAAUUUCGAAAUUUCAAGAAUUUCAACAAGAGUUGGUCGGAAAAAUGUAUUGCGAAUUUGUCAAUUCCAUGGGUUGUGAAUAUAUAGUUAGAGAGGAUGUCAAAGUUGAUACAUGGAAAAAAAGGACCUUUUUUUAAGUAUAUUGUGAUAAAGAAAAUAGUGAAAUCCAUUGUAGUUGUUCAAGGUUCCAAUUCAGAGGAAUUCUCUGUAGGCAUGCUAUUACGAUCAUGAUACGCAACGACAUGGAAGUACUUCCAGAAAAGUUUGGGCUGGUAGAUCAAUGGUAACAGUUGUUCUCAAUAAUACCGAGGAUAAUAAUUUGAAUUCCAUUUUUUUUUCUUUUCAAUCAUUUUCCUCAAUAAUAUGGAGUAGACUCUAGAGUAUUUACUAGGGCGUAAUAGAUUUUUAAACAGUCUCAAUAUACUUUUUGUUGUUUACAAAAGUAAUUAUAAGUUCUCUUUUGUUUUGCUUAGUACAUGUAAGCAUUUGAUUGGCCGCCCCUAGGCUUAGCUGAUUUCCAUGUAGUUUUAUUUGUUUGGUAAUUAGAGUUCGAAUCCUCAAAGGUUAGAUGCGAAAAAACUGAUUUGGUAUUACCACCCUUUACUUUUAAAAAAACACAAAAAAAAAGUUAUAAGUAUUUGAGUAUCAUUAUUGACAAUAUAAUUACUAUUACACUUAUUAUUAUUUUGUACUCUUACAGCAUGCAAUAAAAUAAAAAUUUCUGAAUUUAUUAAAAUUUAUUUAUUAUUUAUUUGAGCAUACAUUAUUAGCCCUUAUUUAUAAAGUAUUUGAUUUAUAUAUUGGACAUAUGAUGUCAAGAUAGAAGAUAAAAAUCACAAAUUCUUUAUAAAUAAAAGAUUAUUGACAUCCAUUAAUGAAAUGUCAUUUUAUUUUAUAAGGCUGUAUAUUUGGUAUUUUUAUUGUUAAGUAACUUUAUCUUAAUCACUGAAGUAGAGACUUCAAGUAGAAAAAUUAGUAUGUAUAUGAGAUAUAUAUGUAAUGAACAAGAUUGUAAUGAAUUAUGAUCUAAUCUAACAAAAUCCGAGAUGUGUACACAAUUUCGAAAUUUCAAGAAUUUCAACAAGAGUUGGUCGGAAAAAUGUAUUGCGAAUUUGUCAAUUCCAUGGGUUGUGAAUAUAUAGUUAGAGAGGAUGUCAAAGUUGAUACAUGGAAAAAAAGGACCUUUUUUUAAGUAUAUUGUGAUAAAGAAAAUAGUGAAAUCCAUUGUAGUUGUUCAAGGUUCCAAUUCAGAGGAAUUCUCUGUAGGCAUGCUAUUACGAUCAUGAUACGCAACGACAUGGAAGUACUUCCAGAAAAGUUUGGGCUGGUAGAUCAAUGGUAACAGUUGUUCUCAAUAAUACCGAGGAUAAUAAUUUGAAUUCCAUUUUUUUUUCUUUUCAAUCAUUUUCCUCAAUAAUAUGGAGUAGACUCUAUAGUAUUUACUAGGGCGUAAUAGAUUUUUAAACAGUCUCAAUAUACUUUUUGUUGUUUACAAAAGUAAUUAAAAGUUCUCUUUUGUUUUGCUUAGUACAUGUAAGCAUUUGAUUGGCCGCCCUAGGCUUAGCUGAUUUCCAUGUAGUUUUAUUUGUUUGGUAAUUAGAGUUCGAAUCCUCAAAGGUUAGAUGCGAAAAAACUGAUUUGGUAUUACCACCCUUUACUUUUAAAAAAACACAAAAAAAAAGUUAUAAGUAUUUGAGUAUCAUUAUUGACAAUAUAAUUACUAUUACACUUAUUAUUAUUUUGUACUCUUACAGCAUGCAAUAAAAUAAAAAUUCCUGAAUUUAUUAAAAUUUAUUUAUUAUUUAUUUGAGCAUACAUUAUUAGCCCUUAUUUAUAAAGUAUUUGAUUUAUAUAUUGGACAUAUGAUGUCAAGAUAGAAGAUAAAAAUCACAAAUUCUUUAUAAAUAAAAGAUUAUUGACAUCCAUUAAUGAAAUGUCAUUUUAUUUUAUAAGGCUGUAUAUUUGGUAUUUUUAUUGUUAAGUAACUUUAUCUUAAUCACUGAAGUAGAGACUUCAAGUAGAAAAAUUAGUAUGUAUAUGAGAUAUAUAUGUAAUGAACAAGAUUGUAAUGAAUUAUGAUCUAAUCUAACAUAUGUUGCUAAUCAUAAUCUAUACAAGCUUUAAUAAGCUUGAUCGAUCUUAAUCCUGAGUGGGUAAUAUAACGCUAAUAAAGGGUAAAUUUGUCUUUUGAGUCGUCACAAAGUAAGAUUUGUAUAAACGGUCAAAACGUUAAUAAUUUGGAGAUAUAAUUUCAUGGAUUAUAGAAAUAUAUAUACUUACAAGAUGGAAUCUAUACAAAUGAUGCUUACCUAAGCUAUUUGUAGUAUUUGAUCAUAGGGAUGAGCCCGGCCCAUUGCUAUGAGAUUUGGCUCGAGCCUCCAUAUGAACGGUCUGGAUAAGGGCUUAAGUAAAAAAAAAUCUAGGCACACGCCCUCUAUUUUUUUUUCAAAAAAUAAAUUAGAAAUUUGAAUAAUAAAUUAAAAUUUUAUGAAAUAAUGGAAAAAAGAAAGAAAGCUUAAGUCCCUAAUUUAUAUAUCAAUAAUGAAUCAAAAAAUCUAAAAUUAUAAUAAUAAACUCUCUUUUAAAUGUUAAUUAAUUAAGAAGAUACUUGAAUUAAAAAAUCUAGUAUUAAAAAAUUUAAAUCUCUACACUUUUUUUUGUUGUGUUUUCUUUAUUUAUUAUUUUAUUUUGAAACAUUCAUUUUCUUUAAUUCGUUGCCGAUUAUAACAACUCAUUGAAUAUUAAUUCAUUUCAAGUUUUUAACAAUUUUUUUAAAAAAUGAAAAAAAAUAAGUGAAAGCCCAACCCAACCCAACCCCGCCCCAAGCUUAGCCCUUAUAUUUUCCCUCUAACGGGCUUGAAAAAGCCUAGUCUAAACUUGCAUUUUGCCAUCCCUAAAUUGAUCAUUUAAAUCUGUGGUUAUAAUUUAUUCAAUAAUUUAUUUAUUAAUUAAUCACAUUUAUUUGUAAUCUAUUUACAAAUAUAUUAACAGUGAUAGUUAGAAUAAAUAGUGACUGAGGGAUAUAUAUGUAAUUACAAAGAAAGAACAUUUAUCAUGGGCUGGAUUUAAUUAAGAUUAUCAAAUGAAGAGUCAAUUAAGUGGUAAUUAUUGGUUUAAAAUCAUGUCUAAUAUUAAUUAAAAGAAGUCUUAAUUAAUUAGGCUUUUAUUUGUUACAUGGUUCAUUAGAGUGCGACAUCAGACUUUUAGUAGAAUAGCUUAGGGUUAACUUAGUUGUUUUAGGAAGUCAUAAUAUGACUGAGACUUACCUAUGAAGUUGGAUUUAGGAAGUUCAUGGAUACCCUUUGUUAGCUUAGUUUCUAGUUAUAUCUUGACUUUAAUAAGUGCCUAUAUAAAGAAGAGGAAAUGGGAAUUAGAGUUCUCUAUAUGCCCUCAUGUGCGAGGGAGACUAUUGAUGAUAGUCGAGAAAACUACAACCAUAUCCUACAGAUCCCAAUAAUAGUAGUGGAAAAAAUUAAAGUAGUUGUCUUCAAAUCUUCAGUAGGAAAUUUAAGGCGUUUCUCUAAUUUUAUGCAUUUUUAUGUAAUCAAGAAAAAAAAAAUCUGACUUUUGAUAAUUUUAUUAAAUUAAAGAAAAAAAAUAUUUUUUAGGCCUGAUUUAACAACAACUGUAUGAAAGUGGUAUUGAUAUAUGAUAGAUUUUGGACUUACGCUAUUAUUGCUACUUUUAUUGAUUUGAAUUUAAUAGUUUACAAGAACCUCAUAGCACUGCAUUUAUUUUCGCAUAUUUCGCAAAAAAAAAAAUCUAUCUCUAUAAUGUUUAUAAGUUGACUGAAAUCCCUAAAAAAUGAUUCACCAUGGUUCCAAUACUUGACCGUAGUCUUAAGGUAAUAGAAUGUUUAAAAGACAAUUUUCCCCUUGCCAAUUACCAUAGCCAAAUAGUUUGAAGGAGAUAAUAAAAUGCAUUAAACUUCAAAAAAAAAAAAAGGAAUUUUGAAAAAUCAAAACAGUGAAAAAGAGAAUGAGGGUCCAUUUACAUCUAUAGCAGAUUCUCUAGAAGGAUUAAUGGGUGAUACAGAAUCGUGGGCCUUUGUUUGCGAAGGGUAGGAUCCAGGCAAAGGCCCAGGUGACGCCCUCGCAGCCUUUGAUUUGGCCUUUGUGCCAGCCACGUUAUCAACAUUGAAUGACGUGAAAUUGUACGGACUAGGGUGCAAUUGGUAUUGCCAUUCAAAUAAUGUUUUAUAAUUUUUUAAAUAAUUAAUAAUCUUGUAUGAAUUUCCUUGCUUUACUUUAUAUUUACUAGUUUCAUAUAAAAUUAGUAAAUAUAAAGUAAAACAAGUAACUUCAUACAAGAUUAUUAAUUAUUUAAAAAAUUAACAUUGCUUCUGCACAAUUUUAGUGAAAAAUAUUUUAUUCAUUUACAAAAAUAUAAAGAAAAAAUUACUCAUUAAUUAAACAAAAAUUGUACAAAAAAAGUGAAAUAUAUUUUAUUGAAUUGGUUUAACCAUAAAUUCUAUAUUUAUUUAAUUACAUUUGUAUAAUUUUUCCCAUUUUCUAUAAUGAUAUCUGUUUAUUACACAAGUUAAUUAAGUGCAAUUAUUUAUCUUGACGUGGAUCAAGCAAAUGAAUAAAUAAAUAAAUAAUUAUUCUCAUAUUACUGGACACAUAUAUGAUAUAUCAAUAAAAUUAUAUCUAAUUUUGAGUUCUAUGUAUACUUCAUGUAGUUUCAAACUUUUUACUUGUACUUAAGAGACCAUUUAUGGUUGUUGUUGUAGAAGUGUAGAAGGAUGCAAAAUAACCUCAUGUUACAACAACUAUGAAAGAUAUUAAAAUAGUUUUUUUUUUUUUUUCAAAAUCCAAUUCUGCGAAUAAAUUUCAUCCUUAAUAAAACAUCACAUGUACUACAUAAAUGAAAAACUAGCAUUAUGCAAUUUAAUUUUUUAAAAAUCAUUAAAUAUAUAAGGUAAUAAAUAUUAUAAUGAGUUUUUAGUUUAUAAGAGCUUUUUUGUUAGUAACUCUUAGAUUAAUUUACUUAUUUUACCUUUUAUUCAUAAGUUUUGAGCAUAGUUUACAAAUUUUAUGUUUUAUUUUGCACUUAAUAUUGAUUUACUUGGUUUAUAUUAUAUUUGUAUGUUUUCGUUUUACUUACUAAUGAUACAUAAAUUUACUAAUUUUAUAGUAAUUUACUUGUUUUUACUUUCCUUUUGCAAGUCUUAUACUUCAUUUCUAAAAUUUAUGUUUUAUUUUAGGCCACUGCUAUGUUACGUUGAGUGUAACAUACACACACUCACAGCAACANNNNNNNNNNNNNNNNNNNNNNNNNNNNNNNNNNNNNNNNNNNNNNNNNNNNNNNNNNNNNNNNNNNNNNNNNNNNNNNNNNNNNNNNNNNNNNNNNNNNNNNNNNNNNNNNNNNNNNNNNNNNNNNNNNNNNNNNNNNNNNNNNNNNNNNNNNNNNNNNNNNNNNNNNNNNNNNNNNNNNNNNNNNNNNNNNGUUUUAUAUUAAUUUACUUGUUUUAUCCUCCAUUUACAUUUGUGCUUUAUUUUGCACUUAAUGUUAAUUUACAAGUUUUAUGUUAUAUUACAAGUUUUUGUUUUAUUUACUAAUAAUAUAUCAAUUUACGAGUUUUAUAUUAAUUUACUCAUUUUACCUUCAAUUUACAAGUUUUAUGUUUAAUUUCUAAAAUUUAUGUAUUUUACAAUUAAUAUUGAUUUACAAGUUUUAUAUUUUAUUUACAUAAAUUAUGUUUAAUUACAGUAUUGAUACCGUUACUUUAAUCAAGGCAUAAUAGAAAGAGCCUUCUUUCUAAAAUACACUUAUAAAAUGAAAAUUUGAAAAUGUGUGAGUUGUUUAAAAAGUGAAGACGGUAAAAGAGAGUGAGAAAAAAAUACAUACCAUGAUAUAAUAUUUAGAUGAACUAAAAUUAUUUUUAAUCAUAAUAUAUUUCAAUUAAUUUUUUAUUAUUUGAAAUUUCAAUUACUUUUUAUUAUUUAAAAUUUUUAAUUAUAAAAAAUUAGAUAAAAUGAUUUUUUAGGGAGUAUCAUUAAUAUUAGAAUAAAUAAUAAAUAAAUUUUACUAAUAGAGAACCUUUUAAAAACUACCAAAUAAUACAAUUAGUAUUGUUGAAUAAAAAAUAAUUAAAAAGUAUUAAAGAUAAUUAGAAUUGGAUUAUAAAAUAAAUAUUGGUAAUGGGCCCACAUAAUAACAGACAUGAUUUUUAUUUUGUUGUUGUUCAAGUGGUACUUGUAGUACCCAUUUAAAAAAUGAAAAUUGAAAAUCAUGAAUGCCUUGUUGUCCAAUUUUCUUCUCUAAAGUUAGAGAAUGAGAUUAAACAUUCUUACUUGAAAUUAAAUAUCAUAAAAUAAGUGUAUCAAACAAAUUUUACAUUGUUUUUUUUUUCUUGAAAAAUGAAAAAUAGCAAAACAUAAAUAAUAUCAAAUACAUGCUUAUCUUCUAAAAAAAAAAAUAGCCAUUGGACUAAUUAAUCAAUGCUGACAGGUAUUCACAAUAAUAUUGAGGACACUAUUUGAAUUUCAUGGCUUUUUUUUACUCAUUUUCUCAACAGUAUAAAGUAAAUUUUUUGAGUAUUUACUAAGACGUGAUAGAAUUUCAAGUUAGUCUUAAUAUACUUUGGGUUGCUUACAAAAGUAAUUAUAAGUUUUAUAUUAAUUUACUUGUUUUAUCCUCCAUUUACAUUUGUGCUUUAUUUUGCACUUAAUGUUAAUUUACAAGUUUUAUGUUAUAUUACAAGUUUUUGUUUUAUUUACUAAUAAUAUAUCAAUUUACGAGUUUUAUAUUAAUUUACUCAUUUUACCUUCAAUUUACAAGUUUUAUGUUUAAUUUCUAAAAUUUAUGUAUUUUACAAUUAAUAUUGAUUUACAAGUUUUAUAUUUUAUUUACAUAAAUUAUGUUUAAUUACAGUAUUGAUACCGUUACUUUAAUCAAGGCAUAAUAGAAAGAGCCUUCUUUCUAAAAUACACUUAUAAAAUGAAAAUUUGAAAAUGUGUGAGUUGUUUAAAAAGUGAAGACGGUAAAAGAGAGUGAGAAAAAAAUACAUACCAUGAUAUAAUAUUUAGAUGAACUAAAAUUAUUUUUAAUCAUAAUAUAUUUCAAUUAAUUUUUUAUUAUUUGAAAUUUCAAUUACUUUUUAUUAUUUAAAAUUUUUAAUUAUAAAAAAUUAGAUAAAAUGAUUUUUUAGGGAGUAUCAUUAAUAUUAGAAUAAAUAAUAAAUAAAUUUUACUAAUAGAGAACCUUUUAAAAAUUACCAAAUAAUACAAUUAGUAUUGUUGAAUAAAAAAUAAUUAAAAAGUAUUAAAGAUAAUUAGAAUUGGAUUAUAAAAUAAAUAUUGGUAAUGGGCCCACAUAAUAACAGACAUGAUUUUUAUUUUGUUGUUGUUCAAGUGGUACUUGUAGUACCCAUUUAAAAAAUGAAAAUUGAAAAUCAUGAAUGCCUUGUUGUCCAAUUUUCUUCUCUAAAGUUAGAGAAUGAGAUUAAACAUUCUUACUUGAAAUUAAAUAUCAUAAAAUAAGUGUAUCAAACAAAUUUUACAUUGUUUUUUUUUUCUUGAUUGAGUGUAACAUACACACACUCACACCAACAGUGUUAAUGAUGAGACUUGUUACUGUUGCUGUGAGUGUGUGUAUGUUACACUCAUCGUAACAUAGGGUGACCCUUUAUUUUAUUGUUAAUGUUGAUUUACUAGCUUUAAGUUAUAUUUGCAAGUUUUUGUUUUGUUUACUAGUAAUACAUUAAUUUACUAGUUUUAUAUUAAUUUACUUGUUUUAUCCUCCAUUUACAUUUGUGCUUUAUUUUGCACUUAAUGUUAAUUUACAAGUUUUAUGUUAUAUUACAAGUUUUUGUUUUAUUUACUAAUAAUAUAUCAAUUUACGAGUUUUAUAUUAAUUUACUCAUUUUACCUUCAAUUUACAAGUUUUAUGUUUAAUUUCUAAAAUUUAUGUAUUUUACAAUUAAUAUUGAUUUACAAGUUUUAUAUUUUAUUUACAUAAAUUAUGUUUAAUUACAGUAUUGAUACCGUUACUUUAAUCAAGGCAUAAUAGAAAGAGCCUUCUUUCUAAAAUACACUUAUAAAAUGAAAAUUUGAAAAUGUGUGAGUUGUUUAAAAAGUGAAGACGGUAAAAGAGAGUGAGAAAAAAAUACAUACCAUGAUAUAAUAUUUAGAUGAACUAAAAUUAUUUUUAAUCAUAAUAUAUUUCAAUUAAUUUUUUAUUAUUUGAAAUUUCAAUUACUUUUUAUUAUUUAAAAUUUUUAAUUAUAAAAAAUUAGAUAAAAUGAUUUUUUAGGGAGUAUCAUUAAUAUUAGAAUAAAUAAUAAAUAAAUUUUACUAAUAGAGAACCUUUUAAAAACUACCAAAUAAUACAAUUAGUAUUGUUGAAUAAAAAAUAAUUAAAAAGUAUUAAAGAUAAUUAGAAUUGGAUUAUAAAAUAAAUAUUGGUAAUGGGCCCACAUAAUAACAGACAUGAUUUUUAUUUUGUUGUUGUUCAAGUGGUACUUGUAGUACCCAUUUAAAAAAUGAAAAUUGAAAAUCAUGAAUGCCUUGUUGUCCAAUUUUCUUCUCUAAAGUUAGAGAAUGAGAUUAAACAUUCUUACUUGAAAUUAAAUAUCAUAAAAUAAGUGUAUCAAACAAAUUUUACAUUGUUUUUUUUUUCUUGAAAAAUGAAAAAUAGCAAAACAUAAAUAAUAUCAAAUACAUGCUUAUCUUCUAAAAAAAAAAAUAGCCAUUGGACUAAUUAAUCAAUGCUGACAGGUAUUCACAAUAAUAUUGAGGACACUAUUUGAAUUUCAUGGCUUUUUUUUACUCAUUUUCUCAACAGUAUGAAGUAAAUUUUUUGAGUAUUUACUAAGACGUGAUAGAAUUUCAAGUUAGUCUUAAUAUACUUUGGGUUGCUUACAAAAGUAAUUAUAAGUUCUCUAUAAUUUUAGUUAUUACAUGUAAGCACUUGAUUGCCCACCUAAGGAUUUAACCAAUUUUUAAUUAGUUUCAUUUGAUUGACAAUUGGAGUUCCAAUCCUACAAAGAUUAUAAGAAAAAAAUUGAUUUGGAUUUUACCCAUCCUUUAAAAAACACAUAAAAAAAAUUGUAAGCAUGUGACUAUCAUUAUUUACAAUAUAGUUACGACAAGAAGUCUGCAAGAAUCUCAUUGCAGAUUAGAUUAAUUUUCAAGUAUUUAGAAAAAAAAAUCACUACAAUAUCUCACUUAAAUACUUAAAAGAUGAUUCAUCGAGUAAUUUCCAUACUUAUGUCCUAUUUAGGAUUGAGGUUGAACGGUUGUAGCGUAAAAAGAAUAGCACUAAAGUAUUUGGUAAAAAAAGUAGCACUAAAGUAUUUGGUAAACACUAGCUGAUAUAGCUUGAAAACUAAAUUGAUUUGAUUUUAUACUUGUAUGAUGAAAAAUUUAUUAUAUCUUUACUACUUUUUUAAAAAUUAUUUUUAAAAAAUUAUAUUUAUUACAUAUUAUUAACUUUUACUUUAUAAUGACAGCAUUUUUUUUCAUAACAACUGUAACUCAAAAGGUACAGUAUUUCAAUACCAAACAUGACCUUAGACCCUAAUUCUAAGAUAAUAGACUGAUCAAAAGACAAUAUUUCCCUUACAAAUUGCUAUAGAGCCAGAUAGUUCAAAAGAGAUAAUUAAAAUAUUAGGAUGCGGACAGUAUUGUUUUCAAAUCUAAUUUUCUAUUUUCUAAAUUCAGAAAAUACUAGAUAAGUAUUCACAAAUGAUACUGAAUAUAUUUUAAAAUUUAAAAAUAACAUUUUCAUUGUUAUUUUUAUUUCAAGAAAACAACAUUUGGAAAACAAUAUCAAAUAGGGCCUUAACCUUCACAAAAAAAAAAAAAAAAAAUUACUUUUUUUUGUCAAAAUUUUUUGAAAGACAGAGUGAUAGUCAUGGGCGGCUCCUCCUGGGCAAUUAUGAAGCCUGUCCUAGACCAUUACUUUUCCUUUAAAAUGUACCUUGAGCUCCUUCUAAAAAAAUUAAAUAAAAAGAAUUUGGGCAUAUUUUUUAUAUAACAAAAUACUUGUAAUUUAGUGAUAAUUGUACUUUUUAGUGGUUUUAGAGACUCGGUUCAAAUUUCAAUAGCCAUAUAAUUUUAUUUCUCUACAUAUUUCGUUCUCAAAAACUCAAAUUCUAUUUUUCCUCAAAAAUUUUAAAAAUAAUAGUAAUAUGUUGUUUAUUUUAAAUGUUGAACCUCAUUAUGAACAUUGAAAAAAAAAAUAAAUACUCCAACUUAAAUUAAAACUUUUUGAACUAAAUCCUACUUUAAGUGUUUGGGUUUAAUCCAUAUCUAGGGAUGGCAAAAACGGGGUCCGGGUCCGUGUUUGGCAUUUCCGGUUCAGGACCCAGAUGCCAAUUCUCCUUCCCGGAUCCGGAUAAAAACCCGCAUUUUCUUUCUCCGGGUCCGGUACGGGUUCAACCCGGAAAAUCCGGGUUUCCGGAUUGCGGGUUUUAAACCCGGAAAGUUGGAGGCUGGAAGAAUGAAGCCUUUGUGCAUGCCCCUUUUGACUCUGUACAAGAGUAGAUUAGCUGUUUCUUUGAGGUGUCGGUUGAGACACCGGCGAGUCCAGGAGGCAGCGGCCAUGAAAGCAGUGAGCAAGGUUUGAGAUCCAGCAUCCACGAACAAUAGAGAAAUGAGAUCGAGCGGCGGCAAGAGUGGAUUAGCAUUUUAUACUUGUAUGAUGAAAAAUUUAUUAUAUCUUUACUACUUUUUUAAAAAUUAUUUUUAAAAAAUUAUAUUUAUUACAUAUUAUUAACUUUUACUUUAUAAUGACAGCAUUUUUUUUCAUAACAACUGUAACUCAAAAGGUACAGUAUUUCAAUACCAAACAUGACCUUAGACCCUAACCAGCAUCCAAGAACAAGAGAAAAAUGAGAUCGAAUUUGAUGAGAGAUGAGAGAUAAGGUUGAAUUUGAUGGUGCCAAAGAUUGUUUGUUGCUUUUGAUGAUGAAUUGACAAUGAUUUAAAUUGAUGUUGAGGAUGAUAUUGAUUGUUAUUAUUGUUGCUGAUGAAUUGACGAUGGGUGAUGAUGAUGAAUUGAAUUGAUGUCGAGGAAGAGGACAAUAAAGGUGGCGGCUGGGGUGGGGAUUUAGGGUUUCUUUUCGUUUCUUUCCUUUUUUUUUUUUAACUUUUGGCUUUUAUAUUUAUAUUUAAUAAUAAAAAUUAAUUAAUUAAUUAUUAAUACUGUAGUGCAUGUCCGGGUUCUCAGAAUUCGGGUACCCGCAACCGGACCCGCAUGUAUCCGGAUUUAAAAAAAUACUACUCGAAUUUGUAUUUUUAUGCACCCAGAGCGGGUUUAACCCGGACCGGAUCAUCCGGGUUUAUCCGGAUCCGGGCCGAGUCUGAAAAAAUUUGCCAUCCCUGGACCAUAUCAGAUGCUGUAAUGGGUGACGCAAAUAAGUGGGCCUUUGCCCGUGGUGCAGGCGAAGCCGGCGCAGCCCUUGAUUUGGCUUUUUUAGUGGAGAAUUAUUAUUCUCUAAAAAUUCAUUUUUUUUUAAUUAUAAGACCGUAGUAGAUUUUCAAGUUGGCCUCAAUAUAUUUUUGGUAGCAAUCAUAAAUUCUCUUUAAUAUUAAUUAUUACAUAUAACCAUUUAAUUGAUCGUUCAUUAGAUCUAGACGCAUUCCAUUACAUUAUUGACAUUACGAGUUUGUGAGGCCCGCUGUGAGUCAGUCAUCAUACUCCCACAUCUUGUUAAUGUGACAGCCCUUAGCCGCCAGUUUGGGCCAACUUUUAAUUGUUCGAUUGGAAAGAUUUUAAAAUAUUUGUGAAGCAUUAUGCCAGUAAUAUAAUCAAGGAAAAAUGACUAACACAUCCUCAAUAUUUAGACAAAGAAAUAAAAAUUUCAUAAUAUUUUAAAAAAUAUAUUUACACCCCUAUUAUUAAUGGAAACAAUUAUUUUUAACGGAAAUAGUAAUUUUAAUAUAUAAUUACAGUUAUACCUUUCUGACACAUAAAAAAAUAAUUAUUAAUUAUCCAAUUUGUCCAUAUAUUAUUAAUAAAAUUAUAAAUAUACCCUCAUUGCUCAAAUAAUUGUUUAAAUUUUUAUCAAAUUCUCUCAUCAAGCCAAAUAAAUUUAAUCCAUUACUCAAGAAUAAAAAUAAAUAAAAUUAGUUAUUAAUGCCAUAAGAAUAACAAUUCUCUAUAUGUCAAUCAUUUUAAUUUGUAUAAUCAACAAAAUAAAAAAAAAGGCUGGUUACAACAAUAAUUACAAAAAUCUUAUCUUAAUUGUAUUAAAUAACACAUCCAAUAGACAUAAAAAUUGAUAAUGGAUUAAAUUUAUUUGGCUUGAAGAGAUAAUUUGAUAAAAAAUUAAACAGAGGAAUUGGUCAAUGAGGGCAUAUUUAUAAUUUUAUUAAUAAUUUAUGGACAAAUUAGAUAAUUAACAAUUAUAUUUUUAUAUGCUAGAAUGGUAUAACGAUAAUUAUAUAUUAAAAUUACUAUUUUCGUUAAAAGUAACUGUUUUCGUUAGUGAAUAGGGGUGUAAAUGUCUUUUUUAAAAUGCUAGGGGGAUUUUUGUCCCUUUAUCUAAAUGUUGGAGUUGUGUUUGUCAUUUUUCCUAUAAUUAAUAAAUAACAUUAUGACGUAUCGAUUAUUUAUCUAACUACUCUCUUGUGUGAUUUUGUAAAGUUAAUGAGGUAAAUGCUAACAUAUUCCAUUACGUUAGCAUUACGAGUUUUGAGAGGCCCGCAUAGGGAUGGCAAUGGGCACCGCCCGCAGCGGGUUUUAAUUUUUUUACAAAAACCCACCCGCAGCGGGUUUUAACAAUUACCAAACCCGCAAUGGUAUCUGACGGAUUUUUUGCGGGUUUCCGUAUUUAAAAUCACAAAUGUUUAAUAUAUAAAUUUAUAAUAAUAACCUCAAAUUCCAUAUAACAUACUCAAUUUUAUAUUUAAAUAAUGUAAAUGAAAAAUUAAAAUUUCCACAUCAAUUCAACACAAAUUCUCAAAUUUAAGUAUAAAUUACACAAAUCCAUUUAAAAAACACAAACUAGUAUCUAAAAAUAAUAAUUACAUUUCAUAUUAUCAUUUAAAACAAGCUCCAAGAGAAGAUAUUCAUUUCAUUCACCACCAUAAGCACCCAUCCAACACAAUGCCUAUAAUAAUAAUUAAGAUUAAUAUUUUCAAAUACUAAUUCGAAGGAAAAUGCCUUUAGUUUUCUUUAGAUUAUGACUUUAGAAUAGGAUAUAGGCCACAUACACACAUACACAACUUUGAGCCUUUGGCUAUUUGGUAAUUUAAUUAAUGACAUUAUUUUCUUUAUACAUUUUUAGAUUAAAAUUAAAUUAAAAAUAUUUGAAAAAAAUAUUGCGGGUUUGGUGGAUAUCCAUGCUAUUUGGUAAUUUGAUUAAUGACAUUAUUUUCUUUAUACAUUUUUAGAUUAAAAUUAAAUUAAAAAUAUUUGGAAAAAAUAUUGCGGGUUUGGUGGAUAUCCAUGCGGGUAUCCACCGGAUAUAAGGUUAUACCAAAUCCACCCGCAUCCAUGUGCGGGUUUUAAUUUAUAAUACUAAACCCGCCCACAACGGGCGAAUUUUUACGGGUGGGUUUGGGCGGGUUUGUGGGUUUGCGGGUACAAUUGCCAUCCCUAAGCCCGCAGAGCAAUAUAUACAUAUAUAGAUUGUUCGCUUAGAAACAGCAACCUCACUCAACAGAAAGUUGAGAGGAUAAUAGAAGAGAAAUGGCGGGGGCAGUGAAGAGAAUCAAGCUGGGUUCACAAGGUCUAAGAGGUUUCAGCGCAAGGCUUAGGAUUCAUGGGCAUGUCCGCCUUCUACGGGCCCCGAAGCCCGAAUCCGAUAUGAUAGCCUUGAUCCACCAUGCCAUUGACAGUGGCAUCACUUUACUUGACACUUCCGAUUCUUACGGACCUCACACAAAUGAAAUCCUUCUGGGCAAAAGUAUUUAUAAGUUCUCUAUAAUUUUAGUUAUUACAUGUAAGCACUUGAUUUAACCAGUUUUUAAUUAGUUUCAUUUGACUGACUAUUGGAGUUCGAAUCCUACAAAGAUUAUAAGAAAAAAAUUGAUUUGGAUUUUACCCAUCCUUUAAAAAACACAUAAAAAAUUUGUAAGCAUGUGACUAUCAUUAUUGACAAUAUAGUUACGACAAGAAGUCUGCAAGAAUUUCAUUACAGAUUAGAUUAAUUUUCAAGUAUUUAGAAAAAAAAAUCACUAUAAUAUCUCACUCAAAUACUUAAAAGAUUAUUCAUCGAGUGAUUUUCAUACUUAUGUCCUAUUUGGGAUUGAGAUUGAACGGCUAUAGUGUAAAAAGAAUAGCACUAAAGUAUUUGGUAAAAAGAAUAGCAUUAAAGUAUUUGGUAAACACUGGCCGGUAUAGCGUGAAAACUAAGUUGAUUUGAUUUUAUACUUGUAUGAUGAAAAAUUUAUUAUAUCUUUACUAAUUUUUAAAAAAUUAUUAUUUAAAAAUUAUAUUUAUUACAUAUUAUUAACUUUUACUUUAUAAUUACAAUAUUUUUUUCAUAACAAUUGUAACUCAAAAGGUACAGUACUUCAAUACCAAACAUAACCUUAGACCCUAGUUCUAAGAUAAUAGAAUGAUCAAAAGACAAUAUUUCCCUUACAAAUUGCUAUAGAGCCAGAUAGUUCAAAAGAGAUAAUUUAAAUAUUAGGGUGCGUACAAUAUUGUUUUCAAAUCUAAUUUUUUAUUUUCUAAAUUCAGAAAAUACUAGAUAAGUAUUCAAAAAUGAUACUAAAUAUAUUUUAAAAUUUAAAAAUAACAUUUUCAUUGUUAUUUUUAUUUCAAGAAAACAACAUUUGGAAAACAGGCCUUAAGCUUCACAAAAAAAAAAAAAAAAUUACUUUUUUUUGUCAAAAUUUUUUGGAAGAUAGUGACAGUCAUGGGCGGCUCCUCCUGGGCAAUUAUGAAGCCUUUCCUAGACCAUUACUUUUCCUUUAAAAUGUACCCUGAGCUCUUUCUAAAAAAAUUAAAUAAAAAGAAUUUGGGCAUAUUUUUUAUAUAACAAAAUACUUAUAAUUUAGUGAUAAUUGUGCUUUUUAGUAAUUUUAGAGACUUGGUUCAAAUUUCAAUAGCCAUAUAAUUUUAUUUCUCUAUAUAUUUCAUUCUCAAAAACUCAAAUUCUAUUUUUCCUCUUAAAUUUUAAAAAUAAUAGUAAUAUGUUGUUUAUUUUAAAUGUUGAACCUCAUUAUAAACAUUGAAAAAAAAGAAAAAUAAAUACUCCAACUUAAAUUAAAACUUUUUGAACUAAAUCCUACUUUAAAGUGUUUGGGUUUAAUCCAUAUCAGAUGCUGUAAUGGGUGACGCAAAUAAGUGGGCCUUUGCUCGUGGUGCAGGCGAAGCCGGCGCAGCCCAGGAUUUGGCUUUUUUAGUGGAGAAUUAUUAUUACUCCCACAUCUUGUUAAUUUCUAGGAUUUCUAAUAUAAAGCAGAUGAGAUGUUGCAAAGUCAUGCCAUGUGGGACAGUGGGAUCAACAGCGCCUUCAACAUUUAUAUUGUAAAUCCACGGUGGGAUCCAAAAUAUUUCCACGACCACACAUGCAAACACUUGAUUAUGACUCCAAAUCUCCAAUUUAAUUAAUUUAUUAAUCUUUUAAUUUUUUUGGUCCACUCAAAUUCAGUAAUCAUCUCAUGAGAGCGAUAUUAGUACAUUUAUAUAAUCAAAUACAUCCAGCACCACAAAGUCCAGAUUCCAAGGGCAGAUCUUAAAAUCAUAGAAAUAAUCAAAUAAAUAGUGGAUACUAGUUGACAUUCCCAAUUUGCCACUGGCCAUGUUAUUAUACUUUAUGUUAAAAACAGAUUAAAGGCAAUGGAUUUUGCCAAGUCUUUGUUGAACAAGUUCCAGCUUUACAGGUCUCAAGCCAAGGAAGCAACCAACUUGAGUAGAAGCCAAUAUUUCUUUUGGUCCCAUGAAAGACCUGGCUUCUCAAGUGCUUCCAUUAUCAUGAUAUGAUAAAAUCAUACUCCCACAUCUUGUUAAUUUGACAGCCCUUAGCCGCCAGUUUGGGCCAACUUUUAAUUGUUCGAUUGGAAAGAUUUUAAAAUAUUUGUGAAGCAUUAUGCCAGUAAUAUAAUUAAGGGAAAAUGACUAACACACCCUCAAUAUUUAGACAUAGGGACAAAAAUUUUCUAACAUUUUAAAAAAGAUAUUUACGUCCCCAUUCACUAAUAGAAACAAUUAUUUUUAACGAAAAUAGUAAUUUUAAUAGAUAAUUACCGUUAUACCCUUCUAACACAUAAAAAAAUAAUUGUUAAUUGUCCAAUUUGUCCAUAUAUUAUUAAUAAAAUUACAAAUAUACCCUCAUUGCUCAAAUAAUUGUUUAAAUUUUUAUCAAAUUCUCUCAUCAAGCCAAAUAAAUUUAAUCCAUUACUCAAGAAUAAAAAUAAAUAAAAUUAGUUAUUAAUGCCAUAAGAAUAACAAUUCUCUACAUGUCAAUCAUUUUAACUUGUAUAAUCAACAAAAUAAAAAAAAAGGCUGGUUACAACAAUAAUUACAAAAAUCUUAUCUUAAUUGUAUUAAAUAACAUAUCCAAUAGACAUAAAAAUUGAUAAUGGAUUAAAUUUAUUUGGCUUGAAGAGAGAAUUUGAUAAAAAAUUAAAUAGAGGAAUUGGCCAAUGAGGGUAUUUUUGUAAUUUUAUUAACAAUAUAUGAACAAAUCAGAUAAUUAAUAAUUAUAUUUUUAUGUGCUAGAAUAGUAUAACGGUAAUUAUAUAUUAAAAUUAUUAUUUUCGUUAAAAAUAACUGUUUUCAUUAGUGAAUAGAGGUGUAAAUUUCUUUUUCAAAACGUUAGAGAUAUUUUUAUCCCUUUAUCUAAAUGUUAGAGUUGUGUUUGUCAUUUUUCCUAUAAUUAAUAAAUAACAUUAUGACGUAUCGAUUAUUUAUCUAACUAUUCUCUUGUGUGAUUUGUAAAGUUAAUGAGGUAAAUGCUAACGUAUUCCAUUACGUUAGCAUUACGAGUUUUGAGAGGCCCGCAGAGCAAUAUAUCUACAUUGUUCGCUUAGAAACAGCAACCUCACUCAACAGAAAGUUGAGAGGAUAAUAGAAGAGAAAUGGCGGGGGCAGUGAAGAGAAUCAAGCUGGGUUCACAAGGUCUAGAGGUUUCAGCGCAAGGCUUAGGAUGCAUGGGCAUGUCCGCCUUCUACGGGCCCCCGAAGCCCGAAUCCGAUAUGAUAGCCUUGAUCCACCAUGCCAUUGACAGUGGCAUCACUUUACUUGACACUUCCGAUUCUUACGGACCUCACACAAAUGAAAUCCUUCUGGGCAAGGUAAUAUAAUUUAUCUUCUAUUUCCUUCCUUUAAUUUCAAAAGGGUAUGUUUGGAAUUGGCAAAUAAUAAUAUAUUGGCUUUGAUUAAUUUGGUUUUGGGAUUAGGCUCUGAAAGGAGGGUACAGAGGAAGAGUUGAAUUGGCUACUAAAUUUGGUAUCAGAUAUGAGGAUGGCCAGUACUCAUACUGUGGGGAUCCUGCUUAUGUAAGAGCUGCAUGUGAGGCCAGCUUGAAGCGUCUGGAUGUUGACUGUAUUGAUCUUUAUUACCAACAUCGCAUUGACACUAAAGUCCCCAUUGAAGUCACGGUUUGUCGCUUUUAAUUUAUAUAUUUGUCUCAAUCAUGCAUGUUAAACUAUAUUAGUCUGUUAGCCUCUGGGUAGCUCGGCUGCCAAUGAAUAUGAAACACAGAAUAUUUAAAAAUACAGACAUGGGUCACUUCGGUGGGUGAGGUUUCUGUUAUCAUGUACUAAUUCUUUUACUUGUGUUGUUUUUGUAAGAUUGGGGAACUCAAGAGACUAGUUGAAGAGGGUAAAAUAAAGCAUAUAGAUCUAUCGGAGGCUUUUGCUUCAACAAUUAGACGGGCUCACACCAUCCAUCCAAUAACAGUUGUGCGCUUGGAAUGGUCCUUGCGGUCGCGAGAUGUGAAGGAAGAGAUGUGAAGGAAGAGAUUGACUAUGAGUAGAUGAUUUAACAUUUGCAUGCUAACGCAAUUUUGGUGGUUGCUCUGCUCAGGGAACUUGGCAUUGGAAUUGUUGCUUACAAUCUUCUAGAAUGUGAGUUUCUUUCAUCCGGACCAAAGUUGAUACACCUCUUUGCAACCAAAGGAUGCAUCGGUUAAGUUUACAUUGUUCGCUUAGAAACAGCAACCUCACUCAACAGAAAGUUGAGAGGCUAAUAGAAGAGAAAUGGCGGGGGCAGUGAAGAGAAUCAAGCUGGGUUCACAAGGUCUAGAGGUUUCAGCGCAAGGCUUAGGAUGCGUGGGCAUGUCCGGCUUCUACGGGCCCCCGAAGCCCGAAUCCGAUAUGAUAGCCUUGAUCCACCAUGCCAUUGACAGUGGCAUCACUUUACUUGACACUUCCGAUUCUUACGGACCUCACACAAAUGAAAUCCUUCUGGGCAAGGUAAUAUAAUUUAUCUUCUAUUUCCUUCCUUUAAUUUCAAAAGGGUAUGUUUGGAAUUGGCAAAUAAUAAUAUAUUGACUUUGAUUAAUUUGGUUUUGGGAUUAGGCUCUGAAAAGAGGGUACAGAGGAAGAGUUGAAUUGGCUACUAAAUUUGGUAUCAGAUAUGAGGAUGGCCAGUACUCAUACUGUGGGGAUCCUGCUUAUGUAAGAGCUGCAUGUGAGGCCAGCUUGAAGCGUCUGGAUGUUGACUGUAUUGAUCUUUAUUACCAACAUCGCAUUGACACUAAAGUUCCCAUUGAAGUCACGGUUUGUCGUUUUUAAUUUAUAUAUUUGUCUCAAUCAUGCAUGUUAAACUAUAUUAGUCUGUUAGCCUCUGGGUAGCUCGGCUGCCAAUGAAUAUGAAACACAGAAUAUUUAAAAAUACAGACAUGGGUCACUUCGGUGGGUGAGGUUUCUGUUAUCAUGUACUAAUUCUUUUACUUGUGUUGUUUUGUAAGAUUGGGGAACUCAAGAAACUAGUUGAAGAGGGUAAAAUAAAGUAUAUAGGUCUAUCGGAGGCUUCUGCUUCAACAAUUAGACGAGCUCACGCCGUCCAUCCAAUAACAGCUGUGCAGUUGGAAUGGUCCUUGUGGUCACGAGAUGUGGAGGAAGAGAUUGUUCCUACUUGCAGGUAAGGCAUUAUUUGGACCAAAUGAAUUGUUUUGACCUAGUUGAAAGGAAAAGAAAUUAUGAGUAGAUGAUUUAACAUUUGCAUGCUAACGCAAUUUUGGUGGUUGCUCUGCUCAGGGAACUUGGCAUUGGAAUUGUUGCUUACAGUCCUCUAGGACGUGGGUUUCUUUCAUCCGGACCAAAGUUGGUUGAAAGCAUUGCACCGGAUGAUUCUAGACAUGUCCGUAAGCCUACCAUGCAUUUAUUAUUCGAUGUCUGCAAGCAUGUUUAAAACCUUCUCUCAUGAUACUCUACAGUGACUUGCAUACUAUUUUAUCUUAUAAACCUCUGAUAUUUAUCUAGAGCCAUAGUUAUAGUUAUUCUAACCUAACCCGGUAGGACUUGUUUAAGAAUUCUCUUUCUUAGAUAUUCUACUAGUUCAUUUCGAUCGUCUAAUUACACUGAAGUUGCCUGUGUAUGGAUUGCAUCGAGAGGAUUGAGGAAAAAUGAAAAUUCAAUUACUAAGGACUGAAUACACUGUAAUCCUUUUUGAAGUGACUUGUCUACCAAAACUUAUUCAUCAUUAGCUAAAUGUUUGGUGUUUACUAAUCAUGUAUUUUUACUUUCAUCAUAUUUACAUUACUUGUCUUCUUUAUUACACAUUCAUUCUCAUUUAGCAAUACAAUAAUAAUUCUUGUUUAGUUUUACUCUAUAGCUCUGAAAUUCUUCAUAGAUUUCAAUUGUUUCCCUCAGAUUAUGUUCAUUAACCUCCUCAAAUAUGAGCAAAAGCUUUCUUUGCAUUGAAAAUAUGAGGAAUUAUCUAUGCAAUGACUUCAUUGAUGGACAGAAAAUUUUAACAUGACUGAUUCAAUUUAUAUACAUGAUAAUACCCCUUAAGUUGUAUAGAGGUGAAAAAAAAAUGAGGGAAAAAAAUUGUUCCAUUACCUCAAAACUAUUACUGGAUGCUCAAGAAGUUUAGCUGUAACGACUCUUCCAAACUUCUACAUCCUUGUGGCAGUUUCCAUUUUUGUUAUAUUGCUUUGCCUAUGCACGUCAAUGUGAAAUCAAUUGACAAGUCCAAGGAGAGUUUAUUUCUUGUGAGACCUUUGUCUAACAUGCCAAAAUGUUUUACUAUAAACAUCCUCCACCUAGGAGAAGUCCCCGACUAGUCCUUUUUCUUUGUUUUCUGGUCUAUUGAAUUUUACAUAAACCUCCUCUAAAAUCAUGCUUUAUCCAAAAUGAUGUUCUUUUUUUUAAUGAUUCAAUUGCAGUUCAGUUUUGGUACUGAGCUGUUUUCUAAAUCUUGCAGCAUCUACCGAGGUUCCAACCUGAAAAUUUAGAGCAUAACAAAAAGCUAUUUGAACGUGUUAAUGAAAUAGCAGUAAAGAAAGGAUGCACCCCAUCUCAGCUUGCAUUAGCAUGGGUUCAUCACCAAGGAAAUGACGUGUGUCCGAUUCCUGGAACCACUAAGAUUGAAAACCUGAAUCAAAAUAUUAAAGCUCUGUCAGUGAAACUUUCUCCAGAAGAAAUGGCUGAGCUUGAAUCCAUUGCUUCAGCAGAUGCUGUAAGGGUUCAUCGGUAUGGGGGUGUCACUCCUACCUACGAAGACUCUGAAACUCCACCUCUGUCUUCGUGGAAACCUUCAUAAAGGGCAUUGGUAUUCUGCUUCUUAGUACCGAUUUUGCAAUUGCAUGUAGUUCCUAGGUUCUGUUGUGGGUAAAAUCAUUGUGUUCUCAUACGAGACCCUAUCAGUACCUUUCUGCACUUUCCACAAGCAUUUAGUGAAUAUUGUAUUGAGUUCCUAUGCAGUGUUGUAAGUAAAACUAAAUCAUUGUAUCUUCUGCAGUGAGCGCAAAAACAAUGUAAUGUGUUUAUGCAAAUAUAUGAGAAACAAUAACAAAUCAAAAUGGAGUAAUAUUUAUCUGAAAUUUCUGGAAGUUUAGAUGAUCUGAAUCAGGGGCGAAGUCAGAAAAAAUAUCUUGGGUAGGCUAAAUUUUUUCCAAAUCCAAAUAUUAUCUUGGUUAAAAAUAUAAAUUUGAAAGAAAAUUUUGUUAUACAUAAGAAAAUAUAUCAUGUCUAAGAAGUAAUUUACCAUACUUUCGAGAAUUAAAUCCAUCUAUUAUCGAAUUUAAAUUGACGGUGUUUAUAAAUUCUCUUUUAACGUAGAUAACUAUACAAUUUGAUAAAAAUUCCUUCUCUUCCUUAUUUUGAAGUCGUGUCUAUGCUCGUUUGGGUGUUUCAGUCAAAACAUGGUAUAGUUAUAAAAGAAGUUAGAAGAAAUAAUCACAAAUUUACUAAUAAAAGCCAUAGAACCGUCAAUCUGUCACUACGACACAUUAACACUAUCCAGAAGCCAAACAAUAAGUUCAAUUAACAAAUUAACUUUAUGUAUAAUGUACUGAAUUGAAUCUAUGAUCCAUCUCUAUCAAUUAUCAAUUUCAAAUAUCUCUAAUCUAUCAAUAAUUAAUUUAAAUUUUUGAAUGCUAGAAUUUAAUGGCUAAAUUAUCUUCAUUUGACCCAACAAUAAUUUAAUUUUACACAAUGAAAUUGGAACAAGAAUUAAAUAAUAUAAUCUUUAGUCUUUACUACCUAACAAUUAAUAAGUGUACUGUAAAUGAUUGAAUAAACAAUAAAUGUAUUAUCUAUUCUUGUCAAGAAGAAGACGAAGAACUGAAGAAGCCAAGAAAGAAAGCACGUUCUGGAAUCUUGAAUGAAGUAAAUGCUCCCUUUUUUGUGUAUAUUUAUUUGAAUGACAAAAUUGUAAAUUAAUAGAGUGGUACUACUGUAAAUAAAAUAGUGGCAAUUUUAUAAACUUUGCAUUAUGAUAUUUUUGUAAAUUUUCUAAAAAUUUCCCAACCCACUUGGAGCCUCACCACUGAUGUGAAGAGCAAUGCUAGAUGUCCCAACAUAAGUCUUAAUUUGAAUUCCUACUGACGUGGAAUUCAUCUAUUGAAUGGUGGUUAAAUAAUUUUACUAGAUAUUACAUCCAUUAUUCAAUUGAUGAGUGACACAUAUCAUUGCGAGUCAAAUUGAGACUCAAAUGUUAGGAUCCUAAACAUUAUUGCUGAUCUAAAUUUAUUGUAGCAUUAUAUGUUUCUUGUUGUUGCACGUGACAUCCUUCCUCAACAAAAAAUUAUUCAAUGAUUUCAGAUCAAUCGAAUACUUUUACUGUGUUACAAAGUGGCCUCUACGAGAUUACCAAAUUGAUUCACAAUUUUUCACAUCAUUUUACCGGAAAUUAAAUUAUUUCAACCAAUUGAUUAUGCUUAGUCAUGGUAAAAACUCAAGUCGGUCCCGGAUAUGGCAAUACUCAAAUUUGGCCCAAGCAUGUUUUUUUUAACAUUGAGGUUGAGCCUAAAACCUCGGCCCCAAAUGGAUUUUCUUUUAUGGGCUUAAAAAAUCCAGAAUUAUAUUUUAUAAUAUUAUAUAUGUAUAUUUGCAAUCACCUCAUAUUGAUAAAAAGUCCAGAGAACAAUUUGAAAUGGAAAUCAAAUCAAGAAACAAUUUCUGGUCAUAAAAGCAGAAACGCAUGAAUUGCGCAAGAAGUUCUUUCGGUUAAAACCUAUACCUGGAGGUGUUCAGAAUCCAAUCCGAUCCACUCAAUCCGAUUCGUAUAAAUCCGAUCCGUGGAUUGGUGGAUUGGAUAUGAAUUUACUUCUGUAAAUCCACAAAAAUCCGUGAAUCCACAAAAAAAAAAAAAAUAUAUAUAUAUAUAUAGAUAAUUAAAUCCGUGGAUUGGAUAUGGAUUGAAAAUUUAAAAAUCUGCAGUCGAUGGAUUGGAUAUGGAUUUACUUCUGUAAAUCUGUGAAUCCGCAAUAUAUAUAUAUAUAUAUAGAUAAUUAAAAAAUUAUUAUAAAUUUAAUUAAAAAAAUUAUAAAUGUGACAUUACAUAGUUACAUAAGCACUAUAACAUAUCUUAGCCAUUACCCAAUAAUAAUAUAAAAUAAAAAAUAAUUAAAUAAUCAAAUAUACAAAUAUAACUUGUAAAAAUUGUAAAACAAAAUAAAAGCAAAGUCACACGCACUAGCAAAAGUAAAGUAACAUAACGUUAAGUCACCAACAAUUUGCAAAGUCACCCAAAAGUAAAAUAACAUGUUGUCAAGUCACCAACAAUUUGCAAACAAAAAACCCUAAGCUUCUCCGUCGUCACACACACUAACAACACUCAAUACUGGUUGGAUACACUCUCGACACGGAUUUGAAGGACAUCGGGCGUGCGAUCCCAGUGAGAGCAAGCCAUCUUCUUUCCCAAGUCCAUCGAGCCACUUCACAUUCACUGGUUCCAGCUGAACAAUUUCACUAUCACAACCUUCAAGAUCGCCACCCGUACGGCUUCUCCUGGUUCCCAUCGUGGACGGCUCAGUAAUCACCACUUUUCGACAGGCGCAACAGCCCUAGUGAAGGAUCAGACCGUGUUUGGUUUCCGAAAAUUCGUCAUUUCAAUUAAUUGUGGCUUUAUUUGAACAAUUAAUUUCGGUGUUAUAUUAACGUAUUAUUGUAACUUUAUUUGAACAAUUAAGCUUGGUGUGUUAUAUUUUGAAACUUUGAACGUAUUAUUGUAGCUUUAUUUGAAUAAUUAGUCUCGAUGUAUUAUAUUUUAAAAAUUUAAAUGUAUUAUUUUAGCUUUAUUUAAAUUAUUUAUUUAUUUAAAUUUAUUCAAUUUUAAAUUUAAUUGGUAGCAAAAUUAUUUUUAUAUUAGAUUUUUUUAUUUCAUUAGUUGGAGAGAACUAAAAAUUUUAAUUCGAAAACUAAUGCGCAAAAUGGUAGAUUGGAUAUGGAUUGAGUCAAAUCUGCAUCUAAUCCGCAGACGUAUGGAUUGGAUAUGGAUUGAGUCAAAUCCGCAUCCGAUCCGCAGAUGUAUGGAUUAGAUUUUGAUUGAAUUUUAUCAAUUUAUGGAUUGGAUUGGAUUAAAAAAUUAUAAUCCGCAAAAUCAUGGAUCGGAUAUGGAUUGAUGUCCAAUUCGUAAAAUCCGAUCCGCGAACACCCCCACCUAUACCUCAUGCACUUUUUAUCCUUUUGAGGUUAAUGCAAAGACCCAAAUGGCCCAGGCUGGGAUGGCUUUCGACCUAAGCGGGUUGCGCUGUAGGGACCUAUUUUAGUUUUAUGAUUUUUAAAUUUUAUUUAAUGAAUUUGGGUUUUCAAAUAUGAACUUUAAAUAUUUAAAAUUUUAAAUAUGUAUAAUCUAUGGGUCAAAUAAAUAUAGUUAUUUAAAAUAAUGUAUUUUAUAAUAUUUUUUCAUAAAAUUCAGGUUUUUGGACGAAUCUAAAUUUAUCAAGUGAAACGUAAACUUGGCCCAGCCUCAUCUUUGGACUAGAUAUUAUUGGCCCGCAUUGCCUAGUCCAAUCUGUAAAAAUAUUUUUCACAGUUCCUAUUGCCUUUCAGGCAUUUCACACAUUUCAUUGCGUAUUUUUUAUGGUUAAUUUGAUCACCUUCUUUGCAGUAAAUGAUAAAUAGAUACAUUUAAGAAUUAAUUCAUCUAAAAAUCAGGGAAAAAAAGCAUAUAUACCCCCUUGGGAACAUUAAUGUUGCUAUAGACCUCCUUGGUUUAAUAAAUAAUCACACAAAUGUUUUUUGAUGAUUAUACACAUCGAUUUUAACAAUCUAAUUAUUAUAUAUUUUAUAAAUUAUUUUGAAUAAAAAAAUUAAUUUAAUAUUAUUAAUCUAUCAUAUAUGUUUUAAUUUAAUAAAAUCUAUUUUGCAGAUCAAUAAUAUUAAAAUACUUGUAUUUAACAUUAAAAAUAAUUUACAAAAUUCUGUAUUAUAUAUCUUAUUUAUUUAUUUUUAUGUUAUGUCUAUAUUAGCUUAAUUUUUUAAGUUUGGGUAGGAUUUUUUUUAAGCCAAUAAAGAAUUAAUCUAUGAAAUACCAGAAUCUACGGUGAGUCAUGAAAAAUAUAAAUUUAAAGAUUUUACUCAAUUUUUUAUUGCUACAAUUUCACUCUAGAGUAAAAUGACAGAUAAAUCAAUAAUAUAUAACAUAUUUAAUAAUACAAUUCAACAGUUUCUUCUAUCAUAUAAACACCCUUUUUUUUCUCAUAAAAAGGGUUUACAUCUAGGGGUGAUAAUAUAGAUAAGGAUUUAUUGAUUCCAUUUGAUUCUAUUUGAAUUAAAAGCAUUUAGGUUUGAAAAAUUACUUCGUCUAAUAAAUGGACAAUUUUGAUUGAAUUUGUUAAGUGAACAAAUUGAAUGUCACACUGAUUUGUUUAUUUUUUUAAGAUCCAUUUAUUGAAUGAUACAAUAAAUAUAAUUAUGCCAAAAAAAAAAGUCUCACUAGUUCAGGACAAAACUACUUUGCAACCGUUGUACCAAACCCUCAAAUUUGGUAUUUUCUUUAACAGUCCCUAUAGUUUUCUGUAAAUAAUAAAAACUAUAAAUUUUAAAAAAUUUAUGCAAUAAGCCCCAAUUAAAAUAUAAUAAUUUCAAAUUAAAAUAAUUAUUUAGUGUUUUCUUUAGCAAUCCCUAUUGUUUUCUAUAAAUAAUAAAAACCAUAUGUUUUAAUAAUUUUAUGUAAUAAGCCCCAAUUAAAAUAUAAUAAUUUUCAAAUUCUAAAAAAUUUAUUCUCUCUAUCUCCUUCUCAAAUUAGUUUUCAUACUUUAAAUCUUAAUUUAUUCAUUAUCAAACAUAUAAUUCUUCUAAAACAUAAAAAAUAAGUCUUCUAACUAUAUAAAUUAGAUUAAUUUCUUAAACACAAAACCUAAAAAACAUAAUACUUGCAUUUUCUCAAAAGAAAUAUAUUGUGUUUAUGUUUUUUUUCUUUACCAUUGUAAUAAAGAAAGAGUUAUAUAUUACUUUAUAUAACAAGAUCUAAUCAAUUAGGGCCUAUUGAAUGUGAUUAAAGAUGGUGGGAUGGGUUUACUUUACUAAAAUUUAAACUCAAUAAGGUGUUUGGCAUGAAUAAGUAAACUAAAAAUAAUACAACUUAGGCUACCAAAUUAUCAUGUGAUAAAUAAUUUUUUUUUUACCCUAAGGAGACCCUAGAAUGAGGUUUUUAGACUAAAUUUUUGUCUUAUGUUAACAACAAAAAUUAAAAAUGUUACGUUAGAAGCCUAAAAAGUUUGUUAAUUUUAAUUUUUUUGAAAGGUAUCCUCCCAUAAUCUAUUAAUUUAAGUUAUUAUUCAUUCUUUACAAUUUUAAAUUUAAGUUUCAUUCUUUAUAAUUUUAAAUUUAAGUAAUAGAAUAAAUAUUAUACAAUGCAUUUGUUUUCACAUUAAAUAAAUAAUUAAUCAGCUUCAUACGUGUAAUAAGGAAUAAAUAAUUUUACAUAAUUUCAAAUUUACAUAUAGAAAUUUAUUAUUUUGAAAAUAUUAUUUAUAAACUCCAUAAUGAAAUUUAAAUGACUAUCCAAGUAUUUAUUUAAUAUUUAUUUAUUUUUCAUUUUGAUAUUGUCAAAAAUUUUAUAAAACCUUAUCCAAUAUUGUAUUACACAAAAAACAAGAUAAUAUUAUUAUAAUCCAAUUGGUAUUUUAAGUAAAUGGAAGUGGAGAGUGUUUUAGCAAAUUAAAAUAAUCCAUCCAUAUUUUUAAUAUAUAAAUGUGUUCAUUUACAAUAAAAUAUUUUACUGGACUAAUGUGUCAAAUUUUGAAAUUUAAUCUUUCCUUAUUUUUUUUAGUAAACAGAAGGGACUGCAUCGUUAAUAGCCAAGAAAGUCCAUCCAUGCCGUUGGAAUAGCUUUUGCAACUCUUGAGUUGAAUCCAAUGGUUGGAUCGCAAAAAGACAAAAAAUAGUGUAUGAAACAAUAUUUUUAUUGUAGCUGGACCCUAAUUCAAAAUAUGAAUGUGGAUUUAAGCUCACUGGUUCGGUUGAAAUUUUGGAGUUAGGAUGGUUCGUUUAUUCUAUUAUUAAUGAAUUUGUAAUUUAAACAUCGAAGUUAGAAACUUUGGAGUUUCAAACUUCUAACCCAAUUCAUUAUAUUGAAUUUACCGACUUUUAACCUAAUUCAUGAAUUCAUUUUGCUACCCUAUUUACAUCUAUACAUGUAUUAGUUCAACAAUUUCUUACAUCAUAUAACCCUAAUUUCUUUUUUACAUUAUAAACAUUUUGUAUAUUUCAUUCAAAAACAUCAUGAUUGUGGAUAUUGAACACUAAAAUAAUUCAGAAAACAUUACAAGGUUAAUUUUUAGUAUUAAGUGGGUUAGUUUAAGUGGAGUAUAUUAUAUUAUACAAAGAGUAGCCUUUUGACACCUUUUUAAGGUUGAGGCUAAUUAACCCUCUAGGUUACUCAUUAAACUCACAUUUUAAUAAACUUAAUUGUUACUAAAAUAUCAAUAACAUAAAUUACAAUUAUAGACAUAUGAUUAUUUGAAAACAAUUAUACUGGUGUUUUAUUCCAUCUUCAAACUCAAUAUGAAUUUAAUCAGUUUUAUAAUACUCGUGUUUUCUUGAAUCUUUAGUCAUUUAUUGAAUUUUUACUCGUCUACACUUUGUAUUCCCUCAAAUUUGUUUGAUAUUUGGAUUAUUUGGCCAAAAGUUUAUUGUUCAUAAAUAACUCCUCCUAAAUCCAACUGAUAAUUUCUUCUCAAUAAUGGAUUCUCUCUUACACAUGCGAGUAUGGGCAAACCUGGUCUCUAAUUAGUAUUUUAAGAAAUAAAAAAUAUCACCAUUCACUACCCAAUAAAUAUAUAAUAUAAACAAUUUUUUGCGGGCCUUUUGUUGUGGUGGGUGGGACUUGGGCAAGGGCCCCGGUGAAGGUGGCGCAGCCUUUGAUUUGGUUUUUGUGCCACGUACAUCAACACUAAAUGAGAUAAUAUUGUAUUUUUCAGUAGAGAAUUAUAAUAUAAAACUAAUAAUAAUAGCUAUUGGGCUGGUAGAUCAAUGGUAACAGUUGUUCUCAAUAAUACCGAGGAUAAUAAUUUGAAUUCCAUUUUUUUUUCUUUUCAAUCAUUUUCCUCAAUAAUAUGGAGUAGACUCUAUAGUAUUUACUAGGGCGUAAUAGAUUUUUAAACAGUCUCAAUAUACUUUUUGUUGUUUACAAAAGUAAUUAAAAGUUCUCUUUUGUUUUGCUUAGUACAUGUAAGCAUUUGAUUGGCCGCCCUAGGCUUAGCUGAUUUCCAUGUAGUUUUAUUUGUUUGGUAAUUAGAGUUCGAAUCCUCAAAGGUUAGAUGCGAAAAAACUGAUUUGGUAUUACCACCCUUUACUUUUAAAAAAACACAAAAAAAAAAGUUAUAAGUAUUUGAGUAUCAUUAUUGACAAUAUAAUUACUAGUACACUUAUUAUUAUUUUUUACAUUAUUAUUUUGUACUCUUACAGCAUGCAAUAAAAUAAAAAUUUCUGAAUUUAUUAAAAUUUAUUUAUUAUUUAUUUGAGCAUACAUUAUUAGCCCUUAUUUAUAAAGUAUUUGAUUUAUAUAUUGGACAUAUGAUGUCAAGAUAGAAGAUAAAAAUCACAAAUUCUUUAUAAAUAAAAGAUUAUUCACAUCCAUUAAUGAAAUGUCCUUUUUAUUUUAUAAGGCUGUAUAUUUUGUAUUUUUAUUGUUAAGUAACUUUAUCUUAAUUACUGAAGUAGAGACUUCAAGUAGAACUGCUGUACGGCCAAGGCGGAUGUACGGUACAGCAGUUUUUUAAAAAUUAUUUUUAAAAAAUUAUAUUUAUUACAUAUUAUUAACUUUUACUUUAUAAUGACAGCAUUUUUUUUCAUAACAACUGUAACUCAAAAGGUACAGUAUUUCAAUACCAAACAUGACCUUAGACCCUAAUUCUAAGAUAAUAGACUGAUCAAAAGACAAUAUUUCCCUUACAAAUUGCUAUAGAGCCAGAUAGUUCAAAAGAGAUAAUUAAAAUAUUAGGAUGCGGACAGUAUUGUUUUCAAAUCUAAUUUUCUAUUUUCUAAAUUCAGAAAAUACUAGAUAAGUAUUCACAAAUGAUACUGAAUAUAUUUUAAAAUUUAAAAAUAACAUUUUCAUUGUUAUUUUUAUUUCAAGAAAACAACAUUUGGAAAACAAUACCAAAUAGGGCCUUAAGCUUCACAAAAAAAAAAAAAAUUACUUUUUUUUGUCCCUUUAUCUAAAUGUUGGAGUUGUGUUUAUCAUUUUUCCUAUAAUUAAUAAAUAACAUUAUGACGUAUCGAUUAUUGAAAAGAAAGCUUAAGUCCCUAAUUUAUAUAUCAAUAAUGAAUCAAAAAAUCUAAAAUUAUAAUAAUAAACUCUCUUUUAAAUGUUAAUUAAUUAAGAAGAUACUUGAAUUAAAAAAUCUAGUAUUAAAAAAUUUAAAUCUCUACACUUUUUUUAUUGUGUUUUUUUAUUUAUUAUUUUAUUUUGAAACAUUCAUUUUCUUUAAUUCGUUGCCGAUUAUAACAACUCAUUGACUAUUAAUUCAUUUCAAGUUUUUAACAAUUUUUUUAAAAAAUGAAAAAAAUAAGUGAAAGCCCAACCCAACCCAACCCAACCCAACCCCGGCCCAAGCUUAGCCCUUAUACUUUCCCUCUAACGGGCUUGAAAAAGCCUAGUCUAAGCUUGCAUUUUGCCAUCCCUAUAUUGAUCAUUUAAAUCUGUGGUUAUAAUUUAUUCAAUAAUUUAUUUAUUAAUUAAUCACAUUUAUUUGUAAUCUAUUUACAAAUAUAUUAACAGUGAUAGUUAGAAUAAAUAGUGACUGAGGGAUAUAUAUGUAAUUACAAAGAAAGAACAUUUAUCAUGGGCUGGAUUUAAUUAAGAUUAUCAAAUAAAGAGUCAAUUAAGUGGUAAUUAUUGGUUUAAAAUCAUGUCUAAUAUUAAUUAAAAGAAGUCUUAAUUAAUUAGGCUUUUAUUUGUUACAUGGUUCAUUAGAGUGCGACAUCGGACUUUUAGUAGAAUAGCUUAGGGUUAACUUAGUUGUUUUAGAGAGUCAUAAUAUGACUGAGACUUAACUAUGAAGUUGGAUUUAGGAAGUUCAUGGAUACCCUUUGUUAGCUUAGUUUCUAGUUAUAUCUUGAUUUUAAUAAGUGCCUAUAUAAAGAAGAGGAAAUGGGAAUUAGAGUUCUCUAUAUGCCCUCAUGUGCGAGGGAGACUAUUGAUGAUAGACGAGAAAACUACAACCAUAUCCUACAGAUCCCAAUAAUGGUAGUGGAAAAAAUUAAAGUAGUUGUCUUCAAAUCUUCAGUAGGAAAUUUAAGGUGUUUCUCUAAUUUUAUGCAUUUUUAUGUAAUCAAGAAAAAAAAAAUCUGACUUUUGAUAAUUUUAUUAAAUUAAAGAAAAAAAAAUAUUUUUUAGGCCUGAUUUAACAACAACUGUAUGAGAGUGGUAUUGAUAUAUGAUAGAUUCUGGACUUACGCUAUUAUUGCUACUUUUAUUGAUUUGAAUUUAAUAGUUUACAAGAACCUCGUAGCGCUGCAUUUAUUUUCGCAUAUUUCGCAAAAAAAAAUCAAUCUCUAUAAUGUUUAUAAGUUGACUGAAAUCCCUAAAAAAUGAUUCACCAUGGUUCCAAUACUUGACCGUAGUCUUAAGGUAAUAGAAUGUUUAAAAGAUAAUUUUCCCCUUGCCAAUUACCAUAGCCAAAUAGUUUGAGGGAGAUAAUAAAAUGCAUUAAACUUAAAAAAAAAAAAAGGAAUUUUGAAAAAUCAAAACAGUGAAAAAGAUAGUGAGGGUCCAUUUACAUCUAUAGCAGAUUCUCUAGAAGGAUUAAUGGGUGACAAAAUCGUGGGCCUUUGCUUGCGAAGGUUAGGAUCCAGGCAAAGGCCCAGGUGAUGCCCGCUCAGCCUUUGAUUUGGCCUUUGUGCCAGCCACGUUAUCAACAUUGAAUGACGUAAAAUUGUACGGACUAGGGUGCAAUUGGUAUUGCCAUUCAAAUAAUGUUUUAUAAUUUUUUAAAUAAUUAAUAAUCUUGUAUGAAUUUCCUUGCUUUACUUUAUAUUUACUAGUUUCAUAUAAAAUUAGUAAAUAUAAAGUAAAACAAGUAACUUCAUACAAGAUUAUUAAUUAUUUAAAAAAUUAACAUUGCUUCUGCACAAUUUUAGUGAAAAAUAUUUUAUUCAUUUACAAAAAUAUAAAGAAAAAAUUACUCAUUAAUUAAACAAAAAUUGUACAAAAAAAGUGAAAUAUAUUUUAUUGAAUUGGUUUAACCAUAAAUUCUAUAUUUAUUUAAUUACAUUUGUAUAAUUUUUCCCAUUUUCUAUAAUGAUAUCUGUUUAUUACACAAGUUAAUUAAGUGCAAUUAUUUAUCUUGACGUGGAUCAAGCAAAUGAAUAAAUAAAUAAAUAAUUAUUCUCAUAUUACUGGACACAUAUAUGAUAUAUCAAUAAAAUUAUAUCUAAUUUUGAGUUCUAUGUAUGCUUCAUGUAGUUUCAAACUUUUUACUUGUACUUAAGAGACCAUUUAGGGUUGUUGUUGCAGAAGUGUAGAAGGAUGCAAAAUAACCUCAUGUUACAACAACUAUGAAAGAUAUUAAAAUAGUUUUUUUUUUCAAAAUCCAAUUCUGCGAAUAAAUUUCAUCCUUAAUAAAACAUCACAUGUACUACAUAAAUGCAAAACUAGCAUUAUGCAAUUUAAUUUUAAAAAAUCAUUAAAUAUAUAAGGUAAUAAAUAUUAUAAUGAGUUUUUAGUUUAUAAGAGCUUUUUUGUUAGUAACUCUUAGAUUAAUUUACUUAUUUUACCUUUUAUUCAUAAGUUUUGAGCAUAGUUUACAAAUUUUAUGUUUUAUUUUGCACUUAAUAUUGAUUUACUUGGUUUAUAUUAUAUUUGUAUGUUUUCGUUUUACUUACUAAUGAUACAUAAAUUUACUAAUUUUAUAGUAAUUUACUUGUUUUUACUUUCCUUUUGCAAGUCUUAUACUUCAUUUCUAAAAUUUAUGUUUUAUUUUAGGCCACUGCUAUGUUACGUUGAGUGUAACAUACACACACUCACAGCAACANNNNNNNNNNNNNNNNNNNNNNNNNNNNNNNNNNNNNNNNNGUUUUAUAUUAAUUUACUUGUUUUAUCCUCCAUUUACAUUUGUGCUUUAUUUUGCACUUAAUGUUAAUUUACAAGUUUUAUGUUAUAUUACAAGUUUUUGUUUUAUUUACUAAUAAUAUAUCAAUUUACGAGUUUUAUAUUAAUUUACUCAUUUUACCUUCAAUUUACAAGUUUUAUGUUUAAUUUCUAAAAUUUAUGUAUUUUACAAUUAAUAUUGAUUUACAAGUUUUAUAUUUUAUUUACAUAAAUUAUGUUUAAUUACAGUAUUGAUACCGUUACGUUAAUCAAGGCAUAAUAGAAUGAGCCUUCUUUCUAAAAUAUACUUAUAAAAUGAAAAUUUCAAAAUGUUUGAGUUGUUUAAAAAGUGAAGACGGUAAAAGAGAGUGAGAAAAAAAUACAUACUCUCAUGGCGAUAAUAUCUCUUGCAUUAGAGAAAAGAACAUUUACACCUUCAAGGUUUGAGAAAAUAGUCAUAUAGAUUCGCAAGUUCUAAAAAAUAGACACCAAAACUCAUUUUUGAUCAUAAUACCUUUUAAAUAUAUUAACUAAAAAAUUACUGCUGUACUUUUAGGGAGUAUCAUUAAUAUUAGAAUAAAUAAUAAAUAAUAAAUAAAUUUUACUAAUAGAGAACCUUUUAAAAAUUACCAAAUAAUACAAUUAGUAUUGUUGAAUAAAAAAUAAUUAAAAAGUAUUAAAGAUAAUUAGAAUUGGAUUAUAAAAUAAAUAUUGGUAAUGGGCCCACAUAAUGACAGACAUGAUUUUUAUUUUGUUGUUGUUCUAGUGGUACUUGUAGUACCCAUUUAAAAAAUGAAAAUUGAAAAUCAUGAAUGCCUUAUUGUCCAAUUUUCUUCUCUAAAGUUAGAGAAUGAGAUUAAACAUUCUUACUUGAAAUUAAAUACCAUAAAAUAAGUGUACCAAACAAAUUUUACAAUUUUCUUAGAAAAUGAAAAAUAGCAAAACAUAAAUAAUAUCAAAUACAUGCUUAUCUUCUAAAAAAAAAAAUAGCCAUUGGACUAAUUAAUCAAUGCUGACAGGUAUUCACAAUAAUAUUGAGGACACUAUUUGAAUUUCAUGGCUUUUUUUUACUCAUUUUCUCAACAGUAUGAAGUAAAUUUUUUGAGUAUUUACUAAGACGUGAUAGAAUUUCAAGUUAGUCUUAAUAUACUUUGGGUUGCUUACAAAAGUAAUUAUAAGUUCUCUAUAAUUUUAGUUAUUACAUGUAAGCACUUGAUUGCCCACCUAAGGAUUUAACCAAUUUUUAAUUAGUUUCAUUUGAUUGACUAUUGGAGUUCCAAUCUUACAAAGAUUAUAAGAAAAAAAUUGAUUUGGAUUUUACCCAUUCUUUAAAAAACACAUAAAAAAAAUUGUAAGCAUGUGACUAUCAUUAUUGACAAUAUAGUUACGACAAGAAGUCUGCAAGAAUCUCAUUGCAGAUUAGAUUAAUUUUCAAGUAUUUAGAAAAAAAAAUCACUACAAUAUCUCACCAAAUACUUAAAAGAUGAUUCAUCGAGUAAUUUCCAUACUUAUGUCCUAUUUAGGAUUGAGGUUGAACGGUUGUAGUGUAAAAAGAAUAGCACUAAAGUAUUUGAUAAAAAGAAUAGCACUAAAGUAUUUGAUAAACACUAGUUGGUAUAGCUUGAAAACUAAAUUGAUUUGAUUUUCUACUUGUAUGAUGAAAAAUUUAUUAUAUCUUUACUCAUUUUUAAAAAAUUAUUAUUUAAAAAUUAUAUUUAUUACAUACUAUUAACUUUUACUUUAUAGUUACAGUAUUUUUUUCAUAACAACUGUAACUCAAAAGGUACAUACUUCAAUACCAAACAUGACCUUAGACCCUAGUUCUAAGAUAAUAGACUGAUCAAAAGACAAUAUUUCCCUUACAAAUUGCUAUAGAGCCAGAUAGUUCAAAAGAGAUAAUUAAAAUAUUAGGGUGCGUACAAUAUUGUUUUCAAAUCUAAUUUUUUAUUUUCUAAAUUCAGAAAAUACUAGAUAAGUAUUCAAAAAUGAUACUGAAUAUAUUUUAAAAUUUAAAAAUAACAUUUUCAUUGUUAUUUUUAUUUCAAGAAAACAACAUUUGGAAAACAAUACCAAAUAGGGCCUUAAGCUUCACAAAAAAAAAAAAAAUUACUUUUUUUUGUCCCUUUAUCUAAAUGUUGGAGUUGUGUUUAUCAUUUUUCCUAUAAUUAAUAAAUAACAUUAUGACGUAUCGAUUAUUGAUCUAACUACUCUCUUGUGUGAUUUGUAAAGUUAAUGAGGUAAAUGCUAACAUAUUCCAUUACGUUAGCAUUACGAGUUUUGAGAGGCCCGCAGAGCAAUAUAUCUACAUUGUUCGCUUAGAAACAGCAACCUCACUCAACAGAAAGUUGAGAGGAUAAUAGAAGAGAAAUGGCGGGGGCAGUGAAGAGAAUCAAGCUGGGUUCACAAGGUCUAGAGGUUUCAGCGCAAGGCUUAGGAUGCAUGGGCAUGUCCGCCUUCUACGGGCCCCCGAAGCCCGAAUCCGAUAUGAUAGCCUUGAUCCACCAUGCCAUUGACAGUGGCAUCACUUUACUUGACACUUCCGAUGCUUACGGACCUCACACAAAUGAAAUCCUUCUGGGCAAGGUAAUGUAAUUUAACUUCUAUUUCCUUCCUUUAAUUUCAAAAGGGUAUGUUUGGAAUUGGCAAAUAAUAAUAUAUUGACUUUGAUUAAUUUGGUUUUGGGAUUAGGCUCUGAAAAGAGGGUACAGAGGAAGAGUUGAAUUGGCUACUAAAUUUGGUAUCAGAUAUGAGGAUGGCCAGUACUCAUACUGUGGGGAUCCUGCUUAUGUAAGAGCUGCAUGUGAGGCCAGCUUGAAGCGUCUGGAUGUUGACUGUAUUGAUCUUUAUUACCAACAUCGCAUUGACACUAAAGUCCCCAUUGAAGUCACGGUUUGUCGCUUUUAAUUUAUAUAUUUGUCUCAAUCAUGCAUGUUAAACUAUAUUAGUCUGUUAGCCUCUGGGUAGCUCGGCUGGCAAUGAAUAUGAAACACAGAAUAUUUAAAAAUACAGACAUGGGUCACUUCGGUGGGUGAGGUUUCUGUUAUCAUGUACAAAUUCUUUUACUUGUGUUGUUUUGUAAGAUUGGGGAACUCAAGAAACUAGUUGAAGAGGGUAAAAUAAAGUAUAUAGGUCUAUCGGAGGCUUCUGCUUCAACAAUUAGACGAGCUCACGCCGUCCAUCCAAUAACAGCUGUGCAGUUGGAAUGGUCCUUGUGGUCAUGAGAUGUGGAGGAAGAGAUUGUUCCUACUUGCAGGUAAGACAUUAUUUGGGCCAAAUGAAUUGUUUUGACCUAGUUGAAAGGAAAAAAAAUUAUGAGUAGAUGAUUUAACAUUUGCAUGCUAACGCAAUUUUGGUGGUUGCUCUGCUCAGGGAACUUGGCAUUGGAAUUGUUGCUUACAGUCUUCAAGGAAGUGGGUUUCUUUCAUCCGGGCCAAAGUUGGUUGAAAGCAUUGCACCGGAUGAUUCUAGACAUGUCCGUAAGCCUACCAUGCAUUUAUUACCAUUUUUAUGCAUGUUCAUUGGGCCUUAAAAUGUUUUCUACCAUUAUUAUUCGAUGCCUACAAGCAUGGUUAAAACCUUCUCUCAAGAUACUCUACAGUGACUUGCAUACUAUUUUAUCUUAUAAACCUCUGAUAUUUAUCUAGAACCAUAGUUAUAGUUCAUUCUAACCGAACCCAGUAGGACUUGUUUAAGAAUUUUGUUUCUUAAAUAUUCUACUAGUUCAUUUCGAUCUUCUAAUUACACUGAAGUUACCUGUGUAUAGAUUGCAUGGAGAAGAUUGAGGAAAAAUGAAAAUUCAAUUACUAACAACUGAAUACACUGUAAUCUUUUUCGAAUUGACUUGUGUACCAAAACUUAUUCGUCAUUGGCUAAAUGUUUGGUGUUUACUAAUCAGGCAGUUUUACUUUCGUCAUAUUUGCAUUACUUGCUUCUUUAUUACACGUUCAUUCUCAUUUCCAGCAAUACAAUAAUAAUUCUUGUUUAGUUUUACUCUAUAGUUCUGAAAUUCUUCAUAGAUUUCAAUUUUGUCCCUCAUAUUAUGCUCAUUAACCUCUUCAAACAUGAGCAAGGCUUUCUUUGCAUUGAAAAUCUGGGGAAUUAUCUAUGCAAUGACUUCGUUGAUUGACAGAAAAAUUUAACAUGUCGGAUUCAAUUUAUAUACAUGAUAAUACCCCUUAAGUCGGAUAGAGAUAAAAAAAAAUGGAAAAAAAUUGUUUCAUUAUCUCAAAACUAUUACUGGGUCCUCAAGAAGUUUAAUGACUCUUCCAAACUUCUACAUCCUUGUGGUAGUUUCCAUUUUUGUUAUAUUGCUUUGCCUAUGCACGUUAAUGUGAAAUCAAUUGAUAAGUCUAAUGAGAGUUUACUUCUUGCGAGACCUUUGUCUAACAUUCCAAAAUGUUUUACUAUAAACAUCCUCUGCCUAGGAGAAGUCCCUCAACUAGUCCUUUUUCCUUGUUUUCUGGUCUAUUGAAUUUUACUUAAACCUCCUCUAAAAUCAUGCUUUAUCCAAAAUGAUGUUCUUUUUUAAUGAUUCAAUUACAGUUCACUUUUGGUACUGAGCUGUUUUCUAAAUCUUGCAGCUUCUACCUAGGUUCCAACCUGAAAAUUUAGAGCAUAACAAAAAGCUAUUUGAACGUGUUAAUGAAAUAGCUGUAGGUUCCAACCUGAAAAUUUAAAAUCUUGCAGCAUCAACCGAGGUUCCAACCUGAAAAUUUAGAGCAUAACAAAAAGCUAUUUGAACGUGUUAAUGAAAUAGCUGUAAAGAAAGGAUGCACCCCAUCUCAGCUUGCAUUAGCAUGGGUUCAUCACCAAGGAGAUGAUGUGUGUCCAAUUCCUGGAACCACCAAGAUUGAAAACCUGAAUCAAAAUAUUAAAGCUCUGUCAGUGAAACUAACUCCGGAAGAAAUUGCUGAGCUUAAAUCCAUUGCUUCAGCAGAUGCUGUAAGGGGUCAUCGAUAUGGGGGUGUCACUCAUACCUAUGAAGAUUCCACUGUCUUCAUGGAAACCUUCAUAAAGGGCAUUGGUAGUCUGCCUUCUUAGUACCGAUUUUGCAAUUGCAUUUAGUUCCUAGGUUUUGUUGUGGGUAAAAUUACUGUAUUGUGAGUAAAGAUAAAGUCACCGUGUCUUCUGAUAGGACACCCUAUUAGUACCUUUCUGCACUUUUCUCAAGUGUUUAGUGAAUAU